rnacentral:lncRNA from 1 species
UGCAUCCCUGGUUUGGAGAGACCAUGGCAGCAGCAACCAUUACCACCACAACAGACAUUUCCACAACAACCACUAUUUUCACAACAACAACAACAACAACUAUUUCCUCAACAACCAUCAUUUUCGCAGCAACAACCACCAUUUUGGCAGCAACAACCACCAUUUUCUCAGCAACAACCAAUUCUACCACAGCAACCACCAUUUUCGCAGCAACAACAACUAGUUCUACCGCAACAACCACCAUUUUCACAGCAACAACAACCAGUUUUACCUCCACAACAAUCACCUUUUCCACAACAACAACAACAACACCAACAGCUGGUGCAACAACAAAUCCCUGUUGUUCAGCCAUCCAUUUUGCAGCAGCUAAACCCAUGCAAGGUAUUCCUCCAGCAGCAGUGCAGCCCUGUGGCAAUGCCACAACGUCUUGCUAGGUCGCAAAUGUUGCAGCAGAGCAGUUGCCAUGUGAUGCAACAACAAUGUUGCCAGCAGUUGCCGCAAAUCCCCCAGCAAUCCCGCUAUGAGGCAAUCCGUGCUAUCAUCUACUCCAUCAUCCUGCAAGAACAACAACAGGUUCAGGGUUCCAUCCAAUCUCAGCAGCAGCAACCCCAACAGUUGGGCCAAUGUGUUUCCCAACCCCAACAGCAGUCGCAGCAGCAACUCGGGCAACAACCUCAACAACAACAAUUGGCACAGGGUACCUUUUUGCAGCCACACCAGAUAGCUCAGCUUGAGGUGAUGACUUCCAUUGCGCUCCGUAUCCUGCCAACGAUGUGCAGUGUUAAUGUGCCGUUGUACAGAACCACCACUAGUGUGCCAUUCGGCGUUGGCACCGGAGUUGGUGCCUACUGAUAAGGAAAGAUCUCUAGUAAUAUAUAAUUGGGUCACCGUUGUUUAGUCGAUGGAUAUGUCGAUGCAGCGGUGACAAAUAAAGUGUCACACAAUGUCAUGUGUGACCCGCCCAAACUAGUUGUUUAAAUUCUGAAAUAAAAUAAAAAUAAAGUUGUAUCAAGACAAUGUUCAUAUUGGCAUUGUGUGGAUGUCAAUCUGAUUGCCAUGCUUGCAAGUUCAUAAGUUUGUCUUUCCUUGUCACAAGCGCAACCUGGUGCCUUAAUUAAUUAUCAAUGUACUGGAAUAAUCACUAUUUAAAUAUAAUAGUGUCACUGUAAAAUUUGGGUUGAACUCUUUAUUGGUUGGAGAUUUGAGAUCUUGUUUUUUAUUGGUUUGUAUCUAGUACCAACUAGUACCACUGUCUACAGUGACAAUCACAACCAGUUUUGUUGCUAAUUAUGUUUGCUUUCUUGCAAAUACAUUCAUUGAUUCUUUGCAUGUCAAAUUAUUUGCCGAGAAAAAUACCAGCUUUUUCUUGAACUUCACAAACACCACUAGCUAGUUAAUUUGAAAUAAGCUGCCAAUUUAUUUCCUUGUAUUUAUGCCCUUUACAUCGAACCAGUACAAUCAUUGUGCUAGCUAGAGAAAAGGAGUUGCUGGCACGUUCAUGUCUAGAACUAAAUCAGACUGAAUUGAACUUGUUCUUUACAACUAGCUAGGAGCAGAAAACUUACUGUGAAUUGCACUUGAUUAUAUUUGAUUUUGUUUAAGAGCUACAGGGAAAAAUCAUCAAAAAAUGCCCUAAAAUAUCUUAUCGUAAAAUAGGUUCACCAGGAGAUACAGUCGCAAGAAAAAAAAGGCUCACCAGGAGAUAGAUGCUGCACAUUAUCAUUUAGAAAUUAGACCAAGAGAAAUGUGGAUUUGGCGGCUCAUAAUUCUAUAAGACUAUAACAGGUUGUCCAAUCAUUUAGAAAUUAGAUCAAGAAAAUGUGGAACUAAACAUAUUAAUGGCUAGGAUCAUAUUUGCACUGUGGGAACUUGGUAUGCGCGCUCCAACAUGCCCGUUGAAAGCAUUUUUUCCUCUGAUGCACAUAUGAAAUAUGACUGGUCGAAAACAGAAGAAACAGUGAGAUAAUAUGGAUGCUUGGAUGUUGUAACAAACAUAAACUUAUUAUAUAUAUAUCCAAUCCACCGAGCGGACGAACAUCCUAGGAGCUUUUCUCUCGGAGAUCGAAAAGAAACGAAAUGUCCACGCCAACUGCUUCUUCUCCAUCUGUAUAACGCGUGUAGGAGAAUUAUUUUGAUGAUUAUUUGAAGUGGCAUCCACAUAGAGUACAAAGCUAUUCAGCUAGAAAAGCCACAAAUGUACAUCACUUUUAGCCUACAUGACUGAACUCUGCUCCAUGACCUUCUUGAUUCAUGCGGCUCCUGAAUUCAUGUGAAUCGAAUCGCGGAAGAGAUAGGCUUUCAGGGUCAAUACCUCAUGUUCAUGGGAAGGCCGGAGAGGCUGCGUCGAUGUGCAGCCUGAACCCGAGGAGGAGCUCCGUGUCGGUGUCAAAACCGGCGGAUCUCGGGUAGGGGUCCCGAAUUGUGCGUCUAGGAUCGAUGGUAACAGGAGACGGGGGACACGAUGUUUACCCAGGUUCGGGCCCUCUCUAUGGAGGUAAUACCCUACUUCCUGCUUGAUUGAUCUUGAUGAAUAUGGGUGUUACAAGAGUUGAUCUACCAUGAGAUCGUAAUGGCUAAACCCUAGAAGUCUAGCCUAUGUGUAUACGGUAAUGAAUGUCCCCUAUCCGGACUAUGCUCUCCGGUUUAUAUAAACACCGGAGAGAUCUAGGGUUACAUGGAGUCGGUUACAUAAGAAGGAAUCUUCACAGCUGGUCACCUAGCUUGCGUUCCACGCCAAGGGAAGUCCAAUCCGUACACGGGUGUAGUCUUCGGCCUUCGUAUCUUCACAGCCCAUCAGUCCGGCCCAAUGAAUAAUAGGCCGGACGCCCGAGGACCCCUUAGUCCAGGACUCCCUCAGUAGCCCCUGAACCUGGCUUCAAUGACGAGGAGUCUGGCGCGCAGAUUGUCUUCGGCAUUGCAAGGUGGGUUCCCUCCUUCCGAAUUCCGGAAUAGUCUUCGGAUGCAGUAGAUAUAUUUGGACCUGUGUAUAUAAUUGCAAAAAAUACAAUAUUCCACGAGUCUAAUUUGUUGAUAACUGUUUACAACAUCGCAUCACGCCUGCCCGGUUACUAUUUCCAACCGUUGGCUGGCACGUCGCCCCACGUCUCGGGACGCGGUUUUACUGGCACGUCUUGCCAAGGCAGAGAUCGUGUUCCCUUAUUCACGGGACUUUCAUUAAUGCAAGCGUGGGUAACCCAACCGUCCCCUGGGUACAACUCUCUGGGGAUAGGUAAGUUUCGAGACCCAGGUGGAUACCCUUAGUAUUUGGGGUCUUUAUAUAGGGCCCCAGACUCGUCUUCUUCCUUUGCGCUUGCUUCUUCCUCAACCCUAGCCACCCCAAGUUCCAACCCUCGGGUUCCCAUCGCCACCAGCCCUAAUCAUGUCCGAAUCCAGCCGUCAAGGCCGGUGGGUGGCUUCUUCUAUCACAGAGGAGGAUAUUGCAAAGCUCUGCGCAGUGAGGUAUCUGACCCCGGAAAUCCUUCAUCAGCUUCCUGCACAGGGGCAGGUCGUUCCUACCCCCAAAUCCGGCGAGAGGGUAGUGUUUGUGUCCCACUUCCUCCAUGGGUUAGGUUUCGCGCUUAACCCCUUCGUCCGGGGGCUCAUGUUCUACUAUGGGCUAGACUUUCACGAUCUAGCCCCGGACUCUAUUCUUCUCAUCUCGACAUUUAUCGUCACGUGUGAGGCCUUCCUUCGGACUCCUCCGCACUUUGGUUUGUGGCUCAAGACCUUUGAUGUGAGGCCGCAGGUGACAGAGGAGGAGCAGGCAGAGUGUGGCAGCGUCACAAUAGGCAAGCUUGCCAGCGCGGUUUGGUUUGAAGGAUCUUUCACCAAGUCUUCCGACCUAUGGCAGCACGGGUGGUUUUAUAUCAACGAGCCGCGGGGCUCCAAGUGGGAGGCUACGCCUGCGUUCCGACCCGGCCCUCCAAUUCAGCUCGCUUCAUGGAUCAAUAAGGGACUGGACUGGGGAUCCGUCAAUGAAAUGCAGACUCUGCAAGGUCGCAUCCGAAGCCUUACCAAGAAGGGCAUCGGUCUUGUGAACGUCGUUCAAGUAAUGCUAGUCCGCCGGACCCUGCCAUGUCAGCGGCGGCCUCUCCGUAUGUGGGAGUUUAAUUCAGAAGGGCAGCGGCCUCUUCAGCACUUCUUCGGCACCACGCACGAAGGAAUGUGGAAAUUAUAUUUCGGGGAACGAGAGCAAUGGCCGGACACCACCGAAGAUGUCGGCCUUGACUGCAAUCAUCCAGACACCGCGGUAAGUACUCAAACGCUGAACACAUUCAAGCAUCUCUUGACAACAUACUGAACAAUCCGUCCCUAUACAGGACUGGAUAAAGAAAGCAGUGUUAAUCUGGUGUCCGGCGCCCCUUCCCGAAGACUCUGCGACCGCCCUGCUGACGAGAAUGCUGAUUCCCACACCGUACCAGGUUUCUGCGGAGGAGGGCGAGAGCGGGGAACCCGAAGGUGAUACCCGCCCUGAGGACGAAUUAGACAUUGUGUUCGGGGAAACCGAAACUCUUUUGCCCAAGGGCAAAGGUGCGGAGGAAGCUCUCCAUGGCAAAAAGAGGGCUGCUUCCGAAGAUCAGGAGGGGAAGCCUUCCAAGAGAGGAAAAAUGCCAUCGUCGGGCAGUUUGGGCCGGCCAAGCGAUGCUGCCGUAAGGCUUUCUGGCGAGGACGAACCUCUGGCCAAACCGUAAGUGAGGCUGGGGCACUUUAAACAUACCUCAUUCUUUUCCUAUUAGUGAAGUAAUCAUCCGACAUAUGCACAUCCACGUAGGUUAACGCCUGGUGUUUCUCAAUCAUCCUCCUCCUCGGGAGACCUUCUUCCGGAGAUGAUGGAGAGUGACACGCCAUCUCCGGCUUCUUCGCGCAACAGGGGGGAUGAUACCGAGGUAUCGUCCCGAAGGGCUCCUCCCCAUCGUCAAGCGGUGCAGGAAACGGAGAAGGCGUUACCCGAAGGUGGUGCCUCUGUCACCCAGGGUUCGGGAAUCAAGAAUGACGGCCCCGAACCAUCCGGUUUACAGCCGGAGAUGAUUCUGGGGGAGAAUAAGCAGAUUAAUUCAAAGGAAUGCCGUACUCCGGCGGCGGUUUCCGAAGACCCCGGAGCGCCGGAAAUGUUGACGGACAUGCUGCGGCGAGCGUCCAUUUCAGAGAAGCACCAUGCCUUGAUGGUUACGGUGGUCGAAAAGGUUCUAUCCGCGAAAAGCGGAUUGAACGAGGCCUUCUGGAGCCUUCUAAGAGGUUUUGAGGUUUGUGAUGUAGUUUUGCCAAUUGAAUGAUUUUGACAGAAUGCACUUGUUGUAUAUGCAGUAGCCCCUGAGACUCGGAUUGCCUUCCGAAGGAAGCGAUCGGAGGAUAAAAAAGAUAUGCUCAGUUACUAACCUUGAAUCAACUUGGAAUACAGGCUGCCUCGCCUCCUGCGGCUACCCGAAAUACGGAAGUGGCCGAACUGCAGCGAAAGCUGAAUAUUGCAGAAGAUGACAUUGCAUUGAUCAACAAGCGUCUUGACGACUCGCAAGGUAUAUAGUUCGAGCAUUCCUUACACGAAUGUUCUUGUAAUGUAGGCCUGACGCCGAAAAGGGUUUAAUGUGCAUGAUUGCAGAUGGUGUUCCCUCCGUUGAAGCUCCUUGUGAGGAGCUAGCCCGGCCCAAGGAGCAGGCCCGGUGUAGUGAUGCGGCUGCCGAGAAGGCAUCGGCUGAUCUAAGAGCCGAAUAAGCAGCUCGGCGCCGAAGUGAGGAGAAAAUAUCCGCACUGGCGCUUGAAUUGAAGAAUACUGCCAGCCACUGUGAAUUCCUUGAGAAGGAGAAUAAAGCCAAAAUGGCUGAACUUGAUAAGGCCGUUCGAGAGGCGAGUGAAGCUCGGUCUGAAUCUAGGGCAGCUUGGGAAGAGAUUCGGCAGGCUAAGGAGAUAGCGGCCGGUAAGCCCUUUUUGCUUCAGACUAAGUUUGGCGAUCCGGACUAUGCUCAGCUAAACCAGGUCUGGAGUUCUCCGACUGAAUUUUUGGACUUGCCGAAGAGUUCUUCCAAUGCAGCGCAAUUUUACCAAGCGCAAGAGGGGUAUGCGAUGGAGAAGCUUUUCUGGUCACAAUUUGGCGCCUCAAAGCGCCCUCUGUUGCUAAAUGAACAGAUGUCCCAGUGGGCCGAGCUUCAUAGGAUAUCCGGCGACGCCAUGAAGAACGUCAUAAUCCGGUUGUGGCCGAGUGAGCCUGUUCCCAAGAGCUAUUUUGGCCUGGUGCGGCGUCUUGUUGAUGCUGUGCCGCGUAUCGAUGCUGCGAAGCGGUCGGCAUGCACUGAGGGUGCACGGAUGGCCUUUGCCCGAGUCAAGACGUUCUGGGGGAAGAUGAAGGCCAUCGAUGUUGCGGCGAAGGGUCCGCCCAAGGGCAAGGACCGUAAUGAGCCGGAGCAUUAUUUUGAAGACGUCCUAGAAGCCGCCCGCCUGAUAGAGGGUCAAUGCUCGAAGAACAUAAUGUUCGAGUGAGGUGUAUUAGAAUUGUAAAAGACAAUUUUAUGAUUGAUCUAUUUUAUAUUUUUGCUCCAAAGCUUGAAUUCCUCCUCUGCGGCCGUUUUAAUAUAAUAUGAAAGUUUUCCAGUCGUCGGCUUCAGCCCCCUCGUAGGAAGUACGGGGGUGUUCGAAAAAACAUUUAAUCACUCUUUGUCCAAUGUCUUGGUCCGUAAAGGAGGUGAUAAUGCAGCGAACCAGGCAAUCGGACUAUAAGGCGUUAACACUUUCACUUAGCCAUAGGAGUUUUAUGGUGGGGCUACGACAUUGCCCCUGGUGUGUAUGCGGCGUAUAAUGCCUUGCAUAUUUGAUCUGAAAAAGAUCCCUCGUAUGACACGGAGAAUCGCUAAGGAUUCCAAGAAGUCGUCAAGUGGUUAAUCAGCUCUCGCCGCAUCAUGACAGUCAGUUUUCGGCUUUCUCUACUGAGGUGCUCGUCCGGUUUAGAACAGGGCACAAUCGCAGUAGUUCUCCCUUUACUACCCUAGCCGAUAGAGCGGAACGUAGGGUAGCAAGCACAGGAGCCGGGCAACCCAACUAUUGACCCAAGACAAUGAUUCGGAGCUGAUGCAUAUAAGGCCAAACUUGCGACGCCCAAGUACGCUAUAGAGUUGUUGGGACUUUUGCUGGCAACUCUUUCGUUCCCAUACCGAGCCCCUGGCAGGGUAUGCCGAGGUGUAUCUGUAACGCAGCCAUUGAGGCCGUACUCAUUGUUGCAAGAGUAUGAAAGAUUAGUUCGGACGAGGUUUACUGGGAACGGAGCAAUAUGCCAAUGACGAAUUUAAAAAUAAUAAAAAAGAAACCACAAGCCCGGCUAUUUGACAUGCUCGGGGUCGGGUACAGAGGAAAAAAAGGCUUAAUACAGGCUCGGAAUAAAGAGUGUGGUCUACAAAAAGUUAUUUUGGACCUCCUGUCGCACGUCUGCGCCGCCCGUCCUCGGGGAGGGGAAUCCUUAAGGGAAGUAGCCCCUUAGGUGAGUGUACGGAUCCGAACUCCGAUAGAGUCCGUUGUAGAUGCUGUCAUGUUGGUCACCUGUUCUUAAGAAAUGAUACAGAAAAAUAAGAAAAACGGAUAAGAACGUUACAGGGAUUCUUGCAGGCUUGUCCAUAUUGUGCUUCCGCCGAUGCCCAUGGUAUCUUGAGUGCGUAGUGAUGUAUGCGUGGUGUGAAUCUCGCCGGUAUGGUAGGUGGGUGGCGGAUGCCGAACUGCUAUUUCUGUUCCGAGAGUGGUCGAACUUCGGAGGGAAACUGCUUCUGGCCCCUGAUAUUCGGCUGGCGAAACGCUCCGUUGUCUUUAUCGCCUGGUGGCCUCCUCCCCUUGCUAUCGGCGUUGAGCUUGCCUGCCUGCUUGAGGACCCAACAAUUUCUGUUAGUAUGGUUAGCUGGCUUAUCAGGAUGACCAUGAAUCUGACAAGGUCGGUCCAAUAUUCUGUCAAGGGUGGAUGAUCCAUCCUGGUUUGCCUUUAGUGGCUUCUUCCAUUGACCGGGUUUCGAAUUGUGAAAUUCGGCGUUGACCGCUGUGUCGCGUAAUCCUUCAGUAUUAUUGCGACUGUUGUGUUCGGUUCGUCGAGGCUUACCGUUGCCGUCUUGAAUUUCGGAAGUGCCCGGGUCACUGGCGUUGUUGCUCUUACGAGCGAGCCAGGUGUCUUCUCCCGCACAAAAGCGAGUCAUCAGAGCGGUAAGGGCUAUCAUGGAUUUGGGUCCUUCCUGGCCGAGGUGACGCGCUAGCCAUUCAUCCCGGAUGCCAUGUUUGAAGGCUGCGAGGGCUUCUGCGUCCGGACAGUCGACAAUAUGUUUUUUUUUUUGACUAAGAACCUAGUCCAGAGCUCCCUGGCGGACUCGCCGGGCUUCUGGACAAUAUGACCAAAGUCAUCAGCAUCUAGUGGCCGGACAUAUGUUCCCUGGAAGUUGUCUCGAAAGGCGUCUUCCAAGUCUUCCCAGCUACCAAUAGAAUUUUCUGGUAAACUGUUUAGCCAGUACCGGGCUAGCCCUUUAAGCUUGAGAGGUAUGUAUUUAAUGGCAUGAAGGUCGUCUCCGCGAGCCAUGUGGAUAUAUAUGGAGGAGGUAAUCCUCAAUCCAUACCGCGGGAUCUGUUGUUCCAUCGUAUGAUUCGAUAUUAAUGGGUUUAAACCCGUCUGGAAAUUCAUGCUCCAUUACCUCGUCGGUGAAGCAAAGAGGGUGUGCGGCUCCUCUAUGUUGAGCCACACUAUGAAGCACCUCCGGCGGACUCUGUUUACGGAGUUCGGAUCGAGCGUGGUCGGCUCUGUUGUGUCCGAAUAGGUGACCAUCAUUACGGUCGGGGCAUGUCCCCGCGAUCUGUGUAUUGACUUCGUGUGUCAUGUUCUACCCUCCAGGUCCUUGGAUGUCGCGAGUGUUCCCCCGAGCUGUGUUGUUCUUGUUUUGAUGGCCGGAUGGGUUGGUAUGAUGCUCUGCUUGGGCUACUGCUUUGUCCGGACCGAACUGUGGUCGGCCUACAUCCUUAUUCGAUGGUGGUGUGGGCUUCAACGCCCUGCCAUCGUAUUGAGGGGGCCACCUGCUGUUGGGGUGGCUCUUGUCUGGGCCAAUAAGGCCGUAUUGUUCGGCGGCCAAGACCUCGGUCCAUCUAUCAUUGAGCAAAUCUUGGCUCGCUUUAAGCUGCAGCUGCUUCUUUCUUAGGCUCCUUGCAGUGGCUAUGAGCUGGCGUUUAAAGUGCUCCUGCUCGAGAGGUUCCUUAGGCACGAUAAAAUCCUUGUUGUCGAGGAUCUCCUCUUCCUCGGAGAGUGGGAGAUAAUUGCUAUCCUCUGAGUCUCCAUAUGUUACCUGUUCAUCAGGGUUGUCUUGCCCGCCUUCCUGUUCCUCCUGUUCGGAUCCUACCUCAACAGGGUCUUCAUCGUCCGGAGUGUUGUCUUCUCCGGUGCAAGUGUUAUUUUCUCUUGAGCGUCGUGACUUGGAGCGGCGCAAGGCGCGCCGGUGUUCGGACUAUGCACCAGGAGGCUUAUCCUCAAUUGGAUCCUCCUUGUCAUCGUCGAAAGCAUCGUUGGGUGUGUCUAUCAUACACACGUCAUACCAUGAAGUGGUCAUCCCGCGUCUAGCGGGUAGUGAGUUCUGGCCUUGCCCCUCAUCGUCGUCCGUACCGUCGAUGUCUUCAGGGCCGAGGUCAAGCGUGUUGGUUGGGUCUUCGACAGUGGCUAUGAAGUGGGUGGUGGGUGGGAAGCAAAAUUCUCCAUCAUCAGCCGUAAGUUCGAGCCGAACAUAGUUCAGUGGCGAGUCGCCUACCAGAGAUAGGUUUUUUAGUGAGUUUAGUACAUCGCCCAUGGGCGAGUGUUGGAAGACGUCUGCGGCGCUGAACUUGAAGAUCGAUAACCGAUCGAGUUCGGCAUCUGCAGACUCGCAAGGUUCGGAACCUGUCGCCGGGGACGAAUCCGGGGUUCCGCUGAUGCGGAUAUCAUACGCAGUAGAAUCUGUGUGCGGCUCGAACGCCGCCGAAUCGGUAGCCCUCGUGAUGGGGUUGAGCUUCCCAUCCCGGGACGACUUGAUCUGCUCCGGAUCUAAGGCCAGAGUUGCUGUAGGAGCUAUCUCCUCGAUGCGGCCCAAUGACAGGUUUAAGCCAUGUCCAUCGAGGCGGCGGGAGCGAUUGCCGCGGUCUUGAAUCCGUCGAAGAUCAAGUCUCCACGGACGUCCCCAACGUAGUUCAAGCUUCCGAAUCUGACCUGAUGGCCAGGGGCGUAGCUGUCGAUCUGCUCCAGAUGGCCAAGCGAGUUGGCCCGCAGUACGAUGCCACCGAACACGAAGAUCUGUCCGGGGAAAAAGGUUUCUCCCUGGACAACGUCACCAUCGACGAUUGAAGGGGCCAUCGAACCUUUUGUCGACGGCACAGUGGAACUCUCAAUGAAAGCACCAAUGUCGGUGUCAAAACCGGCGGAUCUCGGGUAGGGGGUCCCGAACUGUGCUUCUAGGAUCGAUGGUAACAGGAGACGGGGGACACGAUGUUUACCCAGGUUCCGGCCCUCUCUAUGGAGGUAAUACCCUACUUCCUGCUCUAUUGAUCUUGAUGAAUAUGAGUGUUACAAGAGUUGAUCUACCACGAGAUCGUAAUGGCUAAACCCUAGAAGUCUAGCCUAUGUGUAUAUGGUAAUGAAUGUCCCCUAUCCGGACUAUGCUCUCCGGUUUAUAUAGACACCGGAGAGAUCUAGAGUUACAUGGAGUCGGUUACAUAAGAAGGAAUCUUCACAGCUGGUCGCCUAGCUUGCCUUCCACGCCAAGGAAAGUCCAAUCCGGACACGGGUGUAGUCUUCGGCCUUCGUAUCUUCACAGCCCAUCAGUCCGGCCCAAUGAAUAACAGGCCGGACGCCCGAGGACCCCUUAGUCCAGGACUCCCUCACUCGGAGACCUUCUUGUGGGGACCAUCUACGAGAGGAAGUAAAGAGGGAGAUCAGAAGAGGAUACAUGAGAGGUUAGGGUGGGGAGGAGGCUGCGCCGGCGAGCGGCCACGGCUCAAGGCGGUCCGGCCGACGAGGAGGACGAACAAGGGAGAGGAAGAUGCAGAUCGGCAAACUGUGGGUUGGGCUUAUGACGUUGGGUUCUCACAAAACUAUAGCCCAUUUCGAAUUUGGUGCCCGUGACGACACACACACAACGCUUAUGUUGGGCCUAAUCACUCACUUCCAGCCCCCAACUCUGAUUUCCCCCUCAAAGAAAAACAAAACUUCAACCCUUCUCACUCCCCAUGAUCACAACAACAACAACAGAAAUAUCUAUAUGCAAGAUCAGGAAAUAUCUAUAAGGGGCAUUCAGAACACAUGUGACCUAAUCGCUAUAACAGCUUGAUAUUAUGGUGGGAUAGACAUAAACUGGUUCACGAAGGAAAGUUUCAUGAUGCAAACCAAAAUUCAAGGGGAGCACGUGCUAUAAUGGCAAACUAUGUUAAUGCCUACUCCCCUAAAGCAACUAGUAAAACAGGGGGAUGGAGUAUCCCUUCUAGGGUUUUUGUGAAGCUGAAUAUUGAUGUAUCUUUUCAUCAUGGUCUGCUUCAGGGUACAUCGGGGGUUAUUCUUAGACAUUACAAAGGCAGGCUCAUUGUCGGUGGAAACUGGAGGAUAGAUUGUCGUGCGGAUGUAUUAGCAGCAGAAGUUGUGGUGCUAAAGUUUGGGUUAUUCCUUGCACAGAAGGCGGAUUGCAAUCGUCUUGUUGUUAACUCGUACAGUACAUAAGUGAUUGACACAAUAAAGAAUGGAUGACACUCGACCGGAGCGGCGGUUGUAGUUUUCUAUGAUUGUUAAUUUUUGGGCUUGUGAUUUUUCUUUUAUUAGAUUUGAACUUUGUAAUAGGGAAGUAAAUAAGAUGGCAAAUGAAAUUGCUAGGCCAGCGAAAUUUUUUGUCACUAGUGAUUGGUUUGAGGAGUGAAUGAGAUUGUGCCUUUUUUAUUGACAAUGUAACAGUUGUUUCUAAUAAAUAAAGUUGAAGUUUUAUUGAAAAGGACAACAACAAGAAAAAAUAUCCUCAUCUUGUCCCAAGGGAUCUGAAACCCCAGUAUCCUUGCAUCUUUCUUUUGCAUGGCAUGUACAUAAGAUUUUCUUUGUUAGUAGCAUGUGUUGUUGGCGGUGGCGGCAUGAUGUUAGAGGUGACAUGUGUGGACGGAUGAUUGUUUCGACUCCAUUUAUUCUUAGGGCCUGUACAAUGCUAGGUGUUCAGCGAAGUGCUUAGAAAAAUAAACUGAGUUUUUAAAGCAUUUUUUAAGCACCGAUGUCUAUUUCUAAUGAUGAGAGACACCUAAUUAGACGUUUACCCUAUACAAAUAAACGUCGAUGCUUUAAGAAAUACUGAUUUAUUUAUCUAACAACCUUUCUUACGCACCUUACAUGGUAAGGUUCGAGAGCUAGUGGCGUCUUGGUUUCUCUUGUUUCUGUCACAUCAAUAUCAUGCUUUGGAUAUAUUCCAGUGCCCUUUUAUUGAUCACUGCCUAUGGCCAUUGAAAUGAGAUCUGGGACUCGGCCAGCUGCAAGAUACCUCUAGAAAGCGAAUUUCCUCUGACGCACAUAUGAAAUAUGACAGUACAAAAUAGAACAAACACUAAGAUUAGACAGAUGAUUGGAUGAUGUAACUAACUUAGACAUCGCUGCACCCAGGACGGACUUUCUUCUCAGACAUCAGAGAGAAACUGAGUGUCCAUGCUGUCAGAGACGCUGGCCAUUGGGCGUUGUCAGUGACUUUAGUCUCGCCUCGGAUAUGGGAGGGGCUAGAACCACCUUAUAAGGAGGAGUGCCACACUCCCUUCAGGCUAGUCUUUUGCGAUGUGGUGGACUCUUUGCUUAUAGUGGUGUGUCUGAUGCACACCGGAAACGUCCGAACAUAUGCCGAAGGUUGGGAGCCGGGCCUGGGACGCUAACAAUUGGUAUCAUAGCUGGGCCCCAGUCUGCCCUGUUUUAGGGGGAUGAGGUGUCAGAGACGCUGGCCAUUGGGCGUUGCCAGUGACUUUAGUCCCACCUCGAAUAUGGGAGGGGGCUAGGACCACCUUAUAAGGAGGAGUGCCACACUUCCUUCAGGCUAGUCUUUUGGGAUGUGAUGGACUCUUUGCUUAUAGUGGUGUGUCCGAUGCGCACCGAAAAUGUUCGAACAUAUGCCAGAGGUUGGGAGCUGGGCCUGGAACGCUAACACAUGCCAACUGCUUCUCCUCCACUCCACCUGCAUAGCACGCAUAGGAGGAAAUUUGAUGAUUAUUUGAAGUGAUAUCCACAUAAAGCACAGAGUUACUCAGCUAGCAAAGCACCUAUGUACAUCACUGUAUGGCUACCCAACUGAAAAUUCUGCUUCCUGACCCUCCUGAUUCAUGCGGGUGGCAUGGAGAUGGGUACGCCUCUCGAAUCCAUGUGAAUCGAAUCGUUGGAACAGAUGGACGGACAGGGUCGAUACCUUGUGUAGAUGGGGAGGGGAGGCCGGAGUGGCUGCCGUCGACCGACGUACGGCCCGCAGCCGACGGAGGAGCUUCAAAAGUGACCUUUUUGUCGAGCGAUGGCGGUGGUGGUGGGGUGCCGGAUGCGGAGGGUGGUGGGAAGCCGGAUGCGGAGGGUGGAAGGAAGGCUGACGCCUCCGUCGCCGCGGACGUACGAGGAGCGGCCGCGAGCGGUGGGGUCCGGGAGAGGCUGCGCCGGCGAGCGGUCCGGCCGGCGAGGAGGACGGGGAAGGGGAGACGAAGACGACGCAGAUCGGCGGAGUGUGGGCUGGGCUUGUGACGUUGGGGCCUCCGAAAACUAUAUCCCAGUUCGAAUUUGGUGCCCUAACACACAACUCUUACGUUGGGCCUAAUCACUCCCUCCUGGCUCCAUCUAUCAUUCCCCAAAAAAAAUCCUUCACACAUAGAUGGAACUGAUGAUUCUCAAAAGAAAAAGAGAUGGAACUGAUUGUGUCAUGUCUUAAAAAAAAGAUCGAACUGAUUGUCUAAAAAAAACAUAGAUGGAACUGAUGAUUUAUCUCCGAAAAAAAGAUGGAACUGAUGAUGACGUGUCUAGAGUUAGGACCGGAUAUAUGUUAGUAGGAGUAGCUUGUAAGAAAUUACCAUCCUUUACAUAUAACGGGAAUUCGAUGAGUCAUGUCAUGCUCUAGAGGCGUCAGUUCAUCUUAUCAUCUUAGAGGAAACUACAAAGUUAUUUUUAUGAAAAGCAACCAACUCUAGAAGAACCCUCCACACGCAAGGCUUUAAUAAUCGAGCAUAUCUUAACAGCCCACACACGAUUGCAAACUUAGUCCUACACAAGCUUUGCCUUUCUUCUUUACGGCUGACAGCCUAUACAAGGUUUCAAACUCGGUUGCAAAAGUGAUACUAUCCUGAUAAGUGUGUGACAUGUAAAGUGAAUAAGGUGAGUCAUAUAUAGCAAACAUCGGGGUUUCUGUACUUUGUGUGUGAUCAUAUGCACAAUUAAAAAGCAACUUUGAUGAUCAAUCCAAAAGUACGCGUGUAGCUAGUGCAACCUAACGCAUUGUACCAAAAAUCAUUUCAGAUGCAUCCAAACGGAAUAAUUAAAGCUAAUGCAAAGAAGAAAAGAGGUGGUGCCCAGGCUACUAUAAAUAGGCAUGAAGUAUAAAGAUCAUCACAAGCACAAGCAUCAAAACCAAGCAACACUAGUUAACACUAAUCCACCAUGAAGACCUUCCUCAUCUUUGCCCUCCUCGCCGUUGCGGCAACAAGUGCCAUUGCACAAAUGGAGAAUAGCCACAUCCCUGGUUUGGAGAAACCAUCGCAGCAACAACCAUUACCACUGCAACAAACAUUAUCGCACCAACAACAACAACAACCUGUCCAACAACAACCACAACCAUUUCCACAACAGCAACCAUGUUCACAGCAACAACAACCACCAUUAUCGCAGCAACAACAACCACCAUUUUCACAACAACAACCACCAUUUUCGCAGCAACAACAACCAUCAUUUUCGCAGCAACAACAACCACCAUUUUCACAGCAACAACCACCAUUUUCGCAGCAACAACAACCAGUUCUACCGCAACAACCAUCAUUUUCGCAGCAACAACUACCACCAUUUUCACAGCAACAACCACCGUUUUCGCAACAACAACAACCAGUACUACCGCAACAACCACCAUUUUCGCAACAACAACAACCAAUUCUACCGCAACAACCACCAUUUUCGCAACAACAACAACAACCAGUUCUACCGCAACAACAAAUACUAUUUGUUCAUCCAUCUAUCUUGCAGCAGCUAAACCCAUGCAAGGUAUUCCUCCAGCAGCAAUGCAGCCCUGUGGCAAUGCCACAAAGUCUUGCUAGGUCGCAAAUGUUGCAGCAGAGCAGUUGCCAUGUGAUGCAACAACAAUGUUGCCAGCAGUUGCUGCAAAUCCCCCAGCAAUCCCGCUAUGAGGCAAUCCGUGCUAUCAUCUACUCCAUCAUCCUGCAAGAACAACAACAGGUUCAGGGUUCCAUCCAAACUCAGCAGCAGCAACCCCAAGAGUUGGGCCAAUGUGUUUCCCAACCCCAACAGCAGUCGCAGCAGCAACUCGGGCAACAACCUCAACAACAACAAUUGGCACAGGGUACCUUUUUGCAGCCACACCAGAUAGCUCAGCUUGAGGUGAUGACUUCCAUUGCGCUCCGUACCCUACCAACGAUGUGCCGUGUCAAUGUGCCGUUGUAUAGAACCACCACUAGUGUGCCAUUCGGCGUUGGCGCCGGAGUUGGUGCCUACUGAUAAGGAAAGGUCUCUAGUAAUAUAUAGUUGGAUCACCGUUGUUUAGUCGAUGGAUAUGUCGAUGCAGCGGUGACAAAUAAAGUGUCACACAACGUCGUGUGUGACCCGCCCAAACUAGUUGUUUAAAUUCUGAAAUAAAAUACAAAUAAAGUUGUAUCAAGACAAUGUUCAUAUUGGCAUUGUGUGGAUGUCCAUAUGAUUGCCAUGCUUGCAAGUUCAUAAGUUUGUCUUUCCUGGUCACAAGCGCAACCUGGUGCCUUAAUUAAUUAUGCAUGUAUUGGAAUAAUUACUAUUUAAAUAUAAUAGUGUUACUGUAAAAUUUGGGUUGAACUCUUUAUCGGUUGGAGAUUUGAGAUCUUGUUUUUUAUUGGUUUGUAUCUAGUUCCAACUACUACCAUUGUCUAUAGUGACAAUCACAACCAGUUUUAUCGUUAAUCAUGUUUGCUUUCUUGCAAAUACAUUCAUUCAUUCUUUGCAUCUUAACUUAUUUGUCGAGAAAAGACCAGCUUUUUCUUGAACUUCACAAACACCACUAGCUAGUUAAUUUGAAAUAAGCUUCCAAUUUAUUUCCUUGUAUUUAUGUCCUUUACAUCAAACCAGUACAAUUAUUGUGCUACCUAGAGAAAAGGAGUUGCUGGCAGCACGGUCAUGUCAAGAACUAAAUCAGAUUGAAUUGAACUUGUUCUUUACAACUAGCUAGGAGCAGAAAACUUACUGUGAAUUGCACUUGAUUAUAUUUAAUUUUAUUUAGGGCUACAGGAAAAAAAUCAUCAAAGAAUGCCCUAAAAAAAUCUUAUCGUAAAAUAGGUUCAUCAGGAGAUACAGUCGCAAGAAAAAAAGGUUCACCAGGAGAUAGAUGCUGCACAUUAUCAUUUACUCCCUCCAUUCCAAAAUAGAUGACUCAAUUUUAUACUAACUUUAGUCAACUUUGUACUAACUUUAUACUAAAGUUAGUACAAAGUUGAGUCAUCUAUUUUGGAACGGAGGGAGUAGAAAUUAGACCAAGAGAAAUGUGGAUUUGGCGGCUCAUAAUUCUAUAAGACUAUAGCAGGCUGUCCAAUCAUUUACAAAUUAGAUCAAGAAAAUGUGGAAUUAAACAUAUUAAUGGCUAGGAUCAUAUUUGCAAUGUGCGAUUGGUAUGCACGCUCCAACAUGACCGCUGAAAGCAUUUUUCCUCUGAUGCACAUAUGAAAUAUGACUGGUAGAAAACAGAAGAAACACAGAGAUUAUAUGGAUGAUUGGAUGUUUUAACAAACUUAAACUUAUAAUCCACCGAGCGGACGAACUUCCUAGGAGCCUUUCUCUCGGACAUCGAUAAGAAACGAAAUGUUCCACGCGAACUUCUUCUUCUCCAUCUGUAUAACGCAUGCAGAAGAAUUAUUUUGAUGAUUAUUUCAAGUGGCAUCCAUAUAGUGUACAAAGCUAUUUAGCUAGAAAAGCCACAAAUGUACAUCACUGUCAGGCUACACGACUGAAUUCUGCUCCAUGACCUUCCUGAUUCAUGCGGCUCCUGAAUUUAUCUGAAUCGAAUCAUGGAAGAGACAGGCUUUCAGGGUCGAUAGCUCAUGUUCAUGGGGAGGCCAAAGAGGCUGCGUCGACGUACGGCCUGAAACCGACGAGGAGCUCGAAGACCUUCUUGUAGAGACCAUCUGGUAGAGAAGUAAGGAGGGAGAUCGGAAGAGGAUACAGGAGAGGUUGGGGGUGGGGUGGAAGGGGAGGAGGCUGUGCCAGCGAGCGGCCGCGGCUCGAGGCGGUCUGGCCGAUGAGGAGGGUGAACAAGGGAGAGGAAGAUGCAGAUUGGCAUACUGUGGGUUGGGUUUGUGACGUUGGGUUCUCAGAAAACUAUAGCCCAGUUCGAAUUUGGUGCCCGUGACGACACACACUGAGCGUUUAUGUUGGGCCUAAUCACUCACUUCCAGCCCCCCACUCUGAUUUCCCCCUCAAAGAAAACAAAAGCUUCAACCCUUCUCACCCCCCCCCUUGAUGACAACAACAACAACAAAAAUAUCUAUAUGCAAGAUCAAGAAAUAUCUAUAAGGAGCAUUCAGAAUGCACGUGAAUUAAUCGCUAUAACAGCUUGGUAUUUAUGGUGGGAUAGACAUAAACUGGUACACGAAGGAAAGUUUCAAGAUACAAAUCAAACUUCGAUAGGAGCUCGUGCCAUAAUGGCAAACUAUUUUAAUGCCUACUCCCCUAAGGCAACUAAUAAAAGAGGGGAUGAUGGAGCAUCCCUCCUAGGGUUUUUGGGAAGCUGAAUGUUGAUGCCUUUUUUGAUCAUGAUCUGCUUCAGGGUACAGUGGGGGUGACUCUUAGACAUGACAAAGGCAGGUUCAUUGUCAGUGGAAAUUGGAGGAUUGAUUGUCGUGCUGAUGUAUUAGUAGCAGAAGUUGUGGCGCUAAAGUUUGGGUUAUUCCUUGCACAGAAGGCGGGUUGCAAUCGUCUUGUUGUUAACUCGUACAAUAUAGAAGUGAUUGACACAAUGAAGAAUGCAGGACACUCGGCCGGUGUGGCGGCUAUAGUUUUCUAUGAUUGCUAUUUUUUGGCUUGUGGUUUUUCUUUUAUUAGAUUUGAACAUUGUAACAGGGAAGUAAAUAAGGUGGCUCAUGAAAUUGCUAAGCUAGCGAAUUUUUUUGUUAUUAGUGAUUGGUUUGAGGAGCCUAUGAAUGAGAUUGUACUUUUUUUUAUUGACGAUGUAACAGUUGUUUCUAAUUAAUAAAGAUGAAGUUUUAUUAAAAACAACAACAAGAAAAAAAAUCUACUCAUCUUGUCCCGAGGGAUCCGAAACCCCAGUAUCCUUGCAUCUUUCUUUUGCAUGGCAUGUACAUAAGAUUUUCUUUGUUAGUAGCAUGUGUUGUUGGCGGCGGCUGCUCGAUGUUAGAGGCGACAUGUGUGGACGGAUAAUUGUUUCGAUCCAUAUAUGUUCUGAUAGCCUUCUUAGGCCCUGUAUAAUGCUACGUGUUUAGGGAGGUGCUUAGGAAAAUAAACCAAGUUUUUAAAGCGUUUUCUAAGCACCAGUGUCUAUUUCUAAUGAGAGACACCUAAUUAAGCGUUUAGCCUAUACAAAUAAACACCGAUGCUUUAAGAAAUACUAGUUUAUUUAUCUAAGCACCUUCCCCACGCGCCUUACAUGGUAAGGUUCUAGAGCUAGUGGUGUUUUGGUUUCUCUUUUUUCUGUCACAUCAAUAUCAUUCUUUCGAAUGGGUCAUGGGUCAACCAAAAUGGGUUUGUCUCGCGACACGAAGGCCGUAAGAGCCGAGCAUCACUAGUCUAAGAAGACCAUCGAACAUGACAUCAUGGAGCGUUUUCUUUUCUUCUUGCCGUCUUCUCCUCCUAGUCCACUAUGUCUCCUUCAACACCAAGGAGUAUUCUUUUUCUCUACAAACACCUCGUAUCGACCUUACGUCCUGCAAAUCACUGAUGGUAACUUCCAUCCUAUCACGAUAACAAUAUUCUCUUUCAAGAAUCAGCCUUCCUCGAGUUACUUAUACCACGUUAAUUGUUGAUGCUGAAAUUAAUAACCUCAACCGUCAACUGCACCCUUGCAAACAUUAAAACACGCGGGUCCAACUUGGUUCAAAACCCAUCGAUCGAUGAUAGUCGGUCAUGUGGGAUUCCGAUCGACUUAGACAUUGAGGCGUUAAAGUCACGUAGAAUAUUUUCUACAAGAAAACAUAUAAUAUAUUCAUCUUCAAUCACGACAGUAUAACAAACACGAGAAAUAAUAAAAAUUACAACCAGAUCCGUAGACCACCUAGCAACGUCUACACCAUAGAUCGAGACAAAGAAGACGAGGACUGAUCCAAAUACUUAAUCACAUGGUGCAUUCGUCGUUCGUUUCAUCAUCACCUCCCGACUGGUAUAGGCACGUCUGGUUCACGUAAUACCCCACAUAACAAUACAGUGGUUGCAUGGCCGGGCAAUAAGAAUAGACGGAGGGCGUGUAGCAUUUUGCUGAGCUCAAUCGCCGUGCAGCCGAUCAAGUUUAGGCAGAUCAAUGUUCCACAAAAUUACAUAGGCGACAAGACAGCCAUAGGCGACAAGACAGUAAAUAAACUACCACAAGCGAUAAUGGCGUACCACACAAAGGAGGCGUCGUCGACCGUCCUCGAAUUACUUAUACCACAUUAAUUGUCGAUGCUGAAAGUAAUAACCUCGACCGUCCACUGCACGCUUGGAAAAAAAAUAGUUCUUGUCAUGGAUAUAAUCAUGACAAUACUAUGGUGAUGUGAAUGUAGAGGCAAUUAUUACCUGAUUGGUACGUAAAGCAGAUGGGAUUAAACACACAGAAUUAUACAGGUUUGGGCUCUCUACGGUGUUGGUAACACCCUACUCCUGUGUGAUCUCGCUCUUGGCGUAGAUUACAAUGUGAGAGAGUUCAACCCUCAGUGUGAUGUCCUACUCUUGUCUUAUAUAUAUGGAGUACGCUAGGAGGGAGUGCCAUAACGGGCUGGUGUAAAUACUAUUGAUGGUCACAUGCAUGAUUGACUAUUCGUGGCUAUUAUUACUGCUAACUGGUGUAACGGCAAUGAUGAAUGCUCAUGGGGGGUCACGGCAUCCUAGGACGUAGCCGACUGUAGAUGGUCCGACUACUCCUGUCUUGCCGAUGUCCGACUGUAGAUGAUCUUACUGCUCCUAUCUUGCUCAUGACCGACUAUCGAGUCUUGUCUGUUAGGGGGCGUGUGAUCCUACUUUAGACACUGGACUCCUUAAUUAGCGAGUAUUCCCCUUGUAUCUGAUGCCCUGGGCUUGUAGCUCCAAUGCCCCAUUUGGGACCGUAUCCUUGAUUAGCCUGGGCUUUUGGCUGGGCCAUAUGUGUACUUAGGCCUAUCCCUUAUAUAUAACCCCAAUACUAUGUUCAUGGAACAAGUAGACGUCAAAAAAUAUAAGUUUAAAAAAGGUAAUCAUGUAUUUGAAAACUGUUGAACCUCUCUAUCAAAAAUAUUUUUGAUAUAUACAAAAAAUAUAUGUCAAAAGGUUGACACUAAAAGAAAGGAAAACAAUGAAAUCCCUAAACCCUAAACAAAGAAAACUGUGAAAGAAACAAAGAAAAAAAAGGAUAGAUAAACGAGUAAAAAAGGAAAACAAGUGUAAAACAUGAAAGAAACAAAGAUAACCAAUGAAGAAACAAAAGAAGAAAGAAAAUAAGAAGAAAAAACUAACCAAACUAGUAUGUGGAACCGAGUGAGCGAAUGACCUGAGCAUGAGCGAACGACCCAAGGUUGUCAGAAACAUGAUUUUGAAUCGGAUAGAAGUUCUGAUGGUAGGAUUGCAAACCUUACAACGACCUGAUGCUAUUCUUGCACCUUCAGGCGUGGCAAAUGCUAAUCUCGCUUUCAGCGAGAUAUAGCAUUCGUGAAGCAAUGAAGGGUGUCAAAUCGUCAUAGCUAUAUCACGCAUAUUCAGGCUCACCUCUGGAGUCCGCAUGUAUGGGCUGGAUCAUUAACGUGUUCUCUCAUAUCUCUGUACGUUCUUUUUCUUUUCGAGUCUUUUUUAAGUCGGGUUUCUUUUCAUCUACAUGAGAAAUAAUUUUAAAUAGAAUCAUUAACAUUAAAAAAAAUACAUGUUUUCAUGUCUAAUUUUUUCAUACACAUUAGAAAUUGUUUUGUAUGCACCAGGAACAUUUUUUCUCUAUACACAUUUAACAUUUUUCAAAUACACGAUUAAUACUUUCAAAAUAUAUCAUUUGAUGUAAAAAAAAUCCAUGUACAUUUUACAUCUGUCUUAUAUAUUAGGAACAUUUUUUUCUAUACACAUUUAACAUUUUUUCAAAUACACAAUUAACACUUUUCAAAUAUAUGUUUUGAUGUAUAAUUUGUUUCAUGUUUUACAUUACAUUAGGAACAUUUUUAAACAAAUUUAACAUUUUUUAUAAUUUCACAUACAAUUUUUUAAGUACGUGAAGAUUAUUUUGUUACCACAAUUUGUUUAAUGCUAUCAAUAUUUUUUUAACAAUGCACAAACAUUUUUUUCAAAAUUUCAGCAUUUGUUUGUGGAAUAUAUUUAUUUAUUUUAAUAUGAAAAAAUAGAAGUAAAAAAUAUAGAGAUAAUCUGAGAGAAAAAACAAAACUGAGGGUAGAACUGAACAAAUCUGUCUCUAGGGCGGCCCACCCGGGCGUUUCUUCAGGAGACGCUGGCUUUCGUGUCGCUAUAAGCUACCCAUAGCCGCGCGCAUAUCGAACCAGACAUGAUUGGGUGUUUGCCAUCUUCUUUCACAAGGUGUGGAUAUUGUAGGCAAGCAGCUUAUAUUCAGUGAUGGCUUUUGUCGUAACACGACAACGGUUUGCUCUUUCAGUUUCUUACCAAAGCAACUGCGGUCAUAACAUGAACCUAUCAAUCACACUUGUAACAUUCCCAUGCAACUCUAGCUAGAUUGGUUCAAACACAUUGGCUCACACAUCGAGGCGAUAUAACCGUAGAGUUCACAACAGGCAACCGAAUAACAAAACAUAUGCAACCCUAAUAUCACAAACUCAAAAAUGAAAGAUGUCAUAGCUUGACAAAAAGAAGGCACCGUAAUGCACCAGAUAAGCGAUCGAGAGACUUAAUCACAUUGUGCAUACGCUCGUUCGUGUGGUCAUUUGCUCCCUGGUCCGUGCAGCUACCCUACAACAGACUGCAAGCAAGUCUUUUGAUCGUGGCCAUUGCCGAAGCACCCUUGAUCCCACUUGUUCCCCGCCAAGAAAAAGGCAUCUAAGUACAGCUAGCGCGGCAUAAUUCAAACGUGACACUGGAACCGAUAUAGGUGGACCGGGGUGGUCAGGAACACUGUCAUCGAGGUUAUUAGGCAUGGUUUUCAUAUUUGUACUUCCUACCCUAAAACACGGUUCGGAUUAGCCGUGUUUUUUUUUUCCUUUCAUCGACCUUAGAAAUGUAGAGGCGAUUGCUGCGUCACCCUGUUUCUGUUUUUGCCGCCAUUUCUGAUAUAGCGAUAUAGGUACGGUCCCUAACUGUCCAUUGCAUGGCCGGAGCCUAAGAAUAACGGACGGCGUGCAUCACUUAAUUUGCAUGCUAAGCUUAAUCACCGUGCCACCGGUCAAGUUGAGGCAAAUCUACCCCGGCCGGCUAAAUUCUCGCUGAGCAAUCAAUGGAAAGGAGAUCGCCCUGUUUGAAAAACCAUAAGAAGGAGACGUUGUCAUCGUCGGGAAGCUAGUUAGAAUGGCGUACCACGGGAAGGAGAGCUCGCCGGCGGCGGGGCAGGUGCUGGUGGUGGCGGUGGCGAUGGCGGUGCUGCUGCUGGCGCAGCAUGCGGGGCGCGCCGACGCCAAGAUGAUCUUGUACGACGUGAUGCAGGGGGACGAGGUGCCGGGACGUAACGGGCUGACCCACGUGGAAGACGAGGCCAACAAGUACACCCGCGGCUGCGAGAGCUCCAACAAAUGCAGAGGCUGAGAACCACGGCAUAGCCGGGAUGGUAGGCAUGGGCUGAUGCAUGCCUGCCCGCCUGGGUUCGAGCCUCCGUGCUCGCAAUACCAGCGCGUACUCACCUAAUUCUUCUAUAAAAGUAAACCGAGGGAUUCUUCCCCUCCGGUCUCGAAAAAAAAUACUAACCAAUUUGCACUCAUUACAUUCCUUCCUACCUUUUUUUUGUUAAUAAGCGGGAGAUAAAUACCCACGCGAUUGCCACGGAAUUCGGUUGUAAUUAUUUUAAUAAGAAUUGGUUGUAUGAAAUAUCAUUAGUUAGAUUCACUUGUAGAAAACAGGGCUUUGGUUCGGGCAGAAAAAAGCAUUAAUCCCGGUUGCAUUACGAACCGGGACUAAUGUGAGCAUUAGUCCCGGUUCGAGCGGCUAGGGCACCGUACAGGCAUUAGUCCCGGUUGGUGCCACGAACCGGGACUAAAGGGUGCGAUGCCCAUUAGUACCGGUUCGUGGCACCAACCGGUACUAAAGGUUAGACCUUUAGUUCCGGUUCGAGCCACCAACCGGUACUAAUGGGGUUUGAGGCAUUAGUACCGGUUCAUGGCACGAAUCGGUACUAAAGGUCCCAUUUCCAAACUCUACCCCCUAUCGCCUUUUCAGUUUUGUAAAAAGCAAAAGAAAAUGAUAAAAACUUCAAAAAUUAAAAUCCUUCCAGAUGUAGUUAUGUUACUACAUGUACUAGUUAGGAAAAUUAAAAAACUUAAAAUUGGACAUGUUUUGCAAAAAGUGUAGGGAAAAUGUAAAACGGCUAUAACUUUUGCAUAUGACGUCAGAAAAAAACGUAUAAUAUAUCAAAAUGUUCAGCACGAAAAUCCGCAUCCGAUUUUGACUGCCUACGGCUUGUUUGCAAAUUUUUAGAAUCCUCAAAUUCUAAAAGGAAAAAAAGUUAUGCUCAAAUUUCUGUUUUUUUGAAUUUUUGUUAAAUCUGGUCAAACUAUGGUCAAACUACUUAUUCAAGAAGUAUUAGUGUUACUAAAUAAUUAUCCAAGAAUAUUAUUGUUACUAAAUAAUUAUUUCAAUUUUUUGAAUUUUGGUCAAAUCUGGUCAAACUGUGGUCAAACAAUGGUCAAACUAAUUAUUCAAGAAAUAUUAGUGUUACUAAAUAAUUAUUUCAGUUUUUUUGAAUUUUGGUCAAAUCUGGUCAAACUGUAGUCAAACUAUGGUCAAACUACUUAUUCAAGAAAUAUUAGUGUUACUAAAUAAUUAUUGUUUUUUAGAACAAUAGUUUCAAAUUCAAACAAUGAAAUGUGUGACUUCAUGCUCAAGCUAAAUUCCUGAGGGUUAAUAGGAUUGACAUCUUACUAUUGUCAGGAAAACAACAAGUGAAGACUUGGAAACGAGGGAGAAUAGAACCCGGAAGUUAAGCGUGCUCAGGCUGGAGUAAUGAGAGGAUGGGUGACCGUGUGGGAAGUUAGAUGAUUUGGAAUGAUGAUGGGUGAUUAGAGAUUAGAGGUUAAAUUGAGCAGUGAUGAGGGGUGAUUAAAGAUUAGAGGUUAAAAUAAUUCAGAAAUUUGAAAAUAAAAAAAAAUUCAAAAAAAAUCAUAAAAUUUCCUUUAGUACCGGUUCAACCGGGACUAAAGGUGGACCUCCAGGCAACGGCCACGUGGAGGGCCUUUAGUCCCGGUUCAUGUAAGAACCGGGAUUAAAGGGUCGUUACUAAGUUAAUGGAGAUAACUAUUUAGCUUGGUACUGAUUGAUUUGUUGUCACAUGCACAUUGGCCAAUUUCAUCGAUUCAUGUCGUCCAAUUAGCUAGCCAAGACCUGGCCGUACAUGCUCUGCUGAUUCCUAACUAACAUAGGUUAGAGACCAGUCGAGUGAAAAUGAAUUUUGCGUUUGUCCAAUCGUUUCCACCCUUCAGAUACAGAUCCAACGGUGUAGGUGCCUUUUUCUACCUCUCAAUCAUUUUCCCUGUUCAUCUUCUACCCUAAGCCGUCCGCGGCCAGCGGCGCUCCGGCACCUGCCUCGCCUCCCCGCGCACCGCCGCGCUGCCAUCGUCUCUGGCCAUCCCUCUAACCCUGGCGAUGAACAGAUUUUUCCGGCGGACCAGCACCCUCCCCCCUAAAAUAGAUAGCCGGCGAGCCUACCAUCCUAAUGUAGACACCGGGGUCGCCUGCCAUCCUAAGAUAGACACAAAGGGCUUCGCUGGCGAGCCGGCGGCUGUUUCCUUCAUGUGAACUCGACUGACCCAUAUAUUAUUUUGAUGCAACUUACAAGUAGCUAAAUUGGAAUAAACAAAGCCCAUAUUCCAUAAAAGUGUUAGUAAAUGAGGUUUCCCAAUGUUAAUAAUGCUGUCGAUCGAUGGGGAUGUCCCGGUAGAGAAAGUCAUCAUGCUACAUGAGCGCAUGGCCACCCAUGUGUACAUCACGGCUUUCUUCUUCUCAUCCAACUUAUCUGCAUUGAUCGAGACCACGCACCAGGCCACCUAGGCGGAUUAGGCGCCAUAGCUCCUUCCAGGAGGACAAGUUGCUAGUGGUAACCGGAAUCGUCAUGCCCUUUUGUCGUUGCCACUAACCAGGACGAUCGUCGAUUGAAGUGUAGACGCAUGAAGGUGACGCUUGCGUAGCAGCUACUACAAAACAACCUAUUUUAUUCAUCUCCCGCUUAAUUUAUUUUCUUCCCUCUGAAAUGCUUGCAUAUUUCACAAAACAAAACAUUAAUAACGUCGUGAAGGCGCCUUAGCACAAUCGAGACAAGGAGAUUUCAAGUGGCUCCUCUAUUUUCUCCGACGACGACGUGAACACCACGGAGGGCCGUCGGUUUGAUCCGGGACACUGAGAUUAGCGAAGCACGAAAUGAAAGAGAAAUCUAGCCUUUUUUUUUCUUCUAAUGGAGGAGACGGGUACUAGUAGUCAGCUGAGAACUACGAACUAAAACCGCGACAUUCUUUUUUUGGAAUGGAGGAAGUAACUAUUUUCGAAUCGAUCAAGUCGUGUGUGCUUGAUUAUGAAAACAUUUCAGUUUUAUAAUUAAGAAAAUCUCCUUAAUCGCCAGAAAGAAAAUGAAAGGAGAAAGAAUACUACUACUAAUAUAAAGAGCUGCUUUUGUAGCUAGGCAACAUUCUCGCAGCAUCAACGUUAAGGCGGUAGCUGCCAUGGUAGUGGUUGGACCGGCAGUGAUCACCGUCAGCUUGAUCACGACUGAUCGACUGAUUGGUGUGAGACUAGGGCGUGCCAUACGUGCACACCGGCCAGCCGCCCACCCGACCCGGGCAGGCAUCAACAGCACAAGAGUACAGUGCAGUACGACUGCACAAUGAUUUCCCUCAUCUUCCUCUUUGAUUGGAAUGCACAGGACUAACAAAAUUUUAAAAAGUAUUCAAGCAUGUAUUAUGUGUGAUGGAAAGCGUAUGUGUGGGUAGCUAGUUUUCUCAUUGAUCAACGUACGUACUUAAUUGAUGGAGUAUUGCAUAAUUACUUGGUUAAAUUCAGCUAUCAUCAAGUAGCUAAUUCAUUGUAUCAGCAGAAUCAUGAACCCAAGAAUAACACAUGGGUAAAACUACUGAUUAUAAUCAAUCCAUACUCUGGAUAUCACAAGGGAGGGUUGUAGGGGUAGUUGAAAAGCGCUGUAGCUGAAAAGAAGGUCGUUGCUUUGCAAGAAAAAAAAUAAUGCAAACCUUACUAUAUGUACACAUCUACCGGUUAAUCUAGAGCUUCAGAUGAUUAAAUAACUUUGUAUGUGCCACUCCAUGGAAAAUUGAGUAAACACAUCUCUUUAUUAAUCAAGAAGCUACAUACGCGGCAACAAACAAACAUGAUCACAUGUACUACUACAAGUAGUUGCAAGCAGCAAGAGCAGAACAGAACAGAAGAUAGGCAGGAGUCAGAUGGAUCGGAUGAAAAAAAGAAAACGGAAGAAGGGGAAGAGCAGCUUAAUUGGAGCUGGCCGGCCGGGGUGAUGGAGCUCAGCCGGUCUCUAGUCAGUGGUGAUGUGCACGCCGAUGACGAUGACGAAGAGCGCGAUGAGGGCGAAGUAGAUGAUGGCGUGGACGAGGAUGGCCAUGGCGCUGGUGUGCAUGUUGCCGAACUCCACGAAGUGGUGCUUCCCGGGGAGCUGCAGCAGCAGCCCCGGCGACAGCAGCACGAACAGCACCACCGCGAUCACCACCGGCCCCCAGUCCGACAUCCUCCCUCUCCCUCCCCUUCUCCGACUCCGGCAAGCUUCUUUCUUUCUCUCUAGCUAGCUCCUCGCGGCAGAGAAAGGAAGGCAAUGGAGCAGAGCAGAACAGGAGCGGGGGCGCAGAGUAGAGCAGAGAAGGAUGGUGUGAUUGUGGAGGGAAAGGCGUGAGGGCUCCCUUUCAUCGCCAUUCGGUUGGUGACGUCUCGCUUUCCCUACCGCCUACGACCACAUCGCCCGUUUUCUAGUCACACCUUUUGCACUUGUAUUUUCUAGUCACGCCUUUUGCACUUGCGCUUCAGAAAAGAAAAGAAAAGUUUUUUUCUAAAUUAUUAUAUACUGUUAGCAGCUCCAUGCAUGAAUUUUUUUUAAUCAAAUCUUAUGAUUAGGUAGUCCUUUUUGCGAAAAAGGACCUAGAUCUUUUACAAAGGUUUGUAAAAAGGGCAAAGCAUCCUAUAUACAUAAUAAAAUAAAAUCGAGCACAACCGAAGGACCACUGCCACCGUCGGAGUGGCCAUCUAUGCGCAGCUAUUGAUGCUCUCCUCUACCUGAGCCGGUUUGACUUCGUUGAUGACAGUCGGGAAGUCUUCAUGCACGUGCCCCUAAGGUGCGGCGUACUAGAGCUGAUAUCAUCGCCACUGAACCCUUGAAUAGAUCUAAAACAUCUGACUCCAAAUCUAAUCAUCGCACACAAACAACGAGAAACUGUAACCUCAUCACACCAAGGAGACAUCAUGGAUCUACACCGGAGCUCCAUCGAAUCCAUCCCGAUGGACAAACUCGAUGAGAAUCGAUGUCCGGAAGACCAACUCGAAAUGAACCACCGACAUCUACCUAAACGCCGCUUAUGCGAGAACAAAAACCCUAACCUAAACUACUACCCAAAGUCGAGGCACCGAGAUCCCCCUUCCCCAUCACGGCCGCCUGAGCGGCACGCAGAGGGGAGGUGGAUCCAUGGGCUCACCGGCGAAGCCUGAAGGGAAUGAGUGCCCUAGCCGCCGGAGUCACGAAAGUGAAAAGGAAACCCUAACUUGGCGGGAAGGUUUGUGUAUUUUCUUUGACCAUUUAUAAUUAGGUAGUUAAAUAGGUGAUUUCGACAACAACAGGAGCGAGGAGAACAACUUCAGAAACGAAACCUUUUUUAAAUUUCACUUGUUUAACUCCAUGGAUGGGGAGUUCAAACAAUUAUGAUUAGCUAGCUAUAUCUAGGUGAUUUCAAUGCCACAACAACAUCAAGGAGGAGAACAACCGCAAUUUUGCUUUUUUUUAAUGAGCUUGUUGAUAACAGACAGGCAGGCAGGCAGGCAGGCUGGUGGACAGUGAGUGUGAGAGUGAGGUCUCUCUGGCGGGACACCUCUCACUCUCGUCCUGUCCUCCAUGAGAGUGAGUGCUGAGGUCAACUGGCAAUGCUCAUUGCGUGACCAAUAUCUCCUCCCAACUGACAACGACUUGGCCUGAACUUUUCUUAUCUAUUCGAGCAUAUCGUACCUUAAUCUAGAAUACAAUCCAGUGGAACCAAUGCGGGAGAUGUAAUUGCGAUUAACCUUCAGGAAGCUGCAUGAAGAAGAUGAUGAUGGUCUCUCAUGUUUUAUGGCCGUGCCUGAAACUUCGCUUUCCACCGAGCAAGAACAAGUGGCGGAGGGCGAAAUGAGGAAAAGGUGGAGAAGAAAAAUGUGCGUGUAGAGGAUACGCAACACCUAAAGCCACACACACAAAAACAAUAUGCUAGCUAGCUAGCUGGUCCAUGCCAUGGCAUAUUGACAUGACAACUCCGCUUAUUUGCUGCAACCAUUUCAAAGGACACAGUGGAUAUGCUAUACUCCCUCCGUUCCUAAAUAUAAGCCUUUUUUAGAGAUUCCAACACAGACUACAUAUUAAGCAAAAUGAGUGAAUCUACAUUCUAAAAUAUGAUUAUAUACAUCCAUAUGUAGUUCCUAUUGAAAUAUCUAAAAAACUUAUAUUUAGAAAUGGAGGGAAUACAUUAUUUAGAAACUUAUAUUUAAAAAACGUAUCGAAAUAUCUAAACAAUACAUUUUUUUUUAAUUUUCAUAAAUAUUACGCUGGGUAAUUUUUUUCAAAAAUAAUACUCCGUCGGCCCGUUGCAGGCCGACUGGGCCUAGUCGGCCCACAGCAGGCCGAUUGGACUGGCCCCUGUCGGCCCACUGUGGGCUGAUUGGGUCCUGUCGGCCCACUGUGGGUCGACUGGAGCUAAUUAGCUCGUUGUGGGCUAAUUGUUUUUGCAAAAAAAGUAGGCAUAAAAAAUAUGUUUAAAAAAUAUUAAUUAUGUAAUUAAAAAAUGUUAAACGUGUAUAAAAAAAUGUUCCUAAUGUAUAAAAAAAAUGUACAAUAUAUAUGCAAAAAAGUUGACAUAAAAAAUAUGUUUUAAAAAGUGUUAAGCAUGUUUUUAAAAAUUGUUAAAUGUGUCUAUAAAAAAUGUUUCUUAUCUAUUCAAAAAAUAUAGAAUGUGUAUGAAAAAAAGUUGACACCAAAAAAAUAUGUUUGAAAAAAAUAUUCCAGUUCCAUACAAAAAGAGCAACCAAUCAUACUUAGGUCUGUGAUGCUCCCAUACCGGAUCCGGAGCUGGAACAUUUUUUAUACACGUUUAACCUUUCAUUCCAAUACAUGAAACAUUUUUGUGUACUCGUUGAACAUUUUUUCAAAUACAUGAUUAACUUUUUUUCAAACAUAUUUUUUUGGUGUCAACUUUUUUCAUACACAUUCUAUAUUUUUUGUGUAGAUAAGUAACAUUUUUUCAAAUACAUGAUUAAUAUUUUUUUCAAACAUAUUUUUUUGGUAUCAACUUUUUUUCAUACACAUUCUAUAUUUUUUGUAUAAAUAAGGAACAUUUUUUAUACACAAAUUUAACAAUUUUUAAAUACAUGCUUAACACUUUUUAAAACAUAUUUUUUAUGUCAACUUUUUGCAUAUAUAUUGUACAUUUUUUGUAUACAUCAGGAACAUUUUUUUUAUACACAUUUAACAUUUUUUAAUUACAUAAUUAACUUUUUUUAAAACAUAUAUUUUUUAUGCCUAAUUUUUUUGCAAAAAAAUUAGCCCACAGCGAGCCAAUUAGCUCCAGUCGGCCUACAGCUGGCCGACAGGAGUCCAAUCGGCCUGCUGUGGGCCGACUAGGCCCAGUCGGCCUGCAACGGGCCGACGGUGUAUUAUUUUUGAAAUUUUUUUAUCCAGCGUAAUAUUUAUGAAAAUUAAUUAAAAAAUGUAUUAUUUUAAAAAAAUAGCCAUUAUUUGCAUGGAUGAAUAUAUCGUCGAGGAUAUAACAAGAAAAAGAACACUGACAAGAGUUACCAAGCAAGAUCUGCUGCAUAUCAGUUUGUGCUCCUUAAUUAUAUCCAAGUGUAUCGAAACGGCAGUAUGGCUUUUGUUUGCUGCAUGAUGGAGACUGGUUCCCCCAUUCAGUUAGGCCGAUCUACAGUUUACGCAACUCAGCCAUACUCAUUCCUGAUUUCAUCUAUUCUCAUAUCGUGGGGAAACAAUGAAACACUUUCUUUCCUGCCGGCUCCUUGCUUGCUUAGUCUUUCUCUGCUCCCAUAAAAUCGACGAUGAUAAGAAGACAAAAAUAAAAUUCACCAGACAAGCUCAACCCCUUUCGUUCCUGAAUGCGUGAUCCACCCAAGUGUAUUCACAUGCCUUUUGUUGAUGCUAUGAUGGAGACAUGUUUUUCCCAUUCAGUUAGGCAGAUCAACGUUUUUCUUUCUAGCAUAUUGUUAACUCCAUGGAUGUGUUUAUUUAAUUCUUAAUUAUGAUUAGGUAGCUAAGUAGGUGAUUUCAACAUCAACAACACCAAGCACUAGGGCAUCAAUAAAGAGAACAACCAACUUCAAGAAAGAAAACUUCUUAAAAUUUCACUUGUUUAAUUCCAUGCAUGGGACUUUCUUUCCUUUCUUUUUUUAAGAAAAUGAGGAUUAUGAUUAGCUAGCUAAUUAGGUGAUUUCAACACAAGAUUAACAUCAAGGAGAAGGAGAAGAGUGAUUUCACUUGUUUUUAAUGAGCUUGUUGUUAACAGACAGGCAGGCAGGCAGGUGGGCAGUGAGAGGGUGAGAGCUAGGUGUCUCUGGCUGGACACCUCGCACUUUUUCCUCUGUGGGAGGAAAAAGUGCUUAAUUGUGUAGAGGAUAAGUAACACCUAAGGCCACACAGACAUUGACAAUUUAAUUGAUUUGCUGCAACCAUCUCAAAGGACAUGUCGGAUAUACAUAUAUACGCAUGGAUAAUAUCAUCACAGAUAAUAAAGAAAAAACAAUCGAUGAUUCUUACUUUACGGGCAGAUAAUACAUGGAAAACAAUGUGUGUAGAGGAGACGCAACACCUGAAGUGUCACACACACACACACACACACACACACAAACAGUACUAUGCUAGCUGGCUUGUCCCUGACAUGGACAAUUCAAUUGAUUUGCUACAACCAUUCGAAUGACACAGUGGACACAAAAACAUAUAUGAAUGAAUAAUUUCUCCAAGAUAAGAAGAAAAAACUGUAUGCAUACCGGUGUGUUCUUCUUUUGUUCAUGCAUGCAUGUUGGAUGGACCAAGUGUAUCAGCAGUAUGGCUUUUAUUUGCUGCAUGAUGGCGACAGGCUCCCCCAUUCUGUUAGUCCGAUCUAAGAACUUCACAAUUCAGGCAUGUGCUUAGUCCAAAAUUCAAUUAUUUAUCGUAUCCCGGAUUUAAAUUAAACGAUAAAACGCUUGAGACAGGUUUCUCUGCAUGGAUAAAAACAACAAGGAUAACAAAAUAGAAAAACCCAAAUGAUAAGUGCCACACGUCAGGUGCGUGGCACUCCGGCCCUGACGUUUUUCGAAGGAAAUUCCAGUCAUGCAAGGAUGACAAAUUGCAGUGAUCUGUCAAAAAUAAACUGAAGCACGAAAGUUGUCAUGCUUGUCAACUAAAGUUGCCAUCCUUGUGUAACUAAACUUGCCAUCAAAAACGUUCGAAGUUGCCAUAUGCAUGCACCUGACGUGUGGCACUUAUGAGGGUCCUAGAAAAAGGAAACAAAUAUAGUUAUCAAGCAAAAUCAACUGUAUGUUGCUCUCUUCGCCCAUUGUUCCUGAAUGCAAUACCCAUCUAAGUGUAUUCACAUGCCUUUUGUUGAUGCUAUUGCAAUGGUUGAGACAUGUUUUUCCCGUUCAGUUAGGCAGACAUUUUUUUAGCAUACUGUUAACUCCAUGAAUGUGGUUAUUUAAUUCCUAAUUAUGAUUAGGUAGCUAAGCAGGUGAUGUCAACAUCAACAACAACAACUACUGCAUCCGUAAAGAGAACAACAACUUCAAGGAAGAAAAACUUCUUAAAAUUUCACAUGUUUAAUUCCAUGCAUGGGACUUUCUUUCCUUUUUUAUAAGAAAAUGAGGAUUAUGAUUGGCUAGCUAGUUAGGUGAUUUCAACACAAGGUUAACAGCAAGGAGGAGGAGAAGAGUGAUUUCACUUGUUUUUAACAAGCUUGUUGUUCACAGACAGGCAGAUGGACAGUGAGAGGGUGAGAGCGAGGUGUCUCUGGCUAGACACCUCCCACUUUUCCCCUGUGAGAGUGAGUGCUGAGGUCAAUUGGCCACAAGGCAAAUGCUUAAUUGUGUAGAGGAUACGCAACACCUAAAGCCACACACACAAACAACAUGGUAGCUAGAGGUCCAUGACAUUGUCAAUUCAAUUGAUUUGCUGCAACCAUUUCAAAGAACACAGUGGAUAUACAUAUAUACGCGUGAAUAAUAUCAUCAAUCAAAGAUAAUAAAGGAAAAACCACCGAUGAUUGUUACCGACGGGAAAGAUAAUACAUGGAAAACAAUGUAUGUAGAGGAGACGCAACACCUAAAGUCACACAAACAAAAACAAUACUAUGCUAGCUAGCUGGUCCAUAAAAAGGGCAGGGUCUUUGGGUCUUUUCUAUGCAGUUUUUCUCUAUAUUUUUGCUAGAGGUUUCAGGACUCGAACCCGUGACCUGACCAAGACAACAGCUCUACCGCUAGCUAGCUGGUCCAUGACAUGGACAAUUCAAUUGAUUUGCUACAACCAUUCGAAUAACAAGGUGGACACACAAACAUAUAUGAAUGACUAAUUUCUCCAGGAUAAGAAGAAAAAACUGUAUACAGACCGGUGUUUUUUUUGUUCAUGCAUGCAUGUUGGAUGGACCAAGUGUAUCAGCAGUAUGGCUUUUGUUUGCUGCAUGACGGCGACAUGCUCCACCAAUCAGUUAGGCCGAUCUAUGAACUUCACAAUUCAGCCAUGUGCUUAGUCCUAAAUUCAAUUAUUUAUCGUAUAACUAAGGUGUCCAGCAGGGUUACGCCUUGGAGGGGGCGCUACAAUUCUACUGCUGGAAGGGUCUGUUUGAUCAAUGUGUGUUUGUCUUCUCUUCGUAUGUAUGUUAUGGGUUUCUAUCGCCUUAUGGAGGGUAUUCAUGCCGGUUUUGAUAAAUAUCGGGGUGGUUUCUAUUGCAAUACCAUGGACAAUAAAAAGAAGUACAGAUUGGUUAAGUGGAAACUCAUGUGUAGGCCCAAAAGUAUGGGGGGUUUGGGGAUCCUUAACACUUUCAUUAUGAACAAGUCUUUGAUCCUUAAGUGGUGGUGGCGUAUUCUUUCAGAUGAUCAGGGCAAGCUUUGGUUCCACAUAAGCCCAAAUAUUUUCCUCACUCCUCCCCCCUCAUGUGCAAUCCUGUGGCCAGCUCUUCCGUUUCUCAAUUCUGGCGCUAGCUGCUCAAUGUUCGGGAUGACUUCAAAGCUUUGGUGAAAUUCUCUGUUGGCAACGGUGCCUCCGUUCGUUUUUGGUUGGAUUGGUGGGUUGGGGAUGGGACCUUUGCGCUUUCCUUUCCUGUUUUUUUCUUUUGUUACUUAUCCUUCUGUCUCCAUCGCGGAGCUGGCGGCUAGUGGUUGGGACCUCGGCUUUCGCCGGGUCCUAUCUCCUGUAGAGUUGGAGGACUGGCACCGGCUUGUUGCCUGCGCUCUCGGAGGCUCAGGACUUGGCCCCAUUCUGCUUCUGGCCGCUUUUCUGUUAAGUCCUGUUAUCGUGUUUUGUCCUCGAGGUCAGUGGUGUCUAAGUUUAAGCCCAUCUAGGUGGUCAGAGUGCCUCCGAAGAUCAAAAUUUUCAUGUGGCAGGCCUUGAGGGGCUGACUGCCCUUCGCGGAUUAUAGUAAGAAGAGGCACGGCCCGGGUUCGGAGUUUUGCUCCUUGCGUGGGAACUUAGAGGAUAUUAAUCACAUUCUAUUCUCGUGUCCUCUGGCCCAGCUACUUUGGAGUUGUAUUAGGGACUGGAUGGUUGUGUCGUGGGCGCCUGCUAACUUUAAUAAUCUUCUUGCGCUUUUGGUUCCUUUGUCUAUUCAAGUCAGAUGGGUGUUUUGGUUCGCCUUCCCUGCCAUGUGCUAGACCCUCUGGACGACCAGAAAUAAAUUUACUAUCGAACAGGUGUUCCCUAACAAGGCGGUUCAUGUUGUUUCCAAUCUCUCAAUAUUUUUGAUGCAGUGGAAAUCUCUGAUUAAGGAAGGCAACAAGGCAGCUGUGGAGUUGCUCAUUUCCCGUGUUCGUGCUUCGGGAAUAUCUGUCUCAAGGGGUGAUCGACUCAGGCCGCAGUAGGUAUUGCUACUUGUCGUCGUUUGGUGUUAGUCAUCUGGGGACUCUUGAUGCUGGCCUGCGUGCCAUUUUGCCGGUUGUGGCCGUCUGUUGAAUUCGGUGCUGUGGUGUGUGUCCGUCCUAAACUCUUGUUGUCUGUCCUACUCGGUUGCCUGGUGCCUUUAUUAAUUUAAAGCCGGGCUGAGGCCUUUUCUCUAAAAAAUUAUUUAUCGUAUCACGGAUUAUAUGAUAAAACGCUUGAGACAGGUUUCUCUGCAUGGAUAAAAACAACAAGGAUACGAAAUAAAAAAAAGACACGGAUAUAGUUACCAAGCAAAAUCAACUGUAUGUCGCUCUCUUCGACCUUUGCUCCAGAAUGCACGACCCAUCCAAGUCUGCUGACAUCCCAUUUAUCGACCAAUGAUUGGCACAGGUUUUUCUAUUCAGUCAAGCUAAUUUAUGGAUUUCAGUAUUUCAAACUAAUGGAACUAUUUCUUUCCUGUCGAUACCUUGCUUGGCCUUUCUCAGCAAGAUGAAAUUGAUGACACCCUUUUUCACUGCCAUUGAUCCGACCUGUCUCUAGCUGUCCAUUGGUGCUGGUCACCGCGACGGCAAGGAGGGCAAGGAGGGCUGCCCACCUUUGAUUAAUCAUGCAUGCAUCUGAAUUAUCCAAAUUCAUCAAGAUAUCCUAAAUAGAUCCAACCUGAAGAUUAAACGUAGUGCAGUGGAGGAACAUAGGAGUUGUAAAUGUAAUUAGCAUGCACUGAUUGUUGGGCAUAAGCCACCGCAGGACGCGUUGGGUGCGAGCCAGGGCGCGCCGGAUCCGUGGCCGUGUGUGUGUGCGCGCUUGAGUUUGUGGCUUGAGUGAAAUAGUGGCUGUUCGUGCAGCCGGGUGGCGUUCGUGCGCCGGAUAUAUCUGCUGUGUGCGCCUCGUUCUUCUUCCUCCUUUCCUCUAGUCCUGAGCGAGAGAGAGUGAGAGCUCCGUUGAGAGGCACGGCAAGGCUACGGUAACAACAAUUGGUAUUCAGAGCCACUAGUUCGGGGGGCGGCCGUGGCGCGCGGCGGACAUGAAGGUCUCGGCAACGCGCGGCGAGUCCACGGCGGUGUGGCGUGAUGCCGGGUGCGCGGCGAGCGCGUGGCGUCAGCAACGCGCGGCGAGUCCACGGUGGUGUGGCGUGAUGCCGUGCGCGCGGCGAGCAGCGACGGUCGCAGAGACGAGGAGGUCACGAAGGACCUGCGUGGUGUCGCAGAGGCCGCGGCGGCUCGGCGCGACGACCGUGGAGGCGCUGCGCUGUGGUUGACGGCGCAGCGGUGCAGGGCAAUAAGCGCGGCGGCGAGCCGGGCGCGACCGGUGCGUGUUAUGGAUGCGCACCGGACGCGUCGGGCACGUCGGGACCGCGGGAGUGGACCGCGUCGAGGCGCAGGACCUGGUUGCGCAGACCGCGUACGUGCGCGGCGGGAGCGCGGGGACGUGGGGAGUGCACGCGAAGGGCACGGCGGCACGGUGGCAGGCGUGGCAGCGACGUCAGGGCGGCGGCGGCUACAACAACGUCGACGGCACGACGGAGGCCGCAGCGGUGCGGUGCGACGGCCAUGGCGACAUCAACGACGAUGGACUCACCUGCUGUAGUUCGUGGCUUAGGGGGGUGUGUGUUGGGCAUAAGCCACCGCAGGACGCGUCGGGUGCGAGCCAGGGCGCGCCGGGUCCGUGGCCGUGCGUGUGUGUGUGCGCUUGAGUUUGUGGCUUGAGUGAAAAAGUGGCUGUUCGUGCAGCCGGGCGGCGUUCGUGCGCCUCGGUCUUCUUCCUCCUUUCCUCUAGUCCUGAGCGAGAGAGAGUGAGAGCUCCGGUGAGAGGCACGGCGAGGCUACGGUAACAACACUAAUCAACUAGGUUAUUCGGCCAUCCGUUGUUGUACUAGCUAGCCAGAGCCAUAAGGAGGAGGAUGUGAAGAUGACACGCACACAAUAUCAAGUUUUUGGGUUUGUGCUCGUGUUGCAUAUUUCACUUUCCAUCAAGAAAAAAAAAUUGUGGUAUAGGAUGGCAGAAUGAAAAUAACGAAAAUCAAUAUAUGGAAUUACGGAUGCAACAACUAAGGUCAUACCCACCACAAGAAUUGUGUGUGUUAUAGCUAGUUCAGCAGAUGACAGUAUUGCCAGCUUCUCCUUUGUUCUAGCUAGGACACAAAUUCGAUCCACUGAUUUGAGGCAUCGAUCUGCCGCAAGUCCUCAAAGGACAUAUAGACAAGGCGAAGAACUAAAUAAAGUUGCAAAGCAAAAUUAUCGAAAAAAUAUGAUCCCAGAGAUACACAGUAAUGUUGUCAUCAAAUCUCAAGAAUAUAAAUUUCACAUGAUCCCACCAUGUAACAUAUCCCAGGUCAGCAAUGACUGAGCGCAGGCUAACUAAUUAACAUGAAGCAAGAACCAAACAGACAGAAAGAGCAAAAGAAACAGCUAGAACAGGAUGAAGCAGAGUAUUGUACUACUCAUGAUGACGAGCCGAACUCGAUGUGGACGCCAACGACGACGAGGAAGAAGGCAUCGAGGGCGAAGAAGAUGAUGGUGUGGAUGAGGAUGGAGACGGCGCUCGUGUGGAAUUUGCCGCACUCGAUCGUCCGUGAUUUGCCAGGGAUCUGGAAGACAAGCCCUGGGGACAGAAGGAUGAAGAGCAUGAAGGAGAUGAGAACUGGACCCCAGUCUUGCAUCUUCUUCUUCUUCUUCUUCUUCUUCUUCUUCUUCUUCUUCUUCUUCUUCUUCUUCUUCGAAGUCUUUGGGAUGACGAUGAUGAUGAAUACUCAAGCCAGCUACAGCUAUGCUUCUUCUUCUUCUUCGAAGUCUUCUGGUUCGUGUCUCAAACCGGGACUAAAGGGGUUCUGAAAUUUGUUAUUUGUUUUCUAUUUUUAGUUUAUGUUUUAAAUUGCUUAUAUUUUUUAGGAUAUUUGAUGUUUUUGAGUGAUUCUUUUUGCAUUAGAUUCAAAAUUUUGUCUAGUUUUUGUUUGUGCCAUUAGUUUACAAAUUUGAAUGUUUUAAAUAUGAAUUUUUUUCAAAUUUUCUUCAAACCCUAGAUUGUGAAUAAUUUGAGUUUAAAAAUGGGUUUUAAUUUAAUUGUUUUUGCUCCUAGUCACAUGUAAGACUGUUGUCACACAGUAAGAUUUAUUUGGUUAUUUUUAGAAUAAUUUGAAUUAGGAUUUUAGUUAAGUUAAAAAGUAAUUCUUUUUGCCACUUUAAUAGAACGUGACUCUGGCUGGGACGGUGCUAGCAGAUGUAGUGGACGGUACGAUUGGAUGGACACCAUCCGGGACUAAAGGGGUUCAAACUCUACCCCCACUAGUGCAGAACCGGCCUUUAUCACCGGUUCGUAAGGGCCUUUAGUGCCGGUUCUGCAACCGGCACUAUGGAGUGGAGACUAAAGGCCCCCCCUUUAGUACCGGUUUGGCACGAACCGGCGCUAACGUGCCACCACGUGGCACGAGCCAGGCCCGGGUGCGUGUAGGACAUUAGUACCGGUUGGUAACACCAACCGGUACUAAAUGUUUGGGUGUGUUUUGGUUUUAAUUUUUAUUUUUCCUUUAGUUUUGUGUUUUCAAUUUAAUUUAGUGAUUGUUUUACAUUAUAAUGAGUUGUUAAAUCAUUAGGUGAAAGUACCGCAGAUUAGUUUCGACUGGAUGCAUGUGGAUCCUAGCUAAGUGAUCUAAGUAAUAUGGAUAUGGCAUAUACUUGAUUACUUAGCUAGGAUCCAUCCAGUUGAAACUAAUAUGCGGUUUCUUUCAUAAAUGUUAUAAUAACUCAUCAUCAUCAUCAUCAUAUUAUAAGCGUUCAUAACACCACAAAAGCAAAUCACUCUUUGAGAUUAAGUUCAGGACGAAGAACACGGACACGCAUGAGAGGACAACAAGUACUAAGAGCAUGAUAACUAGCUAAAUCACUCCUGCUGCUCUCUCACAGGUAAAAUAGCAUAGAACAUGUAUAGCUCUCUUGAUUCAUCAUAUUGGAGCAUGCAGAUGAACCUGUCUCCUAAUCGUGGGCUGCGCUUCUGAUUGGUGCCCCCUAGUACUUCUCUGCGAUCGUUAACAAUUUUGCUCCAAUCUUUCACUAUUAAGCAUUCAUCGCUUUCAGAAAUCCUGAAUGCACUCAUGUGCACUGUAGGAUAUCUUGGCCGUAAGCUAACAAUUGACAUGCGACCUUUAGUCUCGAUCCACUGAGGCACAACUGUCAUCGGGAGUCCCUGUUGAAGAACAUCGUAUAGUAAUUAAUAUACUUAGCAAUGAAAGUUUAGCUUGAAAAAUAAUGUAUGCAAAAGAUGCACUGAGGACUAAUAGUAAAAAUCUUACCAUCUUUCCUAAAUACAUGUGACCGUAGUUCAAUACGAUCACUAUUGGUCGCACGUUUUGAGUACUAAGAUUUUCAAAUUCAGGAAAAUGAUUUCUCUUAACAGCAUCAAGAUCCUCAAGCCAUGAAACAUAAUGACUUAUCUCCUCGCAGUUUAGUUCAACUCCGGGACAGUAGUAGGUCCUGUCUACCAAGCGCCGGACAUGUUUGCUUGAAUGGAAAUAAGCUGUCAAUAGAAAUUAGUUGUGAACUAUUUUUGAAUAAACAAUAUCAAAGACAUAAAUAUGGUUGAGAAACUCACAUAAUGGUAGAACUGGAGGCGUCUGCACAUCGACCCAGAUGUCUCUAUUACCUUCAAUAUCAUCUUCCGGACGAAUAUCAAAGGUGAUAACCAUAUCAGGCUCAAAUGCAUAAGCCUUGCAUAGUGCUUGCCAAGUUUUGCAUUCAAAAUAGGUGUACGUGUCUGCAUUGUAUAAUUUGAUGUUGAAAGUAUAACCAUGCUCGGUCUUCAGGUAAACUCUUUUUACCUCCAUAGUUUCCAUAGCACUGAAACCUAUCUUAUCCAAGACAAAAAUUCUUGCAUGGCAGGGGAUGCGCUAGUAGAAUAGUGAAAAUUUAAAAUUAUAAGUUGAAGCAAAUGAAGCAUAUAUAAGUCAUGCUUAAUUACGAAAAAAGACUUGUCGUUGUGACUUACUGUAUCCACUUCGAAGGUCUCAUCCAGCUUGAUGCUGAAGCGCCUAUCAUCAACAAGGAAAUUUCUGUCGCACAGGCCGCGCUGGUCUUCACAGGAUUCGCACUUAAUGAAAUCUUUUUCGUCGUCAGACGACAUUUCCUAUGUUCAUAUAGGUGAAACAUUAAACACUUACUAGUUCUAUUAAUUCAACUAAUUCAACUACUUCUAUUAGUUCAACUAGUUCUAUUAAUUCAACGAAUUCAACUAAGCAUUUACUAAAAAUAAACGUGUUCUAUUAAUUUUCUUACUAAAAUAAAGUAGCUAGUUCCAUAUAGUAAUAUUUUAAUUAGAUCAUCAAAUCUCAGGUAUCUAAAUUUUCUUACUAAAAAUAAACUAGUUCUAUUAAUUCAACUAAUUCAACUAAGAAUUUACUAAAAAUAAACUAGUUCUAUUAAUUUUCUUACUAAAAUAUAUAAGGUAGCUAUAUAUAUAGUAAUAUUUUAAUUAGAUUAUCAAAUCUCAUAUACCUAAAUUUUCGUACUAAAAAUAAACUAGUUCUACUAAUUCAACUAGUCCAACUAAGCAUUUACUAAANNNNNNNNNNNNNNNNNNNNNNNNNNNNNNNNNNNNNNNNNNNNNNNNNNNNNNNNNNNNNNNNNNNNNNNNNNNNNNNNNNNNNNNNNNNNNNNNNNNNNNNNNNNNNNNNNNNNNNNNNNNNNNNNNNNNNNNNNNNNNNNNNNNNNNNNNNNNNNNNNNNNNNNNNNNNNNNNNNNNNNNNNNNNNNNNNNNNNNNNNNNNNNNNNNNNNNNNNNNNNNNNNNNNNNNNNNNNNNNNNNNNNNNNNNNNNNNNNNNNNNNNNNNNNNNNNNNNNNNNNNNNNNNNNNNNNNNNNNNNNNNNNNNNNNNNNNNNNNNNNNNNNNNNNNNNNNNNNNNNNNNNNNNNNNNNNNNNNNNNNNNNNNNNNNNNNNNNNNNNNNNNNNNNNNNNNNNNNNNNNNNNNNNNNNNNNNNNNNNNNNNNNNNNNNNNNNNNNNNNNNNNNNNNNNNNNNNNNNNNNNNNNNNNNNNNNNNNNNNNNNNNNNNNNNNNNNNNNNNNNNNNNNNNNNNNNNNNNNNNNNNNNNNNNNNNNNNNNNNNNNNNNNNNNNNNNNNNNNNNNNNNNNNNNNNNNNNNNNNNNNNNNNNNNNNNNNNNNNNNNNNNNNACGGGGACGGCGCAACGACGAGCGGCAGGCCGGGGGCGACGGCGCGAUCGAGACGGCGACGUGGUACGGGGCGGCGGCGACGAGCGGCGGGGGCGACGGCGGUGACGGCGACGAUUGGCGGUGAGGGCGACGGCGGUGACGGCAACGACGGGUGGCGGGGGCGGCGAGGGCGGCGGCGAUUUUGCGCGAAGGAGUUGGAGAAGAAGUGGUGGUCGAUGAAACUGAAUUUUUUAUAAGUGCCAUAUAUAUAGGAGGGGCCUUUAGUACCGGUUGGAGCCACCAACCGGUACUAAAGGCCAAUUUUUGCCAGGCCAAGGGGCGGAAAACUGCCCCUUUAGUACGGGUUCGCGGCUCCAACCGGUACUAAAGGCCCCCCUUUAGUACCGGUUGGAGCCACGACCCGGUACUAAAGGUAUGCGCUGGCGCAGGAGCGGUGCGGGCAAGUUUAGUCCCACCUCGCUAGCCGAGAGGCGCCCGCACCAGUUUAAAAGCCCCGGCGCGGCUGCUGUCUUGAACUCCUCUCUAUAGCAGGCUUUUGGGCCUAACUCUGGCGCGCUGCCCGUUGAGCCUGCUGGCCCUUCUGGGCCUGUAUUUGCAAACCCUAUGGUUGGCAGGCGCAGCGGGCAGCGCCCCAACAAUUUUUUAUAUAAUUUUCUUCUAUUUAUUUCCGAGUAAUUUUUUUGCUGUAUUUAGUUUCUUUGUGAAUAAAAAAGAAUUAUAUAGUUUUUUUUCUUUUCUGCAUUAUUUAUUUUCUGCUAUUCAUUUUGUAGUGAUUUUUAAUUUCACUGUCAUUUAGCUCUCUAAACAAAUCGGUAAAUGACUGAAAAACAACAAAUGAUGUCAGAACGUGUUGGAAAUUGAUGACGUCGCUUUGAAUGAUGCAUACUGAACGCAAAAAUAGGCUGGAGUUCAAAUAAGUUUAAAAAACAUUGAAGUGCCCGUGUAACAGAUGAGUUCUCGUCCGAAACCCUGAUACUCCGAAAGAGAUUGUCCAGUUUGUACACGAGGUGCGUCCAGUUUUCGCCGUGACCCUCUCUACUCUUUUGCACAUGCUAUGCGGGCGAAAUGAUGAUACCAUGCCAAGUUCCAACAUUUUCAGAGUUCAUUUUGUAGUAAUUUUCAAUUUCACCGUCAUUGAGCUCUCUAAACAAAUCGGUAAAUGACUGAAAAACAGCAAAUGAUGUCAGAACGUGUUGGAAAUUGAUGACGUCGCUUGGAAUGAUGCAUACUGAAUGCAAAAAUAGGCUGGAGUUCAAAUGACUGAAAACAACAAAUGAUGUCAGAACGUGUUGGAAAUUGAUGACGCCGCUUUGAAUGGUGUGUACGGAACGCAAAAAAGUCUGGAGUUGUAAUAAGUUUAAAAAAAUGAAGUGCCCAUGUAACAGAUGAGUUCUCGUCAGAAACCCUGAUACUUCGAAAGAGAUUGUCCAGUUUGUAUACGAAGUGCGUCCAGUUUUUGCCGUAACACAAGAAGUCCGGAGUUGUAAUAAGUUAUUAAAGAUAAAAAAGACCCUGAUACUUCGAAAGAGAUUGUCCAGUUUGUACACGAAGUACGUCCAGUUUUUGCCGUAACACAAGAAGUCCGGAGUUGUAAUAAGUUAUUAAAGAUAAAAAAGAGGCACAAUGCUCGUUAAUUAGCUUCAAGUCUUUCGGAAUAGUGCAAACUGCACUGCACAUAGCUCCGUGCAGUCUACACUAUUCCUCAAGGCUUAAAGCUAAGCAACAUGCAGAUGAGCAUUGCGCCUCUCCUUCAUCGUCUCUGCACUCAGAGCUUAUAAACCGCUCCUAGUGCCUCUCUCUUCGCGAGGUGGGACUAAAAAACAGCUUACUAAGAAACUAUAGUACCGGUUCAUGGCACGAACUGGUACUAAAGGUGCCCGUGGGGCCCCAGCCUGACCACAGCCUGACGCAACAUCAUUAGUACCGGUUCGUGACACGAACCGGUAUAAAAGGUUGCUCACGAACCGGUACUAAUGAUCUCCGUCCGCCUAGCCGUUGGAACCGACACUAAUGGACACAUUAGUGCCGGCUCAAAAUCAAACCGGCACUAAUAUGCUUCACAUUUGACCUUUUUUCUACUAGUGCCCCCCCCCGCGUGUAUCGCCAUUCCAGUUUUGAAAAGAACAAAAGAAACUGAUAAAAACUUCAAAAAUUAAAAUCCUUCGAGACGUAGUUAUGUUACUACAUCUACUAGUUACGAAAAUUUAAAAACUUAAAUUUGAACAUGUUUUGCAAAAAAGUGUUAUGAAAAAGUAAAACGGCUAUAACUUUUCCAUACAAUGUCGAAAAAACGUAUAAUAUAUCAAAAUAUUUAGCACGAAAAUCCAGAUCCGUUUUCGACGGCCGUAGGCUGUUUUGCAAAUUUUUAGAAUCCUCAAAUUUUGAAAGGAAAAAAAGUUAUCUUCAAAUUUUUUUUUUGAUUUUUUGGUCAAACUCUGGUCAAACUACUUAUUUAAGAAAUAUUAGUGUUACAAAAUUAUUGGUUUUAAGAAUAAUAGUUUCAAACUCAAACGCGAAACUGUGAUUUCAUGCUCAAGUUCAACUCCUAAGGGUUAAUACGAUUGACAGCUUACUAGUCAGGAAAACAACAAGUGCAGACUUGAAACGAUGAGGAAUAGAACUCGGAUGUUAAGCGUGCUCAGGCUGGAGUAGUGAGAGGAUGGGUGACCGGCCGGAAAGUUAGACGAUUUGGAAUGAUGAGGGAUGAUUAGAGAUUAAAGAUUAAAUUGAGCAGUGAUGAGGAGUGAUUAAAGAUUAAAUUCUCAAAUAAUUCAGAAAAUUGAAAAUCAGAAAAAAUUAAAAAAAUAUUCAAAUAUUUUUCUAUUUUUUUUUCAAAAAAAUUCCUUUAAUCCCCAACCGGGACUAAAGGUGGAGCUCAACAGACGUGGAGCCCCUUUACUCCCGGUUCGUAGGUGAACCGGGACUAAAGGUUUUGGGCUUUAGUCCCGACAACCGGGACUAAAGGCCCUCUGAAACCGGGACUAAAGACCCGUUUUCUACUAGUGCAUGGUCCCUCUUACCUUUUAUUUUCACAUUAGAGGUAAGAGUAUAUAAUAAAUUUGAGCCGUUGAUUUCAUUAAGUAGUCGGUCUGAGUAACUCUUACCUUCUUACCUCCCAUGUGAAAAAAUGAGCUACGUGAGAGGGACUAUGUUAAAAUUUCUCGUCGUCAAGGAUAUAAGAAGAAAAUGAACAAUGGUAAGAAUUACCAAGCAAGGAUCAGCUGUAUAUCGAUUAUAUAUAUAUAUAUAUAUAGACUAUUCGUCACCUUGGGUGAGAAAUAGUUAUUCUUCACCCCCCUCUAUUUUACCUUCAAUGCACCGUAAUUUUAUGUUCCGUAAGUUUUGUCUUAUUUCUGACACAAAAAGAGACCGUAAGAAAAUAUAUAAUCGCCGUAAAAAAUAUUUCAUGUUCUGUAAAAUUACAAACGUAAAAACAUAGUGUAAAAUACACAUAAACUGCAAAUUUUCUUGUCUUAUGACCUAUAUUUUUAUUUUCUUAUGCCAAAUUUUACAUAAUGAAUCAAUAUGAAUGUAACUAUAUAUCGCUCUCUUCUUCGCCUUUUUUUCCUGAAUGUGGGAUCCAUUCAAGUGCAUUGACAUGCCUUUUCUUGAUGCUAUGAUUGAGGCAUGUUCUCCCAUUCAGUUAGGCCGAUCAAUGUUUUUUAUUAUACUGUGAACUUUUUAUUAUGAUUAGGUAGUUGAGAAAGUGAUUUCAGAAAACAACGGCCGCGGCAAAGAGAACAACAACCUUAGAAGAAGGAAAAUAAAACUUUUUACAAUUCACUUGUUUAACCUUAGUUGAGAAGAGGAUUUCAGAAGGUGACUUUCUAUUCUUUUUAAGAGAAGGGUGAAUAUGAUUAGCUAGCCAGUUAGGUGAUCAACACAAGAUUAAUAUCAAUGAGAAGGUGAAGAACGAUUUCACUUGUUUUUAAUGAGCUUGUUGAUAACAGACAGGCAAGGCAGGUGAAAAGUGAGUGAGGUCUCUCUGGCUGGACAUCUCUCACUUUUCCUUCUGUGAGAGUGAGUGCUGAGGUCAACCGGACACAAGGCCAACUCUGCUAGUCGUCCUUCUACUCCUAUCACUUUUCUUUCCUGACAAAGACUUGCUCUGAACCCGUAAUUCAGAUUCACGGUGAUGACUAAUCCAUGAACAGGAAAGAAAAAACAUGAUUUAAACAUCCGAUGUUCAAAUUCUGAAUCCACCGAUCCACUAAUCCAGCAUAUUUACACGAAUCUAGAAUGACAUCAACUAGGAUUAACAGGAGCAAUAACUAUGAUUAGCCUUCACGAAGCUUCAUGGAGGAGGAUGUAGUCGUGUUUUCUUGCCGUGCCUGAAACUACGCUUUCCAUCAAUCAGAAAACAAGAGGUGGAGCGGGCAAAAGCGGAAAGGAAAACAAUGUAGAGCGGUCACACACACACAACAGUACUGUACAAUGCUAGUUGGUCGAUGACACUGACAAUUCAAUUGAUUUGCUGCAACCAUUCCAAAGGACAUAGUGGAUAACUUGAUAUACAUACACACACACACAACAUGUUUUGGUUCGCGAAGAUAAGAAGGAAAAACCACUUAUGAUUGUUUCCAAGCUCAAUCAAUUGUAUAUUUUUUUUGAUACAGUGUGAUAUAUAAAUAUCAAGAUGAUAUCAAUUACACCUGGCUUCUGCAACGACACUAUAUCAAGACCAAGUCGUGACAUCGAGGAUGCACACAAUCAAUCGUGUAUAUAUGGGUAUGUUCUCCUUAUGAUCAUGCAUGCAUGUUGCAUGGGCCAAGUGUAUCAGCAGUAUGGCUUUUGUCUGCUGCAUGAUGGAGACAGGUUUCCCGAUUCAGUUAGGCCGAUCUACGGAUUUCGCAGUUCAGCCAUACUUUGUCUGAAAUUCAUUUAUUCUCGUUUCGUGGAUGGCUCUUUUCUGCAGGGAUAAAAUGGACAAGGAUAAGAAGAAAGAAGACACUGCUAAACCAAAGUUACCAAGCAAAUAAACUGUAUAUAUGUCGCCCCCUUCGCCUUUUGUUCCUGAAUGCGUGAUCCAUCCAAGCUUGUUGACAUGGCUUUUGUUGAUGAAUGACUGAGACAGGUUUUCUCAUUCAUUAGGCUGCUCUAAGGAUAUCCGUAUUUGAACUAACUCAACGCUUUCUUUCAUGUCGAUUCCUUGCAUGGACUUUCUCAGCAAGAUGAAGUUAGUGAAACCCUUUCACUGGCAUUGAUCCUGCUGCCCUCGAGCUGUUCAUUGGCGCUGGCCGGUGCAAUGGUGGUGAGGGAAAGGAUGGGGAUUUGUCUUUAUGGUGAAUUGCUCUUGACUACUGCUACUUGUCUUCGAUGUUUCAAUUUGUAUUUUGUACUUGUGAUGAUCUUUAUCGCACAAGUCCAUUUAGGGCAUAAUCUCUUGCCGUCUUUGCAUUUUUUUCUCUUUUUGUUUUGGACGUGUUGGAUUGUGGACAUCUUGUUAUGUAGAUGUCGGAUUGCAGUCAGUGUGGUUGUACCAGCUUUGAUGGGAUGAUUGAAUGAAAUUCCAGCUAGCGAUUUUUUUCUUUUUUUGCAUCCAUUUUCCAUUUUUUUGCAUGCAUGCUUCUGAAAUGGAUCAUUUUGGAUAUUCUGUCAGGUUGCACUAGCCACAAGUUUAAUAGAGGAUUGAUCAUCAAAAGUUGUUUGUCUAGUUGUCCAAAAGAUCGUAUGUUUAUCACGAAAGCAUGGUGCUUGGUAUUUUAUUCUGAGGAAAAACUGACUCUCCGUUUUCACUUUACGUAUCAAAUCCUUAUCAAGGUUUUGUACUUUUUUGCGGUAGAGGUUUGGAACUUUCUACAGUUUGUGUAGAGUUCAGUAUCUGAACUUUGUACAAGAUUAGUAAAGCUUUACACAUCGAGUUUUUUUUUCUGGAACCAACUUUGUUGUGUUUUCUAAAGUGAUAAGACGAAGUGGAAUUGGUAGAGUGACACGACUCGUCAAAUUUGCUUUAAGGCAUCAAGAACUGUAAUCCAAAAACAAGAAGUUUAACCAUUUCACUUAAUUUUAAUGAGUUUACUGAUGUUUGAUGACAGACAUGCAGAGACGGUGAGAGCGAGGUCUUUUAUUUUCUAGAUCAUGGAAGAACAUAUAACUUUUCUCCUUUGUGUGAGUGAGUGGUACUAGUAACUGGUGAGGUCAACUAGCAGGCAAAUGUUCAAUGCUCUCUUUUCUGAUGAAGGUUGUUCUUAACUAACUCUGAAUUACAUGGAGGAUCGGCUGCCUGCCUUUGAUAAAUCAUGCAUCUGAAUUAUCCAAAUUCGAUCCAACCUGAAGAUUGAAUGUGAUGAAGUGGGGGAACAUAGGAGCUGUAAAUGUAAUUAGCUUGCACUGAUCAACUAGGUUAUUUGGGCAUCCGGUGUUGAACUAGCUAGCCAGAGCCGUAAGGAGAAUGAUGUGAAGAUGACACACACAUCCAAUCUCAAGUUUUCGGGUUUGUGCUCGUGUUGUAUAUUUUGCUUUCCAUCAAGAAAAAAUUGUGGUAUAGGAUAAUAGAAUGGAAAUAAAUAAAAGGAAUAGACACUUGCAACAUCUAAGACCAUACCCACCACACGAAUUGUGUGUGUUAUAGCUAGUUCAGGAGAUGACAGUACUGCCAGCUUCUCCUUUGUUCUAGGACAAGAUUUCAAUCCUCUGGUUUGAGGCAUCUUUGCUGCAACUGCUCAAAGGACAUAUAGACAAGGUGAAGAACUACAUAAAGUUGCAACGCAAAAUUAACUAUGCAUAUAUCUAUAUGUUCUCCUUUUCUUCCUGCAUGCAUGAUCCAAGUGUGCCGACAUGCCUUUUGUUGCUGCACCUGCAUGACCGAGAUUAUUUCCCAAUUAUGAUGUCUGAACAUGACUUUUCUCUUAUGCCAAAAUUCAGUUCAAACGAUCCAUGGGUUUCAUCAUUAUGCCAUACUUAUUUUUAAAUUAGUUCACCAAUAUAUACCAUGGAGCACUAGUGAGACCCUUUCUUUCCGGCCUACCAGUACCUUGCCUAGCCUUUCCGUUGAUUCAUUAAGAAGACUGGUCUCUUUUAUGCUGAAACUAGACGCAAAACCAUAGAACUUUCUUUUUCUUUUUCAAAAAGGAGGAAGACCCACGGCCUCUGCAUCAUGUGAUGCACACAGCCAUUUAGAACUAGAAACUGGUAAGUUACUUUCAGUUAACUAGCUAGUGGUUUCCGAGAAGUUCAAGAGGAAACUCAUGUCUUUCUUCGAGAAAUAAGUGAACUUGAGAAAAAUUGACCAACACGUUUAUAAAAGAACAGAGCAACCAUAAUUGCCGAUGUGGUUAGACAAUGGCAUGUAGUACUUGGAAUCAGACUCACACCAAUCAAAAGGGUCUCAAAUCUCUAAGCAUUAAGAUUUUUCAGAUAGUCCUAGCUUGGCUUGGUUUUAGUUCAAUCCAAAUUUAACAAUAGCGCUAAUGUACUUAUAUUAAUAUUAUUGCAGUACAUGAUAAUUAAUUAAUGCAUGAGGUUGUGGUUGUGACCAGGCAAGACCAACUUAUGAACUUGCAAGCAUGGCAUUCAGAUUGAUGUGCAGACAACGCCAACAUCAACAUUGUCUAGAUAAAGAUUAAUUUGUAUUUUAUUCCAUAUUUUAAACAGCUACUUUGGNNNNNNNNNNNNNNNNNNNNNNNNNNNNNNNNNNNNNNNNNNNNNNNNNNNNNNNNNNNNNNNNNNNNNNNNNNNNNNNNNNNNNNNNNNNNNNNNNNNNNNNNNNNNNNNNNNNNNNNNNNNNNNNNNNNNNNNNNNNNNNNNNNNNNNNNNNNNNNNNNNNNNNNNNNNNNNNNNNNNNNNNNNNNNNNNNNNNNNNNNNNNNNNNNNNNNNNNNNNNNNNNNNNNNNNNNNNNNNNNNNNNNNNNNNNNNNNNNNNNNNNNNNNNNNNNNNNNNNNNNNNNNNNNNNNNNNNNNNNNNNNNNNGCGACUAAUAAAAUUUUGACCUCUUUUACAAAAAAAGUGGGUUGUCUAGAUAUGCAACUAGAUGAACAAUAUAUAUGACAAUCUUAAGAAGUAACAAGUGCAAGAAAGAGUAAAACACAAGAUAUAAACUUGCAUAACCGAAAUAAUCACAAGUGGAGUCGUGGAGACUGGGAUGUGUUUUCGAAGUUCCCUGCUUUGAAGAGGUACGUAAAUAAUAGAUGGUGUGCUUUUGUUUGUGCUCCACAUGGUGGCAAUUUUAAAUUCAUAUGUUUGUCUCUUCAUUUAUAUAGAAAAAAUAGCAUGUAAAUUUUUAAUCCACAUUUCUUGCCAUCAUGGUACAGAUGCAAAAUUGCCAUGAACUUUUUCUUUUUUGCCAUCAAAAAUUACACAAACAAUAAUUCCCCCAACAACAACAAUUACCGCAACAACAAUUGCGCCAACAACAAAAGUUCCCCCAACUGCAACAAUUCCCCAAGCAACCACAACAACAAUUUCCCAUACCAUACCCACCCCAACAACCAUUCCCCCAGCAACAACAACCUUCCCCACACCAACAACCAACUGGGAGCGAUGUUAUAAGUAUCAGUGGCCGAUGAAAUGAAGAGAUGUAAUACUAGACGGGUGAAUCAUCGUUGUUAGUCAAUUGAGCAUUUAAUGUAACAAUGAUAAAUAAAGUGAUGUGCACCAUCAUGUGUAACCCCGACCUAUACUAGUUCAAACAUGGGGUAAAAGACAAAUAAGUUCUUUUCUAAAGCACAUUGCUGGCAAUUGUUACAUUCAUGCCAUAUUUCGAUUUUCAUCCCUAACUACAAUCUCAAUGUUAUGCGCUAUCUACUUAUUUAUGAAGUGUAGUAUUAUGAACAUAACAUAUUAACGUGUGUGAAACUUGGUUCAAAUUGAUGUACUAUUAACUCGGGAGUAAGGAUUAAUGACAAUUUAAUAUUUCAAUGGAGAGCCACAUGAGUUGUGCAACCUUCUUAUCUGACAUGGAUCUACAUCAAACUAGGUGUUAAUGUUCUCCACAAACUCCAUGUCAGAUUUCAUUGUUCAUUUAUAGUGAGAAUAAUUGAUUACUUAUGCACUUUUCGCCUUUGAUGUUCCACUCACAAAAUAAGUUUAACUACCAACUAUCUCCAAAAACAAUCUUAGCGGGACAAAAAGUAUCCUCUGACAAAUCACGACCCAUCAAACAAGGUUCAAAUUUGAAGGAAAAUGACCCCUUCAACUUGAGUCAAACAAAUAAUUUGCAUACAAUCAACCGAAAUCAUUAUGGGCUUCUUCAGCCCUCCACUCGAUACACACCUACGCAGGGAGUCCACCAUUGCCGCUACCGAACAACAUUUUUGGAGGCGCACAUUAUCACCCAUAAACACAAAAUAAAUCAAAACGCAAUACAAGCCUAAAAGCGGUCAGUUCCUAGGGCCAGAAAAAGCUUGUUGACCUGCAAUUGCACAUGGUUUAUUUUUCACCUAUUUAAGUAUGAGUAUAAAUCCCACAGGGAAUACAUGAAUUGGACUUUGUCCCUAAGAGACACUUAUGGUAAUGUGCCUGCAUAUUAGUUUUUGACACAAAGCAAAGUGAACGCCAAAGAUUAUAAUGACUUCUGAGUUUAGUGCGAACAAAAGUAAAUAAUGCAAAAGAAUUAAAACAGCGCAGCGGAACGAAUAAAGCAGGGAAACCGGUGGAGGAUUGAAGCAUUCUCAAGGACUCCAUAAUUCCCAUUGCAGUGUGUCUAAGGUAACAUAUGCCACUUCAUAAUUCUAAGCUAGAUACUUGAGUCACUCUUGACAUUUGUUAUUGGGCGUAUCCGGGUACAAAAUACGUUCUACUCGAGGUGUACUCCGUACCACGAAGGCCACCACAGAAGCUUCCCCACUCUAGUUCUCACUGCGGUAAUUAAGGGUUUCCCCGUGGAAGCGGCCUUAUCAAGGGUUCUCCGUUAUGCCCCUAUCAGUUGCAAAGGCGAGGUAAAGAGUCUUUUACACUCACCUUGAAUUACCUCAACAUCCUAACCUUUACAACCAUGGUAAUAUGCCUCGUGGCCUUGCGACAGAAAUGGUGAGUGGGGCACCUUCACAAAAUUCAUGAAGGCUAUUGAAAAAAACAUUCAACAGAGAAUAUCACAUCCUUAUUAACAUUUCAGCCUCCUAUACAUACCAUGGUUCAUCCAAAUCCCUGAGAACUGAGGAAACUACUCACACGUUGAGACAUGGAUGAAACAUCGGAUAAUACAUGUAUGGAUCGUACGAAUAGUGGAAAUAGUGGUGGUAAACAUGGUUUAAACACACGGAUAAUACAUGUAUGGAUCCACAAGGUUUCGGUAUUACAAUGGGAAGGAGAUGGAUGAUGCUGACGUCCCCUUGCACGAGCUGGUGGUGAUAGUGAUCUCCUCCUUUCCUUAAAUCUGCAAGCACAUUUAAAACAACAUCUUGGAGAGAACAGGAAAAAAGAAUUGUGCAGACGCGGUAAAAGCUAGCAAAUUUUACUGUGUAGGCGGGCUUGUGAUGGCUGUGGCAGUGUGGAUCUGACUACCGAGUUGUGACAAGUUGUGUGGGGCGAUGGUGGAGGUCCUCCCUCUUCUGAGCGUGAUAUCUGGCGACGGUGGGUUUCGACAGUCCCUCUCACGGGUGUGGAGGCGGGUCAAGGGGCGGUGAGUGUUGGCCGUGGUUUAGGCUGGCACUGGCGGAUCUGGGCAGGGGGAUUCAAUGGAGAGGCGGGGCUGGCAUUGGUGCGACUUCUCAGCGACUGGAGUUGCCGGCUGUUCGGAGCGCCCCCGCCCCUCUUGAUGGGGUGGCGCCCCCCUCGUGCAUAUGUCGGCAGCGGGUCGGUGAUGCAGACUAGCCGCCGGGCAAGGAGUUUGACAUGGUCGUCCUUGUCGGGGUUAGUUGCUCCCCACACAAGUUUUAGUGCUUAGUCGCCUAGGAUUAGGGUUUUUUGACUCUGGGUCGUUGUCGGUCAAGCCAAGGUGAAUGCUUGCAGCUCUGUUGGGGGAGGCACCUCCACACAUUGUAGUGUCGGUGAUGAUUGGUAGAUGUGGUGGUCAGGGCUAUGAUAUGCCGGCUGGUGGACCAGUGCCUCAGUUCACAGACUUGGCAUCUACGCUGGUCUCGACGAUGGUCGUCGGCAGUCACCUAGCGAGGUGACUGAUGCCGGGCUUUACUUGCUGCGAUUUGUGCAUUGUGAAGCGAGCGGGUCUAGGUGGUGCUCGGUGGUGAUGGUUGUGUUAGCAUUGCAUUCGUGCGCGGAUCAGUGCCGGUGAUCGCAAACAUGGCGUGGUGCGAGCUCGCCUGGCCAAGGGCUCGGUGCUGGCUCACCGGCGGUCCCCCUACUCCACCGACCAUUGGCUGGGGAUGCAGGUGUGGGUGCGUCCUAUGGUGGAGGUGCCCAACCAAACUCUUGGACUGAGUCUGGGCUAGGAGUAGAUGGAGUGUCGUCGCUCUUCCUACCAUGGUUGGCUACGUUGUCAUGUGAGCGGCGUAUGGUAUUUCGCAACAAGGAUGCCGGGUUGGCGGCCCCUGAUGGCGGGCCGCAUGAUUGCUCUUUGGCAGCCAUUAUUUCGUUGGUGGUGGCUCCCCUCCUGGGUUGUGGGGGCAACGGGAGGUGUUGCGGUUAGUAGCUCAGACGUGCCCUCUCUCUCGGAGGGGCAGCGUCCUGAUCAAGAUCUGGGGAUCUAACAUCAACGCGCUAGUCCUGAGGACCUCGUGGUGGCACAGGUGAGUUGUCGAGCAAAAGCUCCGUGCCUUGGCGUCGCCGCUGACGACACUCAUGGGUGCCACACUCUUCUUGAAGACGUCGUUGUGGUUCUUCUCUCCGUGUCAGGGCUCCGGGUGUAGAACUUUGUCUGGUGUGGACUCAGCAGGGGCGACGCUGUGCGGAGUUCUCCCACUUGGGGCCGUUGUCGUGGAGCUUAGGUGUGCUAGGUCGUAGCGUGAGGAUGUUUUGUUCUUCCGGUGCUUGUUGCUGGUAGCGUAGAAGCGUGCGUUUUGCAUGUGCCGGACAACUCAGGACCGACUUUGUAAGGUCUACGUGACCAUAUUGUAUCGUUUGGCCGUGUGCAUCUUUGGAUGUUGCUUUGUUUAUAAAGCGGGGCAAAAGCCUAUUUCGAGAACAACGAAAACAACAGCAACAACAAACAAAUCAACAACUUCAGAAUAGUUUAUCUUUUAAAAUUUCACUUGCUUAAUAAACUACAUGCAUAGGACUUUCUACAGUGUUUUAGAGAAGGACAACUACGAUUUGCUAGCUAGCUAGUUAGGUAUUUCAACACAACAUCAACAGGAAGGAGGAGAAGAACUGUUAACAGCCAGGCAGGCAGGUGGAGAGUGGAUGUGUGAGAGUGAGGUCUCUCUGGCUUUUUCCUGUAUGGUACCCCUACUUCCUUCGCUGACAAAGACCUGUUCUGAAUCUGUAAUACUGAUUCACAGUAAUGAUGGUGGAUCGACUAUAUCUUGACUAAUCCAUGUACAACGAAAAUUACUACGUACAUGAUUAAAAAUCCAAGGGUCAAAUCCUGAUCAAUCGAUCCGGCAAAUUCUGCACGAAUCUAGCAUGACAUCAUGUGUGAUUAACAAGAGUUUCAAUUAUAAUUAGCCUCCGAGAAGCAACAUGGAGGAGGAUGUAGUCGUGUUUUUGGCCUUGUUAGAAACUUCGCUUUCCAUCAAUCUGAAAACAAGUGGUAGAGGGCAAAAAAAUUAAAAAAAACAUGUGUAGAGGAUACCGCAACACAUAAAGCCACACACACAAAAACAGCAGUAUGCUAGCUGGUCCAUGACAUUGACAAAUCAAUUGAUUUGCUGCAACCAUAUGUAUGAAUAAUAUCGCCAAGGAUAAGAGAAGGAAAAAAUAUAAAUAUACCGAUAGGCUCUUCUUUUGUUCAUGGAUGCAUGUUGCAUGAGCCAAGUGUAUUGGCAGUAUGGCUUGUGUUUGCUGCAUGAUGGCGGCAGGUUCCCAUUCAGUUAGGCAUGCUAAGUCCUAAAUUCAUUUAUUCACGUAUCAGGUAGAAGUAGAACAAAUUUCAUUUCUUUUCUGUAGGUUCCUUGCUUAAAAGAAAAUAGAAAAAAAUACACUUCUAUAAUUACCAGAAAAAAUCAACUGUAUGUCGCUCAGCCUUCCCUUUUUGUUCCGUAUCAGUAUCAACAAUCAUAGUACUAAUAGCUUUCUAUACUGGCGGUAGUAAAUUCAAUAAAAGAAACCUGGAGACUAUCUGAACAAUUUGAAACAAUAUAUACAAAUUGAGAUCAACUAACGACAAAAAUCCAAAAGAAAUGUUCAUGUCUACGUGGAGUGAAUCGAUCAAGCCGUGCAAAGCCCUAACAAUUCGUUUUGUAUUAAUAACUCAUAUGACAAUACAACCGCUCCAUAUGAAAAUGUAAUAUGAUGAUUCAUGAAUGCUUAUCCAUCUUAUAAAUAUAUUGUGCAAAAAAUAUCGAGUUAGUUCAGAGAAAACGCUGUCUAGAACAAUCUUCACAUUAAUAGUGUGAUCUAUCUCAACGACUCACACAAGAUUACAUAGUUUGUUCCCUUAAGUAUGCCAAUCUGGAUACGCCUAACAAUAUGUAGAACAUGACAAACUAAAUCAGAACAAGGGACAAAAUCUAGAUCAAUGUUUGAAGUGUAAAGUGAAUACGAUGAGUCAUUUGUCGUUAUCAAGCAUUCCAUACACCUAGAUGAUAUGUGCAAGAACAAUCAACUAUGACGAAUAAUCCAAAAUCACGAUAGUAAGUAGUACCAUAAAACACGACAUACCAAAUUAUUGUAAAUGAUAAGCUUAAGAGCACUUUUUCAAGAAGCACGUGUAAAGAUUACAAACUUAGUUCCCUUAAGUUAUGCCAAUCUGGAUACACCUAACAACAUGUAGAACAUCACAAACUAAAUCGGAAAGACGGACAAAAUCUAGAUCAAUGUUUGAAGUGUAAAGUGAAUACGAUGAGUCAUUCAUCGUGAUCAAGCAUUCGAUACAGCCAGAUGAUAUGUGCAAGAACAAUCAACUAUGAUGAACAAUCCAAAAUCAUGCUAGGAAGUAGUGCCACCAAACACAACAUAUCAAAUUAUUAGGUCGAUAAUCGUAAGUGCACUUUUUCAAGAAAAGAGUGGGAAGAUGAAAACAAAAUAUGUCAUGCCUGCUAUAAAUACGACUACACCAUGUGGGUCUCUUCCAUCAUCUAACCUUCAAACACCUAAAGCAAAAACACCAAAGCCAAGUGAGCAAUAGUAAACACAAAUCAAACAUGAAGACCUUCAUCAUAUUUGUCCUCCUUGCUAUGGUGAUGAGCAUCGCCAGUGCCACUAGGCAACUAAGCCCUAGAAGCAAGGAGUUGCAAACACCACAAGAACAAUUCCCCCAACAGCAAUUUCCUCAACCACAACAAAUCCUCCAACAACAAUUCCCCCAACAACAACAAAUCCCCCAGCAACCGCAACAAUUCCCCCAACAACAAAUCCCGCAACAGCAAAUCCCGCAACAACAAAUCCCCCAACAACAACNNNNNNNNNNNNNNNNNNNNNNNNNNNNNNNNNNNNNNNNNNNNNNNNNNNNNNNNNNNNNNNNNNNNNNNNNNNNNNNNNNNNNNNNNNNNNNNNNNNNNNNNNNNNNNNNNNNNNNNNNNNNNNNNNNNNNNNNNNNNNNNNNNNNNNNNNNNNNNNNNNNNNNNNNNNNNNNNNNNNNNNNNNNNNNNNNNNNNNNNNNNNNNNNNNNNNNNNNNNNNNNNNNNNNNNNNNNNNNNNNNNNNNNNNNNNNNNNNNNNNNNNNNNNNNNNNNNNNNNNNNNNNNNNNNNNNNNNNNNNNNNNNNNNNNNNNNNNNNNNNNNNNNNNNNNNNNNNNNNNNNNNNNNNNNNNNNNNNNNNNNNNNNNNNNNNNNNNNNNNNNNNNNNNNNNNNNNNNNNNNNNNNNNNNNNNNNNNNNNNNNNNNNNNNNNNNNNNNNNNNNNNNNNNNNNNNNNNNNNNNNNNNNNNNNNNNNNNNNNNNNNNNNNNNNNNNNNNNNNNNNNNNNNNNNNNNNNNNNNNNNNNNNNNNNNNNNNNNNNNNNNNNNNNNNNNNNNNNNNNNNNNNNNNNNNNNNNNNNNNNNNNNNNNNNNNNNNNNNNNNNNNNNNNNNNNNNNNNNNNNNNNNNNNNNNNNNNNNNNNNNNNNNNNNNNNNNNNNNNNNNNNNNNNNNNNNNNNNNNNNNNNNNNNNNNNNNNNNNNNNNNNNNNNNNNNNNNNNNNNNNNNNNNNNNNNNNNNNNNNNNNNNNNNNNNNNNNNNNNNNNNNNNNNNNNNNNNNNNNNNNNNNNNNNNNNNNNNNNNNNNNNNNNNNNNNNNNNNNNNNNNNNNNNNNNNNNNNNNNNNNNNNNNNNNNNNNNNNNNNNNNNNNNNNNNNNNNNNNNNNNNNNNNNNNNNNNNNNNNNNNNNNNNNNNNNNNNNNNNNNNNNNNNNNNNNNNNNNNNNNNNNNNNNNNNNNNNNNNNNNNNNNNNNNNNNNNNNNNNNNNNNNNNNNNNNNNNNNNNNNNNNNNNNNNNNNNNNNNNNNNNNNNNNNNNNNNNNNNNNNNNNNNNNNNNNNNNNNNNNNNNNNNNNNNNNNNNNNNNNNNNNNNNNNNNNNNNNNNNNNNNNNNNNNNNNNNNNNNNNNNNNNNNNNNNNNNNNNNNNNNNNNNNNNNNNNNNNNNNNNNNNNNNNNNNNNNNNNNNNNNNNNNNNNNNNNNNNNNNNNNNNNNNNNNNNNNNNNNNNNNACAACAAUUCCCCCAACAACCACAACAACAAUUCCCCCAACAACAAUUUCCCAUACCAUACCCACCCCAACAACAAUCACAAGAAGCUUCCCCAUACCAACAAUACCACAACAACAACUAUCUGGGAGCGACGUUAUAAGUAUCAGUGGCCGAUGAAAUGAAGAGAUGUAAUACUAGACAGGUGAAUCAUCGUUGUUAGUCAAUGGAGCAUAAUGUAACGGGUAUAAAUAAAAUGAUGUGCACCAUCAUGUGUAACCCCGACCUGUACUAGUUCAAACAUGGGAAUAAAAGACAAAUAAGUUCUUUUCUGAAGCACAUUGCUGGCAAUUGUUAUAUUCAUGCCAUAUUUCGAUUUCCAUCGCUAACUACAAUCUCAAUGUUAUGGUCUAUCUACUUAUUUAUGAAGUGUAGUACUAUGAACAUAACAUAAUUAACAUGUCUGAAAAUUGGGUCAAAUUGAAGUACUAUUAAUUCAAGAGUAAGGAGUAAUUACAAUUUAACAUUUCAAUGGAGAGCUCUAAUUGUAGACUGCGUUGUUAAUUCCCCGAAGAGGAGAGGAUGAUGUAGUAUAGUAGAGAUAAGUAUUUCCCUCAGCUAAGAACCAAGGUUAUUAAUCCAGUAGGAGAACCACACAAAACCUCGUUAGCAGCACCUGCACACACAACAGCAAACACUUGCACCCAACGCAAAUAAGAGGGUUGUCAAUCCUCUUAGCGAUUAUUUGCAAGGAUUAGUUCUGACAGUGAUACAUAGAUAAAAUAAAUUACUAAAUAAAAUAAAAAUAAAUAAAUUGCNNNNNNNNNNNNNNNNNNNNNNNNNNNNNNNNNNNNNNNNNNNNNNNNNNNNNNNNNNNNNNNNNNNNNNNNNNNNNNNNNNNNNNNNNNNNNNNNNNNNNNNNNNNNNNNNNNNNNNNNNNNNNNNNNNNNNNNNNNNNNNNNNNNNNNNNNNNNNNNNNNNNNNNNCAGAGUUUUCACUAGAGGAUUCUCUCUUGAUCAUAGAGCAUAUGGUGGGUAAACACAUUACUGUUGGGCAAGCUAUUAUAUACUAAAAGGAAAAUAUUGGUCCAAAAUAGAGAAUAGGCUAGAAAAUCCGGCGUUAAUUAGAAAAUAUGAACCCUUGAUCCGUUUAAUUUUAAAAAUUAUAAAUCUAUGACCGUUCAAUAUACGUAACAAGGUAGGGCGUGGAUAACUUCCCGCGUAACGUGACACAUGUAAGAAACACAAACAUGGGUCCAGUUAAGGCAAACACGUAGAUGUGUUGAAGUGGGAAUGAAUAGAAUUGCUACGUCCGAAUAUGCAAGAGAUAUAAAAGAAGAAGAAAACUAAAGAACAUGUCGUGUUCAGAUUGGACUAAACGUAUGUGCGUAUACAACCACAACCACAAUCCGAAAGGUCCAGCCAUUAAUCCCGUGGGUCCAUCCAAAACAAAAGGUGGAUAUCCAUCUAAUUGCCCCACGUCCAUGGAACAUACUUAUUAGAGUCCACAAACAACAGCUGCUGGUCUCUUUUACAUGAUCCUCCUUGCACUGUUAGGACUUUGCCGUCGGACAUCCCAAAGUUCUUGUGAAGUUCACAUCUAAAAAUACUAUCAUAAUAAAAAAAAUCCAUUUCAUACUCCAGGAAAGAUAUCACCGUCCCAAAGUUUCAAUUGCAAUCUAAGUUUUGCCACAACUGGGUAUUUAAAGCUUAUUUUGCCAUAGCCAGGCAAUUUCAGCCACUAAGGUUUUUGUGGCAGAUCAAGCAUCUUCCCAUUGGAAACUCCCAACUGUAAAAAGACCAGCAAAUUAGCAAUCAUUGGCAAAUCAGCAAUCUUAUAGCGGCAGCAGCUCCCAUCAAUCAGGCAACUCAUCUUUCAAAAAUCAGAGACAAUAAGCAACCAUACACAUCAUGGACAUAUGAUAUUAACGAUAAUUACAUAUGUGAUUUCUGUGUUGAAUUUCGUACAACAUCACCAUGAAGAGAAGCGCAUCCACAUGGCAAGUAAUUUCCAAAAGCCGCCAAGAAGGUGAAAAGCAAUCAAAUAUGCAAUCCAACAAGUUAAUUAUUAAGCUAUAGACCAUGCAUGUUUCAGUGGUGCAUACAAGAUCAGUAGAACAAAUUCCUAGCCGUUACGACAUUCAUCAGGGAGGCGAGGACUGUGAAGCGAGGGGUUGCGAGCUGGAGGGAAUGGCGGCACACCCCGUGUCUCAGCCGAGAGAGGAGAGGCCGGGGAUAGAAUUAAGAGAGACACGAGAGAUGACAGAUGAUAGGCUAGGGAUCGUUGGGCGUUCUCACAUAUUGCGUGGAGGUGGUUAGCUAAAUGGGGCAGCACAAAGGCCCAGUCAACCGCAGGUGGCAGAGUUUUCUCCCAGUGCAGCAGCCCUUUAGGACAGUUGAGCCAAGAAAUAUAAUUACAAAAUUAGGGAUUCAUCCAAUAGUCAGAAAUGAUCUAUACAAGUGAUCUGAUAGUUACAAAUGUUGAAUGCUUGAGAGAGCUGGGAUAAGGCUAGGUUUUACUGUCCUAAAUGUAUUAGAUAUGUAGAAUCUGACAGUUAUUAAAGUUUAAUUGUCCUUCGAAACAAACUAUGGCUAAUCACCACUACGCUAAUUACUUUUUACAAUUGUUGAACAUGAAUGGGGGUUAGGGGGGCGUAACACUGCUGAUGAGGGUCCCAACCCCGAAAAAGGUGGAGGGUGCAUGAUCAAAUUAACAUCUAACACUAACAUGCAAUACCUUUUAAGUUCUUAUAUUGAUUCAAUCGCAAAAGGGAGAAAUGAAACAAAAGUAGGCAGCGGGACCUGGAAGUCAACAGAGGAAACAGAAGGGUAUGCUCAUCGUGUGGAAUCGUUUGUGGGGGCGAGCUGAGUAAACAGAGGAAGGUGAUCGAAUGACGUCUCAGGUUUAUUUGUUUACUGAACAGACAGACAUGUGUAAGUUUUUUUUCCCUUUGAGGGGAAAGACGUGUGUAACUAGGGAGAGAUGAUUUUGCACGUUCUGUAUUUUUUUCCACCAGAAAACAGAUACUACUUUAACAAAUAAAUCCUACACUAAAUAUUUUAUAUGCUGCAAAUUACAGGCCACAUACGCAUGAGCCUAAAUUAUAGGCGACUAUUUCAUAGGGUGAAAGUAAACAAAAUAGAAAAUCUUAUAGGCGACAUAAGCAUGAACCUAAAUUAUAUAUUUUAUAUGCUGCAAAUUAUUUUAAAAACAUGUGAAAAUAUAGUGCAUGAUCAUCAGACCAAAAACUCUAGCCUGUACAAAACACUCAUAUUUAGACGUAUAUUUCAUAUGGAGCUGCCAAUUCAUAUCAAUCCGGCACUACAACAGUAACACUAUCGUGCAGCCGCUUAAGUCAAAUCUAAGGUUAAAGCUAAUCAACACAAAAUAUCCAAUGUAAAAGGAAUUACUUAUACUAAAAAAUAUAAAAUAUACCUAAGAGUGCGAACAAUGACGAAUAUUUACUAUAAGAGUGCUAGCCCUCGCAUUUGCGAGGGCCACCUUGCUAGUUGAUAAAAAACAAAUAAUUAUGAUGGAUUCAUGGCAAUGAUCAUGUAUAUAGGCAUCACGUUCGAGACAAGUAGACCGACUCCCGUCUGCAUCUACUACUAUUACUCCACCCAUCGACCACUAUCCAGCAUGCAUCCAGAGUAUUAGGUAUAAAACAGAGUGACGCCUUAAGUACGAUGACAUGAUGUAGAUAAAGUAAAUUCAAGAAAUAUGAUUAAACCCCAUCUUUUUAUCCUUAAUUGUCAGCCCAUUGGCUGUUAUUUUCCCCGAUCUGACCGUCCGCGACGCUCCUGUUGUUCGCAACGCUACCGCUACGACUGCGGGAGCAUGUCAUUUUCGUUAUACAUGUAACCCAAAAAUAUCUCUAACAUUAAUGACAACAAUACAAAUACGUGUUAUGUCCGUUUUUGUCACUGGGAUUGAGCAAUGCAAGAUUGAAUCCAUCACAAAGCACCUCUCCCCAUUGCAAGAUAAACCAAUCUAGUUGGCCAAACCAAAUCGAUAGAUCAGGGAGAAAUAUAAAGCUAAAAUAAUCACGCAUAAAAGAGCUCAGAGAAGACUCAAAUAUUUCUCAUGAAUCAUAUGAUCAUAAACUCACGAUUCAUUGGAUCCCAACAAACACACCGGAAAAGAAGAUUACAUCGGAUAGAACUCCAAGAACAUCGGGGAUAACUUUGUAUUGAAUAUCAAAGAGAGAGAAGAAGCCAUUUAGCUAUUGGCUAUGGACCCAUAGGUGUGUGGUAAAAUACUCACACAUCAUCGGAAGGACAGCAUUGUUUAUGUGGAAGCCCUUCGUGAUCGAUUCCCCCUCCGGCAGAGUACUGGAAAAGGCCUCCAGACGGGAUCGCGGAAGAACAGAGGCUUGCGGCGGCGAAAAAGUUUUGUCAUCUAUCUCUCUGGUGGUUAUGGAAUAUUUGUGAAUUUAUAGUGGAAGAAUUAGGUCAGGAGGUGCCACGAGGGGGCCAUAAGCCUAGGGGCGCGGUGAUACGUCCAUUUUGCAUCAUGUUUUAUUACGGUUAUUUAUUAAGUUUUGAGCCAAUAUAACACUUCAUGGAGUAUUUCUAAUGCCUUUUCUCUCUUAAUCUGCAAGGUUUACACAAAGAGGGAGAAUACCGGCAGCUGGAUUUCAGGGCCUGAAAAAGCUACAUCAGAGAUCCCUAUUCUGCACAUCUCCAAAUGGGCUGAAAAUUCACGAAGAUUUAUUUUAGAAUAUAAAAAAAAUACUGGGCCAAAGAUCCACGGGAGGAGGCCACCCAGGUGCCCACACAACAAUAGGGCGCGCCCCACCCCUGGGGCGCGCCCUGAUGCUGUAUGAGGCCCCUGGCCCACUUCAGCCCCCCUCCUUCUGGUAUAUAAGUCAUUUUACCAUAAAAUAUUUAUGGGGAGACUUUCAGGACGAGGCGCCGCCGCCACGAGGCGGAACUAGAGCAGGAGAAAUUUGGCUCUCCGGCGGGCAGAUUCCGCCGGGGAUACUUCCCUCCGGGAGCUGGAAAUCAAAGCUUACGCCAUCACUAACAACCCUCUCAUCGUGGGAGGGCCAAUCUUCAUCAUCAUAAACCACAACACCAUCUCAUCUCUAUCCCUAGUUCAUAUCUUGUAUUCGAUCUCUGUGUCAAAACAUUAGAUUGGUACUUGUGUUUGACUAGUAGUGUUGAUUACUUAUCGUAGUUGAUGCUAGUGGAUUUGUUUGGUGAAUUACCAAAUGUUCUGAUCGUGCAUCCAAAUUAUAUCCUCUCUGAUCAUGAACAUGAUGAUGAUGUGUGAGUAGUUACUUUUAUUCUUGAGGACAUGGGAGAAGUCUUGUCAUUAGUAAUCAUGUGAUUCCACUGGUAGAAAACUGGGCUUUGGUCACAGGGCAAUAUUCACAUUAGUCCCGGUGCAGUCACGAACGGGGACUAAUGUGAGCAUUGGUCCCGGUUCGUGCGGCCAGGGGCCUGCCGGGCCUCGUGGGGGCAUUGGUCCCGGUUCGUCCGGCCCCUUUGGUCCCGGUUGGUGGGACAAACCGGGACCAAUGGGCCACGCUCCUGGCCCACCACCCUUUAGUCCCGGUUCAUACCACAAACCGGGACUAAAGGGCUGGUCCUAGUUGCGGCCAGUGUUUAGUCCCUCCUCGCCAACCGAAGGGCGCUCACACCAGUUUAUAAGCCCGUCCCUCUCUGCCUUGUUGAGCUUCUCUUAAAGUGAAAAUAGAUGCCCUUAUACAGGGAAUUUGACCUAAAUUCACAGUAAAUUUCAUAGAAAUUUGUUAUGAAUUUAGGUUUAAUUUUCUCUAUAAGCGCAUCUAUGUUCAUUUUUUAUAUUUAUAAAAUAAAUAAACAUUAAUAAAAUAAAUAAAACUAAAUAAACCUUAAUAAAAUAAAAUAAAAUAAACUAUAGUAACUACAAUAAAUAAACCUUAAUAAAUUAAGUAAAAAUAGCAGCAGUAAAAUAAAUAAAAAUAGCAGCAGUAAAAUAAAUAAAAAUAAAAUAAUUAAAGUAAAAUACAUAAGUAAUUAUAAAUAAAAUAAAUAAGUUUUUUGUUGUAAGUAGAACAAAACAAAACAAAUAAAGCAAAAGAGAAAAAAAACAGAGGAACAAAAUUAUGCCACCUACUGGGCCACCACGGCCUGAAUACGACUAGAAACCCAUCCAUGGGCCAGGAUUCANNNNNNNNNNNNNNNNNNNNNNNNNNNNNNNNNNNNNNNNNNNNNNNNNNNNNNNNNNNNNNNNNNNNNNNNNNNNNNNNNNNNNNNNNNNNNNNNNNNNNNNNNNNNNNNNNNNNNNNNNNNNNNNNNNNNNNNNNNNNNNNNNNNNNNNNNAAAAAAUUAUGCCACCUACUGGGCCACCACGGCCUGAAUACGACUAGAAACCCAUCCAUGGGCCAGGAUUCAGGCCCGCAGAAGGCCCAGUAGGCCCCACAGGCAAAGAGAACAGUUAGGCCCGAAAGCCUGCAGUUGAGAGGAGUUCGAGAGGGUGGGCGCAGCAGCGCUUAUAAACCACUCUCGAGCUCUCUCAACUAGCGAGGUGGGACUAAACUUUUGACGCGGGGCAGCACAAGGCCUUUGGUCCCGGUUGGUGCCACCAACCGGGACUAAAGGAGGCAUUGGUCCCGGUUCGUGGCACCAACCGGGACAAAGGCCUUUAGUCCCGGUUGGUGCCACGAACCGGGACCACCGAGUUCCCUAUAUACCCCAUCGCCACAGCAGAGCACUCCAGAGUGCUCUGUUUUUUCUGGCCGCGAGGGGAGGGCAUUUGGGUGCUCUAGCUCACCUCCUAUGCACAUGAGGUGUUCGAUGAAAUGUCUGAGCCACACUAGUUAAUCUUUGUCCUCUCGAAACUCGACCUCCGAGCUCCAUUUUCCCCGAGAUUUGUCUAGGUUUAGCGGUCCGUCACGUCCCGUCCCCGUCUUCACCGCCGUCGAUCGCCCGCGCCGAUCUCGUCGCCAGCACCACCGUGGUGAGCCUCUUGUUCUUAUCUUCUUUCUGAAAGGAAAAAAAUUCUUACUUUAGAUAGUUACUUGUCUAAUUUUGUUACUUUUAUUAUUCCUUCUUAUUACAUAGUGCGAUGGUUUUGGUAUCCGCCCCCGUCGGCCCUCAUCCUGUCUAUGAUUCGGAUGUGGUAUAUAUUAUCUUUUUAUAACUAUUUGGUUCAUUUACUGUUUAUGACAAAUAUACCGACCAACGUGACAUAGAUUUUAUUUAUCUAGGAGGUGGUUGAACCGGAAAUUCUAACCGACCCUAUUGUUGAGAGGUUAAAUUUAGUUGAAGAAGAAAACAAUUAUUUGAAGGAAAAAAUAAAAAAAAUUGAGGAGGAGAAGAUGAUAUUGGAGUGGCAUGUUGCGGAUGUCGUCGAUGAUCACAAGAUCAAGAUGGAUGCAAUGCGCUUAAAGAUUAGAAAGAUUAGAAAAUAUGCCAUUCAUACUGAGGCUUGGUAUCAUUAUGCCAUUGGAUCAAUUGUUACCUUGGUUGCGAUUAUGAUCGCAUUUGUUUUCGCAUUGAAAUGUUUUACAUAGUUUCAAUGUAUGGUUUAAUUAAUUAGAUGCUCUGGAGAGCUAUAUAUAUGUUGUUAGAUGAGAACUAUGUAUGUACUUUGGUUUUAAUGUGAUGAUGAACUUCUAUUAAUUUGGUCACUUAAUUAUCUAUUCAUGAUGUUCUGUAAUGGUUUUUGACACACUUAAUUAUAUAUAAUGCACGCAGAUGAACCGGCAAUGGAUGUACGAUGACAGACACACCUCCGAGUACAUUAAGGGCGUGCAUGAUUUUCUCGAAGUGGCUGAGGCAAACAAGCAGAAUGGUUUUAUGUGUUGUCCAUGCCCUAUAUGUGGGAAUACGAAGUCUUACUCUGACCGGAAAAUCCUUCACACCCACCUGCUUUACAAGGGUUUCAUGCCACACUAUAAUGUUUGGACGAGGCACGGAGAAAUAGGGCUUACGAUGGAAGACGGUGAAGAAGAAGAGGAUGAUGACAACUAUGUGCCCCCUGAAUACGGUGAUGCUGCAACGGGGGAAGCUGCUGAAGAUCAAGAGGAACCAGACGAUGUGCCCAAUGAUGCUGCAAGGGGGGAAGCUGCUGAAGAUCAAGAGGAACCAGUGCCCGAUGAUGAUGAUCUCCGCCGGGUGAUAGUCGAUGCAAGGACGCAAUGCAAAAGUCAAAAGGAGAAGCUGAAGAUCGAUCGCAUGUUAGAGGAUCACAAAAAAGGGUUGUACCCCAAUUGCGAAGAUGGCAACACAAAGCUCGGUACCGUACUGGAAUUGCUGCAGUGGAAGGCAGAGAAUGUUGUGCCUGACAAAGGGUUUGAGAAGCUAUUGAAAAUAUUGAAGAAGAAGCUUCCAAAGGAUAACGAAUUGCCCGACAGUACAUACGCAGCAAAGAAGGUCGUAUGCCCUCUAGGAUUGGAGGUGCAGAAGAUACAUGCAUGCCCUAAUGACUGCAUCCUCUACCGCGGUGCGUACAAGGAUCUGAACGCAUGCCCGGUAUGCGGUGCAUUGCGAUAUAAGAUCAGACGAGAUGACUCUGGUGAUGUUGACGGCGAGCCCCCCAGGAAGAGGGUUCCUGCGAAGGUGAUGUGGUAUGCUUCUAUAAUACCACGGUUGAAAUGUCUGUUCAGAAACGAAGAGCAUGCCAAGUUGAUGCGAUGGCACAGUGGGGACCGUAAGAAAGACGGGAAGUUGAGAGCACCCGCCGACGGGUCGCAGUGGAGAAAAAUCGAGAGAAAGUACUGGGCUGAGUUUGCAGCUGACCCAAGGAACGUAUGGUUUGGUUUAAGCGCGGAUGGCAUUAAUCCUUUCGGGGAGCAGAGCAGCAAUCACAGCACCUGGCCCAUGACUCUAUGUAUGUAUAACGUUCCUCCUUGGAUGUGCAUGAAGCAGAAGUUCAUUAUGAUGCCAGUUCUCAUCCAAGGCCCUAAGCAACCCGGCAACGACAUUGAUGUGUACCUAAGGCCAUUAGUUGAAGAACUUUUACAGCUGUGGAAUGGAAACGGUGUACGUACGUGGGAUGAGCACAAAAAGGAGGAAUUUAACCUGCACGCGUUGCUGUUUGUAACCAUCAACGAUUGGCCCGCUCUCAGUAACCUUUCAGGACAGACAAACAAGGGAUAGCACGCAUGCACGCACUGUUUAGAUGACACUGAAAGUAUAUACCUGGACAAAAGCAGGAAGAAUGUGUACCUGGGCCACCGUCGAUUUCUUCCGACAAACCAUCAAUGUCGAAAGAAAGGCAAGCAUUUCAAAGGCGAGGCAGAUCAGCGGAAGAAGCCCGCCAUGCGUACCGGUGAUCACGUACUUGCUAUGGUCAAUGAUUUACACGUAAUCUUUUGAAAGGGUCCCGGCGGACUAGCUGUUCCGAAUGACGCUGAGGGACACGCACCCAUCUGGAAGAAGAAAUCUAUAUUUUGGGACCUACCCUGCUGGAAAGAGCUAGAGGUCCGCUCUUCAAUCGACGUGAUGCACGUGACGAAGAACCUUUGCGUGAACCUGCUAGGCUUCUUGGGCGUGUAUGGGAAGACAAAAGAUACACCUGAGGCACGGGAGGACCUGCAAUGUUUGCACGAAAAAGACGGCAUGCCUCCGAAGCAGUAUGAAGGUCCUGCCAGCUACGCUCUUACGAAAGAAGAGAAAGAAAUCUUCUUUGAAUGCCUGCUCAGUAUGAAGGUCCCGACUGGCUUCUCGUCGAAUAUAAAGGGAAUAAUAAAUAUGCCAGAGAAAAAGUUCCAGAACCUAAAGUCUCAUGACUACCACGUGAUUAUGACGCAACUGCUUCCGGUUGCAUUGAGGGGGCUUCUACCAGAAAACGUCCGAUUAGCCAUUGUGAAGCUAUGUGCAUUCCUCAAUGCAAUCUCUCAGAAGGUGAUCGAUCCAGAAAUCAUACCAAUGCUAAGGAGUGAUGUGGCGCAAUGUCUUGUCAGUUUCGAGCUGGUGUUCCCGCCAUCCUUCUUCAAUAUCAUGACGCACGUCCUAGUUCAUCUAGUCGACGAGAUUGUCAUUCUGGGGCCCGUAUUUCUACACAAUAUGUUCCCCUUUGAGAGGUUCACGGGAGUCCUAAAGAAAUAUGUCUGUAACCGCGCUAGGCCAGAAGGAAGCAUCUCCAUGGGCCAUCAAACAGAGGAUGUCAUUGGGUUUUGUGUUGACUUCAUUCCUGGCCUUAGGAAGAUAGGUCUCCCUAAAUCGCGGUAUGAGGGGAGACUGACUGGAAAAGGCACGCUUGGAGGGGACUCAAUAAUAUGCAGGGACGGAUAUUGUUGGUCUCAAGCACACUACACAGUUCUACAGAACUCUACCUUGGUGACCCCGUAUGUCGAUGAACACAAGAACAGUCUGCGCUCCAAACACCCGGAGCAGUGUGACGACUGGAUUACAUGUGAACACAUCAGGACUUUCAGCAGUUGGUUGGAAACACGUCUCAUAGGUGACACCACUGUUUGUGUUGAGUUGUACUCAUUGUCCAGGGGACCAUCUUCGACUGUAUUGACUUACAAAGGAUACGAGAUAAAUGGGAAUACAUUUUACACGAUCGCCCAAGAUCAAAAGAGCACCAACCAAAACAGCGGUGUCCGCUUUGAUGCAGCAACCGAGAGGGGAAAGGACACAUAUUAUGGUUACAUAAUGGACAUAUGGGAACUUGACUACGGACAUGAUUUUAAGGUCCCUUUGUUUAAGUGCAAAUGGGUCAAUCUGUCAGGAGGUGGGGUACAGGUAGACCCACAGUACGGAAUGACAACAGUGGAUCUGAACAAUCUUGGGUACACUGAUGAACCGUUCGUCCUAGCCAAUGAUGUGGCACGGGUUAUCUAUGUGAAGGACAUGUCUACCAGACCGAGGAAAAGAAAAGAUAAGGAAGCGAAUACAUCAUACGAUGAGCCAAAGCGCCACAUAGUUCUUUCAGGAAAAAGGGACAUUGUGGGAGUGGAGGGCAAGACAGACAUGUCUGAAGAUUAUGAAAAGUUUCAUGAAAUUCCUCCCUUCAAAGUCAAGGCUGACCCAAGCAUCCUGAUAAACGAUGAAGAUUAUCCAUGGUUAUGGCGCAAUAAGCCAAUGACACAAGCGAAGAAAAAGUGAAGACUUUCUCCCGCAACUAUUAUGAUGAUACCAUGCCAACUUUGUAAUAGACGAGUAUGAUACCAUUGUCCGUUUUGUACAAGAAGUGCAUCUAGUUUUUUGCCGUAACCCUCUCAACUUUCUUGCACAUGCUGUGUGGAUGAAAUGAUGAUACCAUGCCAACUUUCAAUCUUUUCAGAGUUCAUUUGAAAUGCUUUUCAAUUAGUAAAUGCAUGAAAAAUAACAGGCCAAAAAUUAAAAAUUAUGCCACCUACUGGGCCACCACGGCCUGAAUACGAUUAGAAACCCAUCCAUGGGCCAGGAUUCAGGCCCGCAGAAGGCCCAGUAGGCCCACAGGCAUGUACAGAGAGGUUAGGCCCGUAAGCCUGCUUUAGAGAGGAGCUCGACAGCUCAGGCGCACCGCACCUUAUAAAUAGGUGCGGCUCUCUCUUAGCUAGCGAGGUGGGACUAAACUCACCACCACGCCGCUGUGCAAGGCCAUUGGUCCCGGUUGGUGGCACGAACCGGGACCAAUUCCACCCUUUGGUCCCUGUUGGUGCCACGAACCGGUACUAAUGAGGCUGUGGCCCCACGAGCACCUUUAGUACCUGUUCGUGGCACGAACCGGUACUAGAGUUUCUUACUAAGCAGUUUUUUAGUCCCACCUCGCUAGCUGAGAGGCACUAGGAGCGGUUUAUAAGCCCUGAGUGCAGAGACAAUGAAGAAGAGGCGCAAUGCUCACGUUGCUUAGCUUCAAGCCUUGAGGAAUAAGGUAGACUGCAUCGAGCUAUGUGCAGUGCAGUCUACACUAUUCCAAAAGGCUUGAAGCAAAUCAACGAGCAUUGCGCCUCUUUUUUAUUUUUAAUAACUUAUUACAACUCCGGACUUCUUGUGUUCCGACAAAAUAAAAUGAACUUUAAUAAAAUUUAUGAAACUAAAAUUAACAAAGUAUUUUACGUUCAAAACAUUAUAAGAAACCUCUAUUAUUAUUGAAACUAAAAUCAUAUAAAAUUGAUGCAACUAAAAUUAUUGAAGUAUUUUCUGUUCAAAAUCAUUAAAAGCAAAAAGAAUUUUCAUAAAGAACUUUUUUUGAUCGAAACUUUAAUAGCAAAAAGAAUUAUCAUAAAGUAAAAUAAAUAAGUAAUUAGAAACAAAAUAAAAUAAAAUAAAUAAGUUUUUUGUUGUAAGUAGAAACAAAACAAAAUAAAUAUAGCAAAAAAGAAAACAAAAAAACUAAAUACAGCAAAAAGAAUUUUCAUAAAGAACUAAUGGCACUAAUAGAAAGUNNNNNNNNNNNNNNNNNNNNNNNNNNNNNNNNNNNNNNNNNNNNNNNNNNNNNNNNNNNNNNNNNNNNNNNNNNNNNNNNNNNNNNNNNNNNNNNNNNNNNNNNNNNNNNNNNNNNNNNNNNNNNNNNNNNNNNNNNNNNNNNNNNNNNNNNNNNNNNNNNNNNNNNNNNNNNNNNNNNNNNNNNNNNNNNNNNNNNNNNNNNNNNNNNNNNNNNNNNNNNNNNNNNNNNNNNNNNNNNNNNNNNNNNNNNNNNNNNNNNNNNNNNNNNNNNNNNNNNNNNNNNNNNNNNNNNNNNNNNNNNNNNNNNNNNNNNNNNNNNNNNNNNNNNNNNNNNNNNNNNNNNNNNNNNNNNNNNNNNNNNNNNNNNNNNNNNNNNNNNNNNNNNNNNNNNNNNNNNNNNNNNNNNNNNNNNNNNNNNNNNNNNNNNNNNNNNNNNNNNNNNNNNNNNNNNNNNNNNNNNNNNNNNNNNNNNNNNNNNNNNNNNNNNNNNNNNNNNNNNNNNNNNNNNNNNNNNNNNNNNNNNNNNNNNNNNNNNNNNNNNNNNNNNNNNNNNNNNNNNNNNNNNNNNNNNNNNNNNNNNNNNNNNNNNNNNNNNNNNNNNNNNNNNNNNNNNNNNNNNNNNNNNNNNNNNNNNNNNNNNNNNNNNNNNNNNNNNNNNNNNNNNNNNNNNNNNNNNNNNNNNNNNNNNNNNNNNNNNNNNNNNNNNNNNNNNNNNNNNNNNNNNNNNNNNNNNNNNNNNNNNNNNNNNNNNNNNNNNNNNNNNNNNNNNNNNNNNNNNNNNNNNNNNNNNNNNNNNNNNNNNNNNNNNNNNNNNNNNNNNNNNNNNNNNNNNNNNNNNNNNNNNNNNNNNNNNNNNNNNNNNNNNNNNNNNNNNNNNNNNNNNNNNNNNNNNNNNNNNNNNNNNNNNNNNNNNNNNNNNNNNNNNNNNNNNNNNNNNNNNNNNNNNNNNNNNNNNNNNNNNNNNNNNNNNNNNNNNNNNNNNNNNNNNNGCCGCCCCUGCCUCGACGCCGCCCCUCCUCCCCGUUCGGUCUGGCUCCGGCGACCCCCUUUCCUCCCUGUCCCCUCGAUCCUCUUCAUAUAAUUUGUUCAUAUAUUUUUUUUCAUAUAAUUUUUUUCAUAUGCAUAUGUUGAUUAUAUGGAUGGAUGGAUGAUGUAUAUGUUCAUUAUAUGGAUGGAUGGAUGAUGUAUGCUUUUUUUCAUAUAAUUUUUAGGCAGAUUUUUAGAAUUUUUUGUGUAUGUAUGUUAUGUUUAUAUGUAUGUAUGUAUGUAUGUUCAUAUGUAUGUAUGUUUAUAUGCAAAGCAUAUGCAAAGAAAAUGUAUGAAUGGUCAUAUGCAAAGAAAAAAUGUAUGUAUGGUCAUAUGCAAAGAAAAUGUAUGUAUGUAUGUUCAUAUGAAAGAAAAAUGUAUGGAUGUAUGUUCAUAUGCAUAUGCAAAGAAAAUGUAUGUUCAUAUAUAUGAUGAUAUGUUCAUAUAAAAAGGAAAAUAAGAAGAGGAAGAAAGGAGAAGAAGAGGAGAGGAAGAAGAGGAGAAAUAAAUAAGAAGAGGAAAAAAGAAGAAAAAGAAGAGGAGAAGAAGAAAGGAAUAGAAGAGAAGAAGAAAAAAUAGAAAAAAUUCUAUUUUUUCUUCUUCUCUCCUCUAUUCCUUUCUUCUUCUCCUCUUUUUUUUCUUCUUUUUUUUCUUCGAUCUUCUCCUCUAUUCCUUUUCUUCUUCUCCUCUUUUUNNNNNNNNNNNNNNNNNNNNNNNNNNNNNNNNNNNNNNNNNNNNNNNNNNNNNNNNNNNNNNNNNNNNNNNNNNNNNNNNNNNNNNNNNNNNNNNNNNNNNNNNNNNNNNNNNNNNNNNNNNNNNNNNNNNNNNNNNNNNNNNNNNNNNNNNNAUAUACCCCUCUCCCGAUAACUUCAACACGAGGGGGGGUCGAUAUACCCCCUCCCCGCCGAUAAUAUUAUUUUCCCAUGCACGUAUGUCGUCGUUGUCGAUAUAACCCCCUCCCGAUAACUUCAACACGUGGGGGGGGGUCGAUAUACCCCCUCCCCGAUAACAUUAUUUUCCCAUGUAUGUAUGUCGUCGUUGUCGAUAUAUAUAACUCCCUCCCAGAUAACUUCGACAUGAUGGACGGUCGAUAUUUAUACUCCCUCUCGACCGUGAUAACUUAUACCACGGGAGCACCCCCUAGCCCUCUCGCUCGACCAAAACUCUCGAGGACACCCAAACCCUAGAAAAAACUAUGUCGGUCUCCUACCCCCUCCCGCCGCGCCCCUACCCUUGAAGCGUUGCCUAGGCCACCCCAAACCCGGAAUAAGCUAGGUCUACGUUUGCACUAAUAUAUCCACCUGCUGUCAUGUUUGUGUAAUAAUUGCCAUGUUGUAAUAUUUGCAGAAACAAUGGAGCACGGACGAGAUGAGCAAGCAGAAGAGGUGUUGGGGGACAUAAUCUUAGCCGGAGGUGAUAUCUUGUCGUAUCUUAACGACAAUGAUGGUCUGGAAGAACAGGGUGAAGAAGCAGGCUACGGUGAUUGAAGAGUGGAGGAGGAAAGACAUGAUUAUGAUGGCUCCGGUGACCCAAUGCUGGUGCAAGAAGGAGCCCGUGGUGACGGCUCCGGUGACCGAACAGAGUCCGGCCAGGUAAAUAUAUUAGUUAAGCCUGUGCUGACUAGCUAAUUGAUGCAUUCAUUGUUUUGGUAUGUACAUAUAUUAAUUAACACUCGUCUUUCUUCUUUUUUCUAGCCCUCCGGAUCGAGCACAACUGCGGUAAAGAGACGAGGCCCGAAGAGAAAGUUGCGCUCGGAUGAAAGGUUUGAGAUCACAGCAAUCGCGCGCGACGGCCAACCGAUUGAACCCAUCCGGACAAAGGAUGCAUUUGCUGCUCAGUGCGGGAUUCUAGUUAGGGACAAGAUCCCGAUCAGCAUCCACCAAUGGUAUAAGCCUAAGAAGGAAGACCCUGAGGUGUCUUAUGUCAAUGAUAUGCAGAAAGAUGAUCUUUGGACUGAUCUGAAGGCAAAUUUCACCCUACCGCCAGAGGAGGAUUCGGAGAAGCCAGUUAUAGAGCAAUUAAUCAAGUCUCAUGCUCUUAAGAAGAUGGCAGACCUAUUCAGGAGGUGGAAGAAUGAGCUGAAAACGUUUGUCGACAAACAAGAGACACCAGAAUUCAUCGGCCGGUAUGAGAAGAUCAGAGAUCACUGGCCCGCAUUUGUGGCCCACAAGACAUCGGAAAAGAGUAAGAAGAUGUCAGCGACAAACAAGAAGAAUGCUGCGAAGAAGAAGCUUCACCAUCGCACGGGGUCAGGUGGCUACCUCAAAGCCCGACCUAAGUGGGCAAAGGCUGAGAAUGAUCUGCUUGAAAAAGGGAUCGAACCACAGACAAUGAACUGGACAGACUGUUGCCGGACUUGGUUCUUCGGGGCUGGCGGAACCUUGGACCCUGUAUCAGGGAGGUGUGUUUGGACGAACGAGCUUUUGAGAAUACUAGUCAAGAAGAUUCGGCAAUAUAUCGAUGCAGCGCAGGAAGGGACGUUCGUUCCAGACAGAGAGAACAACGAGCUCACAAUGGCCCUCGGGAAUCCUGAGCACCCUAGACGGACACGAGGCAUGCCAGGCUCCGUUCCGUGGAAGGCUGGUUUUCCGGACGCAGGCGGUUACAAAAGCCAGGAGAGGAGGAAAAAAGUGGAGCAGAUCCAAAUUCAGAAGCUGCACGAAAGGGUUCAAGCGCUAGAGGAACGAGACGGCAAUCGACAUGCCGAAACUGCCCCCGAAGCUACACCGCCAUCUCAGCGGAGAAGCAGCAUGGCUUCCACCGAGCUGCUUCAGCUGGAGCAUGCGGCUCCUGCUAGCUACCCCGUGGAUGCUAUCACGGAGUCUCAACAUUGCCACCUUAUGGCGGAAUGGCAGAACUUCAAAGUCAAGGCAGCGGUUGGCUCUGUUUUACCUCCUGAACCCGGCGCAACCUACCACUGCCGGCCGAUUCCAGAAGGAUAUGCUAGGGUGAUGGUUGAUGAAAUAACGGAGGGAUUUGAGGAGCUCCAGCUUGACCACCCUACCGGUGAAGGGGAGACUUGGCUGGGUUCUGCUCUGAAGACUCCAUGCCUAUGGCGGAAGGAGCUCAUCAAGCUUCCGAACUCGACGGCUCCGGCGAGUAAGGGCACUCCGCCUCCUCCUCCGCCUCCUCCUCCGGCGAGUGAUCAGGGCACUCAGCCUCCUUCUCCGGCGCGUGACGGCACUCCGCCUCCUUCUCCGCCAGCGCCGGCGCCCCAGAGCAGCCAGCCUCCUCCUUCUCCGCCUCGUCAGCAAGGGCGGAAGAGACCCGCCACCGCUGCGGCUGCUCCGGCGCGUCGUAGUCCUUCUCCUCCGCCUCGUAAGCAAGGAAAGAAGACAGUCGCAGCCGCUCCGUCUGCUCUGUCGGCGUCUAGCAGUACAGCUGCCAGAGGCGGGAGGCAAUACAGAUUCGGUCCUUCUCUGAAGACUCCAGAGAAGUUACCAUACGAUAGGACCGAGGAGGAAACCAGGAAGAUCGUGCGAGCCGAAGUGACAAACUUCUUUGAAGGGGUGAAUGCAAAGAAACAUCCACCUCCGGAGGAGAAGGUAGAUCCGGUGAAAGUAAAGCGCACUCUGGCUGCCUUGACAAAACCACCAAAGUCUCCGCCGAGAGGCCACUAUGAGCGCAUUCUUGCAAAGACAUAUGCCGAAGCGGAGCGGUCGGGAAGUACUGUUAGUGAUAAAAGGUUAAAAGAACGACGAGCUGGCAAAAAAAUUGCCCAGCUCGGCGAACAAGCGAACCAAUCGUGCCCCCCGCUCAAGGUGUCAAAAGACAUCGUCGCUAAUGAUCCGAGUAUGGUGCCCGGUUAUAGCAAUCUUGGAGAUUACCUGCCCGACGAUGUACAUUAUGAAAUCAUGGAGGUGGACGAACACAAAUACCAUUACGGGAAGCCUCUCGUCAAAGAUGAAAGAUCUCUAACAACGAUGAUGCGAAGACUACAUGAUUGGUACAUGAAAACCUGCAGAGAGUCUGAUGGGAUGGAUAAUUUGACGCUGAGAGUUAAACCGGAGCAUGACCUCAUUGGAAUUGAUCUGCUGAAUGUUCCAUUUGAGGAUUUCUUCCAGUUUUACAAUCAAAAGGCCCUCAAUAAAACAACGAUCACUUGCUACUGUCUGUAAGUAGUACUACUUCUGUCAUUAAGUCUCUCUAUAUAGGUCAGCUCUUUCAUUGCAUGUAUUUAUACUUAUCCUCACUAUAUUAUGCAGAUUGAAGAUCGCCGAAUUGAAGAAAAGACAAAUCGGUGAUAUUGGGUUCAUUAACACAAAUCUCAUAUAUGCAUAUACGGUUGAAAAACAUCCAAAGAAGCCGAGGCCAACUUGCUACAAUCGUUGGUAUUAAAUCAAAACAAAGAUAUAAUACUCUUUCCUUACAACUUCAAGUGAGUGUUACUGUCUUGUGCAUAUUCGGUUUCCCUUAUUAGUCCAGGUUAUGGUAAUGUAAUUGAUGACUUAUGCAUGCAUGCGCAGCUUCCACUAUAUUCUCCUAGAGAUUAAGCUUGAGCAGGGAGUAGUAACCGUCUUAGACUCGAGACGAAAAGAUCCCUAGGACUAUGAGAACAUGACUCAAAUGCUCGAGAAGUAAGUUAAAUCGAUCAUUAUCCACCAUAUCAGCAACUUUGUUCAUUUCAUAAUAUCAAGUAAUUGUUUUCUUUGUCUGGCAGGGUUUGGAGAAAAUUCACCUCAAAAGCUCCGGGACUGCCGAAGAAGCUGCAAUUUAAUCACCCGAAAGUAAGUACUAUAGUAGCAUGUUCCGCGCAUCUCCUAGUGAUUCAAGCGCUAGUUUCUUCAAUACCAUUUAGCAUGCUUGCUUAUCAAUUUGAUUGACCUCUAUUUCUUGUAAAGUGGUUGUGGCAGGAAACCGGGAAUAAUUACUGUGGAUACUACGUUUGCGAGUCCAUCCGCUACACGACCUGUGAGCGGGGCUACACUGAAGAACAAUAUGAAGUGCGUAAGCAAUAAUAUUCACAAUUUUAUUUUAUUACCAUCAUUUGUGUUGAGUUUCAUUUAUUCAUAUAUAUAUAUAUAUAUAUAUAUAUGUAUUGACCCCCUUCUUCAAAUUAGAUGUUUCGGAAGCGGGAUGAACUCCUAGCACCAGAUCGUAUGCGAGGAAUUCAAGAGGAAUUGGCGGCAUUCUUCCUUGACCACGUGAUCGCUGAAAACGGAGAAUACUAUGUGGACCUUGUGUUCCUACAAUUUAAUUAGGAGAUUGUAUUGUAAGAGAUAAUUAUUGUAUAUAUGUAGCCGGUAGUGUCGGAUAGAUAUACGAGAACUUGUUGUUCGACCAAUAUCUCGGAGAAGGAGAGGUGGUCGAUAUCACUUCUCUCUGUAUGCAUAUGUUCAUGACGAUCUUCUGUUUCCUUCAUUUGAUUACUAGCUAGCGUGUCUACUCCUCUCCAUACGUAUAUAGUAUGUAGCGUCGACCAAGCACGGAGAUAAGAGAGGACACUUCUCUCUAUUAAUUAGCUAGCUAACACAAUAUAUGAAACACCUAAAUUAACCCCCCAAAACCCCUAAACCACCCCCUUUCAAAAAAAACAAAAACCUCAGCUCCUGCCAGCUGCUGACGCGUGGAUGCCUAUUGGUCCCGGUUGGUGACACCAACCGGGACAAAAGGCCCUGCCUAUUGGUCCCGGUUGGUGCCGGCCCCCUGCCUGGGCUGGCAGCAGCGGCCACGUGGAGGACCUUCUGUCCCGGUUCGUGUAAGAACCGGGACUAAAGGGGGGAGGCAUUAGUAACGACCCUUUAGUCCCGGUUCGAGAACCGGGACAAAAGGCCCUUACAAACCGGGGUAAAAGCCCCUUUUCCUACUAGUGUUCCGGUAUUCGUUCAAUAUUUUGAUGAUAUGUAUGUUGUGAUUCUCUUAGUGGUGUCAUGUGAACGUCGACUACAUGACACUUCACCAUUGAUGGGCCUAAGGGAACUCAUUGUGGAGUAGUAAUUAGAUGAUGGGUUGCUAGAGUGACAGAAGCUUAAACCCCAGUUUAUGCACUAUUCCGUAAGGGGCUGAUUUGGAUCCACUAGUUUAAUGCUAUGGUUAGACUUUGUCUUAAUUCUUUUUUCUUAGUUGCGGAUAUCGGUGUCAAAACCGACAGAUCUCGGGUAGGGGGUCCCAAGUUGUGGGUCUAGGAUCAAUAGGUAACGGUGACGAUGAACACGGUGUUUUACCCAGGUUCGGGCCCUCUUGAUGGACAAUUUUUUUUAAAAAAAAAAUUUAGAAAUAUUUUUUUCAAUUUUUUUUUCAUUUUUUCUUAAUCUCGGGUCACUAUGGCUUAAUCUCGAGUCAAUAUGAUUAAUCUCAAGUCAAAUCGCACUAAGUGGUCAAACUUCCCGGAAGGUCACCCAUCCUCACACUACUCCAGCCCGAGCACGCUUAACUUCACAGUUCUAUCCAACCCCAGCACCACCUCACUCAACAGGCACUUGUUGAUAUAUCUACCAUAUCAAUCCUAUUAAACCUUGUUGAUGUCUAGGACUUUGUUCAUGUUCAUGAGUAUGAUAAAAUUUUGAAAAAUAUUUCAAACUUCCCGGUCAUAUCACGUAUCAUUUUUUGAAAAAAAAUUCCAAGAAAAAAUUCAACACCAAUUUUUUUUCUGUUACUAGUGGCGCACCUAGCAAACGGUGCGCCACUAGUAAGUUUGAAAUUUUUUGAAUUUUUUUGCCUCUAGAUCUUGAAAGCCCCGUAACUUUUUUUCUGUUAGGUUUUUGAGGAUUUUGAAAAUGUUUAACGGGGUUCCCCCGAUUAAAUUCGGAUGUAACUUUUCGAGUAGAUGAUUUUUCAUACAAAAAACUUUUUAAUCCGAGUUCGUAUGCAAAAGUUAUGCCCAUUUUACAAAUUCCAGAGAGAUUUUGCAAAUAAAGUUGAAAUUCAUAUUUGUAAAUUUUCCCAACAACUAGACCACAUAUCACAUGGGAAACUUAUUUUCUUUUAUUUUUUUAACAUUUCCAUUAUUUUCUUUUAUUUUUUUAAAACUGAAAAGGCGGUCCAUGAGGGGGUGCAUUCGGUGGAAUUUUUGGGUCAAGUUAGUAAUGGCGCACCGUGGGAGUGGUGCGCCAUUACUAGUUCAACUAGUAAUGGCGCAACACUCCCAUGGUGCGCCAUUACUAGUUUUGAAAAAAAAUAAAAAAAAUUUGAAAAAAAAUUUGAAUUUUUUUUACUAGUGGCGCACCGUGGAUGUGGUGCGCCAUUACUAGUUUAACUAGUAAUGGCGCACUAUCCCCUGGUGCGCCAUUACUAGUUUUGGAAAAAAAAUAAAAAAAUUUGAAAAAAAAAUUACUAGUGGCGCACCGUGGAUGUGGUGCGCCAUUACUAGUUUAACUAGUAAUGGCGCACUAUCCCCUGGUGCGCCAUUACUAGUUUUGAAAAAAAAUAAAAAAAAUGUUACUAGUGGCGCACAGUGGAUGUGGUGCGCCAUUAGUAUUUGGACACUAAUGGUGCGCCAUUAGUAUAUAGUAGUGGUGCACCACAUGUCUGGUGCGCCAUUAGUGUCCAUAUGAUCUAUAGCCCUUUUCCUAGUAGUGUUAGGGGUAUGAUCAGUAAUGUCAUAAUGAUGAUAAUAAUCUAUCGACUAGCCUGGCCUCGGCUUAUAUAAUGUACCAGAGGCCUAUGAUAACAAGACUCCUAGUUGGCUAUGUUGGUGGAGAGGAGUCCUUGUCUUGAUCAUCAAGUCUUGUGGAAUCUUCCCUGUAUAUGUCAUCGGUUGUCCGAACUGGCCCAUUAGUGAGGUCCUCGGCCCGACCCACUGGUCGGGAGACAACGUGGUGAGUACCCCCUAGUUCAGGACACCGUCAGCGGAUGCUUGCGAGAGGGGGUAAUCAUAAGUGGGAGGCUUGUUCAAGUAAGAACAACACCCAAGCACCGGUCCACCCACAUAUCAAAUCAUCAAAGUAGCGAAAGCGAACCGAAUGAACAUGAUGAAAGUGACUAGAUGAAAUUCCCGUGUGUCCUCAAGAACGCUUUUCUCAUUAUAAGUACUAGUUCUGGCCUGUCCUUUGCACUAAAAAGGAUUGGGAUAUCUUGCUGCACUUUAUUUACAUUUGUCACUUGCUACUCGUUACCAAUUAUCUUGCUAUCAGACUACUCGCUACCGCUUGUUUCAGUGUUUGCAAAAAUAUCGUUAUUGAAAACCGCAAGUCAUUUCCUUCUGCUGCUCGUUGGGUUCGACACUCUUACUUAUCGAAAGGACUAUGAUUGAUCCCCUAUACUUGUGUGUCAUCACGGGGCCACCCACCUGGGGUGCUCCCUCCCUAGCUUAUCACUCCCUCGAGACUCCUCGGGUCUUCCCCGAAGCUUCCAGGGUCUCUUUUGGUCCAGAAAACUUAAUCCAAUGUUUUUCUGUGUUUGUACCUUUUUUAUAAUGAUAUUAUAAAAUGAUAAAAACAAGCAAAAAAAUAACAACUGGCACUAGGCACUACGUUAAUAGGUUAGUCCCAAAAAAUGAUACAAAAAUAGCACAAAGUUGCAUAUAAAACAUCAAAGAUUGCUAAUAUAAUAGCACGAAACAAUAAAACAUUACAGAUAGGAGGCGUAUCAAGCAUCCCCAAGCUUAAUUCUUGCUCUUCCUCGAGUAGGUAAAUGAUAAAAACAAAAAAUUUGAUGUGGAAUGCUACCUAACAUGUUUCAUCAUGUAAUCUCUCUUACGGUAUGAAUAAUAAGAUCCGAAUGAUUCAAAGCAAUAGUCUAUAAUUUGAUAUAAAGACAUCAAUACUCAGGCAUACUAACAAACAAUCAUGCCUUUCAAAAUAACGAUGCUAACCCAAGUUAUCCCUACAAAAUCAUAUAAUCCUAUCAUGCUCCAUCUUCUUAACACAAAGUAUUUAUGAUGCACUACCCCAAUGACAAUCCAGGCAAUUGGUUCAUACUUCUUAACGUGCUUCAGCUUUUUCAACCCCCACGCAAUACAUGACGGCAAGCCAAGGACAUAACACUAUGGAUGGAAUAGAACAUGAUGAUAGAGAUCAAUAAGGGGAAAUCAAAAAUAAGAAGAUGGUCUCACAUCAAUGCGGCUAACAAACGGGCUAUAGAGAUGCCCAUCAAUUGAUGUCAAUGCAAGGAGUAGGGAUUGCCAUGCAACGAAUGCACUAAGAAGGCACCCAAGGUAAUAUCCAAGGAGACUCAAGCGUCGAAGCCUGGGGAUGCCCCGGAAGGCAUCCCCUCUUUCUUCUAAUGACUAUCGGUAACGCACUUGAGGCUACAUUUUUAUUCAUCACAUGAUAUGAGUUUUUCUUGGAGCGUCUUGUAUGAUAUGAGUCUUUGCUUUGUUUAUUUUUAGUAUAUCACAAUCAUCACCUCUGAACGCAUUUGCUUGAGAUAGCUUCAUGUCAUCAUGAUUUGCUUGAAUUGCCCUUUGUGCUUCACUUAAAUUUGUUGAGCUAGGUGGUUGCUCUAGUGCUUCAUUUAUAUCUUUUUUUAACACGGUGGUGCUUUUGUUUUGAAGAAACUUGUUCUCAUGCUUCACUUAUAUCUUUUUGAGAAUGCUAGAAAUUUUAUAAAAAUAUUAGUCUCAUGCUUCACUUAUAUCUUUUUGAGAGUUUGAAAUUAGUUAUGGUAAAAUGUACAGCUAUAAGCUUGGUCUCCAUAUGAUGAAUAUUCAAGAAGGAUAAUGAUAACUAGUAUAAAAAAUUUAUGGGACUUCAAAAACUUGAUUCUUUGCAACAAUUUUGAGAUAUGUAGAUGAUAAUACGUGAGUUAUGUUCAUGAAUAAUUAUACUCUAGUAUGAAUAUUGAUGUUAAGGUUUAUGAUUCCCUAUGCAAGCACGUAAAGUCAAUAGUUAUGCAAUGAAGUUACAUCCUACUUGUGGUGCAUUAUUCGGUGUUGGUUAUGUUUUCUGUAUGCAUGUGCAUCAUUACAAUUUCUUAGUUGGUCGCUUCUCAACCAUUUUGCUAGCCUCCAUUCGUACUAAGCGGGAAUACUGCUUGUGCAUCCAUUACCUUAAACUUGUUUUGCCAAUUGUGUCCAUCAUACCUACAUAUAUACGGUAUUUCAUUGCCGUCCCAAGUAAAUUUGCAUGUGCCAUCUCUAAUAAUUUUCAAAAUAAACUUCUCUUUUGUGUGCCUGUAUUGCUCAUGAAGUGAUAAGGGGUGGACGAUGAAUUCCGUGUUGUAUAUGUCAUUUUCAUGAUGAGUGUUUAUUCACUUGUCAUUGCACGAGAGUGUGGCGGUAAUAAAAGGGAUGCCCAGUCCCAAAAAUAAAUUGAAUUUCCUGGAAUAUGUUGUUAUGGAGGGCACCCGUGAAUACGGCUAGACAUGGAUUGUGAAAGGAAAGGUGGAAAAACUAACUCCUUCGGAUGUGAAUGGAAAAAAGGGACAAAAGUCUCAAAACCAUGGAACGAUGACAGGGAGCAAAAAAUUUCUUUUCAGUUUGGGAGCCGCCUAUGAUGUAUAUAACGUGGAAGGUAAGGAAAGCCUUGAGUCGCUGUCGUUGACGAGAAAACCAGGCCUCCCAAAAUAAAUUUUUUAUCUCUUUUUAAAACUUGAGGUCUGGCACCACUGUAAAUCAAUGCUUCCCUCUGCGAAGGUCGUUCUAUUUAUUUUUAUGUUGAGUCUCAUCCUUCUCAUUAAAAACCAACUAGGGGGUCAUGUGAUCAUGUGUGUGCAUGGAGUAUGAUUGACACUCGACUGUGUUUCAUAAAUCGAUCAAUGGUUGAGCAUAAUGGGCUAGGGAUAAUUUUCUUUAGCAUUGUUAUUUUGAAAGGCAUGGUUGCGUGUUAGCAUUGGAGGGGGUAUAUAUAGCCACAUCAUUGGUCCCGGUUCGUGGCUGGAACCGGGACUAAAGGCCACCCUUCUGUCCUGGUUCUAGGCACGAACCGGGACCAAUGGCUGUGGGCUAGGAGCGAGGACCAUUGGUCCCAUUCGUGCCUAGAACCGGGACAAAUGGGUCCACACGAACCGGGACAAAUGCCUCCCGAGGCCCGGCCGGCCCCCUGGGCGCACGAACCGGGACGUAUGACCCCCAUGGGUCCCGGUUCGUGACUGAACCGGGACUAAUGGGCUGGCCAGGCCCCAACCAAAGCCCUGUUUUCUACUAGUGAGGGGCGAUGCUCUGCGGAGUUCUCCCUCUUGGGGGCGUUGUCGUGGAGCUUAGGUGUGCUAGGUCGUAGCGUGAGCAUGUUUUGUUCUUCUGGUACUUGUUGUUGGUAGCGUAGAAGCAUGCGUUUUGCAUGUGCCGGAUAUCUCAGGAUCGACUUUGUAAGGGCUACCAAACCAUAUUGUAUCAUUUGACCAUGUACAUCUUUGGAUAUUGCUUUGUUUAUAAAGCGGGGAAAAGCCUAUUUCGAGAACAACGAAAACAACAACAACAACAGCAAACAGAUCAACAACUUCAGAAUAGUUUUUCUUUUAAAAUUUCACUUGCUUAAUUAACUACAUGCAUAGGACUUUCUACAGUGUUUUAGAGAACAACAACUACGAUUUGCCUGCUAGCUAGCUAGUUAGGUAUUUCAACACAACAUCAACAGCAAGGAGAAGGAGAAGAACUGUUAACAACCAGGCAGGCAGGUGGAGAGUGAGUGUGUGAGAGUGAGGUCUCUCUGGCUCUUUCCUGUAUGGCUACUCCUACUUCCUUCGCUGACAAAGUCCUGUUCUGAAUCCGUAAUACUGAUUCACAGUAAUGAUGGUGGAUCGACUAUACCUUGACUAAUCCAUGUACAACAAAAAUUACUACGUACAUGAUUAAAAAUCCAAGGGUCAAAUCCUGAUCAAUCGAUCUGGCAAAUUCUGCAUGAAUCUAGCAUGACAUCAAGUGUGAUUAACAGGAGUUUCAAUUAUAAUUAGCCUCCGAGAAGCUACAUGGAGGAGGAUGUAGUCGUGUUUUGUGGCCUUGUCAGAAACUUCGCUUUCCUUCAAUCUGAAAACAAGUGGUAGAGGGUAAAAGAAUGAAAAAAAACAUGUGUAGAGGAUAAGCAACACAUAAAGGCCACACACACAAAAACAGGGGUAUGCUAGCUGGUCCAUGACAUUGACAAGUCAAUUGAUUUGCUGCAACCAUAUAUAUGAAGUGUAGUAUUAUGAACAUGUGUGUGAAACUUGGUUCAAAUUGAUGUACUAUUAACUCGGGAGUAAGGAUUAAUGACAAUUUAAUAUUUCAAUGGAGAGCCACAUGAGUUGUGCAACCUUCUUAUCUGACAUGGAUCUACAUCAAACUAGGUGUUAAUGUUCUCCACAAACUCCAUGUCAGAUUUCAUUGUUCAUUUAUAGUGAGAAUAAUUGAUUACUUAUGCACUUUUCGCCUUUGAUGUUCCACUCACAAAAUAAGUUUAACUACCAACUAUCUCCAAAAACAAUCUUAGCGGGACAAAAAGUAUCCUCUGACAAAUCACGACCCAUCAAACAAGGUUCAAAUUUGAAGGAAAAUGACCCCUUCAACUUGAGUCAAACAAAUAAUUUGCAUACAAUCAACCGAAAUCAUUAUGGGCUUCUUCAGCCCUCCACUCGAUACACACCUACGCAGGGAGUCCACCAUUGUCGCUACCGAACAACAUUUUUGGAGGCGCACAUUAUCACCCAUAAACACAAAAUAAAUCAAAACGCAAUACAAGCCUAAAAGCGGUCAGUUCCUAGGGCCAGAAAAAGCUUGUUGACCUGCAAUUGCACAUGGUUUAUUUUUCACCUAUUUAAGUAUGAGUAUAAAUCCCACAGGGAAUACAUGAAUUGGACUUUGUCCCUAAGAGACACUUAUGGUAAUGUGCCUGCAUAUUAGUUUUCGACACAAAGCAAAGUGAACGCCAAAGAUUAUAAUGACUUUUGAGUUUAGUGCGAACAAAAGUAAAUAAUGCAAAAGAAUUAAAAGAGUGCAGCGGAACGAAUAAAGCAGGGAAACCGGUGGAGGAUUGAAGCAUUCUCAAGGACUCCAUAAUUCCCAUUGCAGUGUGUCUAAGGUAACAUAUGCCACUUCAUAAUUCUAAGCUAGAUACUUGAGUCACUCUUGAAAUUUGUUAUUGGGCGUAUCUGGGUACAAAAUACGUUCUACUCGAGGUGUACUCCGUACCACGAAGGCCACCACGGAAGCUUCCCCACUCUGGUUCUCACUGCGGUAAUUAAGGGUUUCCCCGUGGAAGCGGCCUUAUCAAGGGUUCUCCGUUAUGCCCCUAUCAGUUGCAAAGGCGAGGUAGAGAGUCUUUUACACUCACCUUGAAUUACCUCAACAUCCUAACCUUUACAACCAUGGUAAUAUGCCUCGUGUCCUUGCGACAGAAAUGGUGAGUGGGGCACCUUCACAAAAUUCAUGAAGGCUAUUGAAAAAACAUUCAACAGAGAAUAUCACAUCCUUAUUAACAUUUCAGCCUCCUAUACAUACCAUGGUUCAUCCAUAUCCCUGAGAACUGAGGAAACUACUCACACGUUGAGACAUGGAUGAAACAUCGGAUAAUACAUGUAUGGAUCGUACGAAUAGUGGAUAUAGCGGUGGUAAACAUGGUUUAAACACACGGAUAAUACAUGUAUGGAUCCACAAGGUUUUGGUAUUACAAUGGGAAGGAGAUGGAUGAUGCUGACGUCCCCUUGCACGAGCUGGUGGUGAUAGUGAUCUCCUCCUUUCCUUAAAUCUGCAAGCACAUUUAAAACAACAUCUUGGAGAGAACAGGAAAAAAGAAUUGUGCAGACGCGGUAAAAGCUAGCAAAUUUUACUGUGUAGGCGGGCUUGUGAUGGCUGUGGCAGUGUGGAUCUGACUACCGAGUUGUGACAAGCUGUGUGGGGCGAUGGUGGCGGUCCUCCCUCUUCUGAGCGUGAUAGCUGGCGACGGUGGGUUUCGACAGUCCCUCUCACGGGUGUGGAGGCGGGUCAAGGGGCGGUGAGUGUUGGCCGUGGUUUAGGCUGGCACUGGCGGAUCUGGGCAGGGGGAUUCAAUGGAGAGGCGGGGCUGGCAUUGGUGCGACUUCUCAGCGAGUAGAGUUGCCGGCUGUUCGGAGCGCCCCCACACAAGUUUUAGUGCUUAGUCGCCUUGGAUUAGGGUUUUUUGACUCUGGGUCGUUGUCGGUCAAGCCAAGGUGAAUGCUUGCAGCUCGGUUGGGGGAGGCACCUCCACACAUUGUAGUGUCGGUGAUGAUUGGUAGAUGUGGUGGUCAGGGCUAUGAUAUGCCGGCUGGUGGACCAGUGCCACAGUUCGCAGACUUGGCAUCUACGCACUGAUGCCAGGCUUUACUUGCUGCGAUUUGUGCAUUGUGAAGCGAGCGGGUCUAGGUGGUGCUCAGUGGUGAUGGUUGUGUUAGCAUUGCAUUCGUGCGCGGAUCAGUGCCGGUGAUCGCAAACAUGGCGUGGUGCGAGCUCGCCUGGCCAAGGGCUCGGUGCUGGCUCGCCGGCGGUCCCCCUACUCCACCGACCAUUGGCUGGGGAUGCAGGUGUGGGUGCGUCCUACGGUGGAGGUGCCCAACCAAACUCUUGGACCGAGUCUGGGCUAGGAGUAGAUGGAGUGUUGUCGCUCUUCCUACCAUGGUUGGCUACGUUGUCAUGUGAGCGGCGUAUGGUAUUUCGCGACAAGGAUGCCGGGUUGGCGGCCCCUGAUGGCGGGCCGCAUGAUUGCUCUUUGGCAGGCAUUAUUUCGUUGGUGGUGGCUCCCCUCCUGGGUUGUGGGGGCAACGGGAGGUGUUGCGGUUAGUAGCUCAGACGUGCCCUCUCUCUAGGAGGGGCAGUGUCCUGAUCAAGAUCUGGGGAUCUAACAUCAACGCGCUAGUCCUGAGGACCUCGUGGUGGCACAGGUGAGUUCUCGAGCAAAAGCUCCGUGCCUUGGCGUCGCCGCCAACGACACUCAUGGGUGCCGCACUCUUCUUGAAGACGUCGUUGUGGUUCUUCUCUCCGUGUCAGGGCUCCGGGUGUAGACCUUUGUCUGGUGUGGACUCAGCAGGGGCGACGCUGUGCAGAGUUCUCCCUCUUGGGGCCGUUGUCGUGGAGCUUAGGUGUGCUAGGUCGUAGCGUGAGGAUGUUUUGUUCUUCCGGUGCUUGUUGCCGGUAGCGUAGAAGCGUGCGUUUUGCAUGUGCCGAACAACUCAGGACCGACUUUGUAAGGUCUACGUGACCAUAUUGUAUCAUUUGGCCGUGUGCAUCUUUGGAUGUUGCUUUGUUUAUAAAGCGGGGCAAAAGCCUAUUUCGACAACAACGAAAACAACAGCAACAACAAACAAAUCAACAACUUCAGAAUAGUUUAUCUUUUAAAAUUUCACUUGCUUAAUUAACAACAUGCAUAGGACUUUCUAAAGUGUUUUAGAGAAGGACAACUACGAUUUGCUAGCUAGCUAGUUAGGUAUUUCAACACACCAUUAACAGCAAGGAGAAGGAGAAGAACUGUUAACUGCCAGGCAGGCAGGUGGAGAGUGGGUGUGUGAGAGUAAGUCUCUCUGGCUUUUUCCUGUAUGGCUACUCCUACUUCCAUCGCUGACAAAGACCUGUUCUGAAUCUGUAAUACUGAUUCACAGUAAUGAUGGUGGAUCGACUAUAUCUUGACUAAUCCAUGUACAACGAAAAUUACUACGUACAUGAUUAAAAAUCCAAGGGUCAAAUCCUGCUCAAUCGAUCCGGCAAAUUCUGCACGAAUCUAGCAUGACAUCAUGUGUGAUUAACAGGAGUUUCAAUUAUAAUUAGCCUCCGAGAAGCUACAUGGAGGAGGAUGUUGUCGUGUUUUUGGCCUUGUCAGAAACUUCGCUUUCCAUCAAUCUGAAAACAAGUGGUAGAGGGCAAAAAAAAAUAAAAAAACAUGUGUAGAGGAUACCGCAACACAUAAAGCCACACACACAAAAACAGCAGUAUGCUAGCUGGUCCAUGACAUUGACAAAUCAAUUGAUUUGCUGCAACCAUAUGUACGAAUAAUAUCGCCAAGGAUAAGAGAAGGAGAAAAAAAUAUAAAUAUACCGAUAGGCUCUUCUUUUGUUCAUGGAUGCAUGUUGCAUGAGCCAAGUGUAUUGGCAGUAUGGCUUGUGUUUGCUGCAUGAUGGCGGCAGGUUCCCAUUCAGUUAGGCAUGCUAAGUCCUAAAUUCAUUUAUUCACGUAUCGGGUAGAAGGAGAACAAAUUUCAUUUCUUUUCUGUAGGUUCCUUGCUUAAAAGAAAAUAGAAAAAAAGACACUUCUAUAAUUACCAGAAAAAAUCAACUGUAUGUCGCUCAGUCUUCCCUUUUUGUUCGGUAUCAGUACCAACAAUCAUAGUACUAAUAGCUUUCUAUACUGGCGGUAGUAAAUUCAAUAAAAGAAACCUGGAGACUAUCUGAACAAUUUGAAACAAUAUGUACAAACUGAGAUCAACUAACGACAGAAAUCCAAAAGAAAUGUUCAUGUCUACGUGGAGUGAAUCGAUCAAGCCGUGCAAAGCCCUAACAAUUCGUUUUGUAUUAAUAACUCAUAUGACAAUACAACCGCUCCAUAUGAAAAGGUAAUAUGAUGAUUCAUGAAUGCUUAUCCAUCUUAUAAAUAUAUUGUGCAAAAAAUAUCGAGUUAGUUCAGAGAAAACGAUGUCUAGAACAAUCUUCACAUUAAUAGUGUGAUCUAUCUCAAUGACUCACACAAGAUUACAUAGUUUGUUCCCUUAAGUAUGGCAAUCUGGAUACGCCUAACAAUAUGUAGAACAUGACAAACUAAAUCAGAACAAGGGACAAAAUCCAGAUCAAUGUUUGAAGUGUAAAGUGAAUACGAUGAGUCAUUUGUCGUUAUCAAGCAUUCCAUACACCUAGAUGAUAUGUGCAAGAACAAUCAACUAUGACGAACAAUCCAAAAUCAUGAUAGUAAGUAGUACCAUAAAACACGACAUACCAAAUUAUUGUAAAUGAUAAGCUUAAGAGCACUUUUUCAAGAAGCACGUGUGAAGAUUACAAACUUAGUUCCCUUAAGUUAUGCCAAUCUGGAUACACCUAACAACAUGUAGAACAUGACAAACUAAAUCGGAAAGACGGACAAAAUCUAGAUCAAUGUUUGAAGUGUAAAGUGAAUACGAUGAGUCAUUCGUCAUGAUCAAGCAUUCGAUACAGCCAGAUGAUAUGUGCAAGAACAAUCAACUAUGAUGAACAAUCGAAAAUCAUGCUAGGAAGUAGUGCCACCAAACACAACAUACCAAAUUAUUAGGUCGAUAGUCUUAAGUGCACUUUUUCAAGAAAGGAGUGGGAAGAUGAAAACAAAAUAUGUCAUGCCUGCUAUAAUUACGACUACACCAUGUGGGUCUCUUCCAUCAUCUAACCUUCAAGAACCUAGAGCAAAAACACCAAAGCCAAGUGAGCAAUAGUAAACACAAAUCAAACAUGAAGACCUUCAUCAUAUUUGUCCUCCUUGCUAUGGUGAUGAGCAUCGCCAGUGCCACUAGGCAACUAAGCCCUAGAGGCAAGGAGUUGCAAACACCACAAGAACAAUUCCCCCAACAGCAAUUCCCUCAACCACAACAAAUCCUCCAACAACAAUUCCCCCAACAACAACAAAUCCCCCAGCAACCGCAACAAUUCCCCCAACAGCAAAUCCCACAACAGCAAAUCCCGCAACAACAAUUCCCCCAACCACNNNNNNNNNNNNNNNNNNNNNNNNNNNNNNNNNNNNNNNNNNNNNNNNNNNNNNNNNNNNNNNNNNNNNNNNNNNNNNNNNNNNNNNNNNNNNNNNNNNNNNNNNNNNNNNNNNNNNNNNNNNNNNNNNNNNNNNNNNNNNNNNNNNNNNNNNNNNNNNNNNNNNNNNNNNNNNNNNNNNNNNNNNNNNNNNNNNNNNNNNNNNNNNNNNNNNNNNNNNNNNNNNNNNNNNNNNNNNNNNNNNNNNNNNNNNNNNNNNNNNNNNNNNNNNNNNNNNNNNNNNNNNNNNNNNNNNNNNNNNNNNNNNNNNNNNNNNNNNNNNNNNNNNNNNNNNNNNNNNNNNNNNNNNNNNNNNNNNNNNNNNNNNNNNNNNNNNNNNNNNNNNNNNNNNNNNNNNNNNNNNNNNNNNNNNNNNNNNNNNNNNNNNNNNNNNNNNNNNNNNNNNNNNNNNNNNNNNNNNNNNNNNNNNNNNNNNNNNNNNNNNNNNNNNNNNNNNNNNNNNNNNNNNNNNNNNNNNNNNNNNNNNNNNNNNNNNNNNNNNNNNNNNNNNNNNNNNNNNNNNNNNNNNNNNNNNNNNNNNNNNNNNNNNNNNNNNNNNNNNNNNNNNNNNNNNNNNNNAACAACAAUUCCCCCAACAACAAUUCCCCCAGCAACCACAACAACAAUUCCCCCAACAACAAUUUCCCAUACCAUACCCACCCCAACAACAAUCACAAGAAGCUUCCCCAUACCAACAAUACCACAACAACACCUAUCUGGGAACGACGUUAUAAGUAUCAGUGGCCGAUGAAAUAAAGAGAUGUACUACUAGACAGGUGAAUCAUCGUUGUUAGUCAAUGGAGCAUAAUGUAACGGGUAUAAAUAAAAUGAUGUGCACCAUCAUGUGUAACCCCGACAUGUACUAGUUCAAACAUGGGAAUAAAAGACAAAUAAGUUCUUUUCUGAAGCACAUUGCUGGCAAUCGUUAUAUUCAUGCCAUAUUUCGAUUUCCAUCGGUAACUCCAAUCUCAAUGUUAUGGUCUAUCUACUUAUUUAUGAAGUGUAGUAUUAUGAACAUAACAUAAUUAACAUGUCUGAAAAUUGGCUCAAAUUGAAGUACUACUAAUUCAAGAGUAAGGAGUAAUUACAAUUUAACAUUUCAAUGGAGAGCUCUAAUUGUAGACUGCGUUGUUAAUUCCCCGAAGAGGAAAGGAUGAUGUAGUAUAGUAGAGAUAAGUGUUUCCCUCAGCUAAGAACCAAGGUUAUCAAUCCAGUAGGAGAACCGCACAAAACCUCGUUAGCAGCACCUGCACACACAAAAGCAAACACUUGCACCGAACGCAAAUAAGAGGGUUGUCAAUCCUCUUAGCGAUUAUUUGCAAGGAUUAGUUCUGACAGUGAUACAUAGAUAAAAUAAAUUACUAAAUAAAAUAAAAAUAAAUAAAUUGCAGCAAUGUAUUUUUGUGCUUUUAUAUAUGAUAAAAGUAGACCCGGGGGGGGCAUAGUUUUCACUAGAGGAUUCUCUCUUGAUCAUAAAACAUAUGGUGGGUAAACACAUUACUGUUGGGCAAGCUAUUAUAUACUAAAAGGAAAAUACUGGUCCAAAAUAGAGAAUAGGCUAGAAAAUCUGGCGUUAAUUAGAAAAUAUGAACCCUUGAUCCGUUUAAUUUUAAAAAUUAUAAAUCUAUGACCGUUCAAUAUACGUAACAAGGUCGGGCGUGGAUAACUUCCCGCGUAACGUGACACAUGUAAGAAACACAAACAUGAGUCCAGUUAAGGCAAACACGUAGAUGUGUUGAAGUGGGAAUGAAUAGAAUUGCUACGUCCGAAUAUGCAAGAGAUAGAAAAGAUGAAGAAAACUAAAGAACAUGUCGUGUUCAGAUUGGACUAAACGUAUGUGCGUAUACAACCACAACCACAAUCCGAAAGAUCCAGCCAUUAAUCCCGUGGGUCCAUCCAAAACAAAAGGUGGAUAUCCAUCUAAUUGCCCCACGUCCAUGGAACAUACUUAUUAGAGUCCACAAACAGUAGCCGCUGGUCUCUUUUACGUGAUCCUCCUUGCACUGUUAGGACUUUGCCGUCGGACAUCCUUAAGUUCUUGUGAAGUUCACAUCUAAAAAUACUAUCAUAGUAAAAAAAUCCAUUUCAUACUCCAAGAAAGAUAUCACCAUCCCAAAGUUUCAAUUGCAAUCUAAGUUUUGCCACAACUGGGUAUUUAAAACUUAUUUUACCACAGCUCGGCAAUUUCAGCCACUAAGGUUUUUGUGGCAGAUGAAGCAUCUUCCCAUUGGAAACUCCCAACUGUAAAAAGACUAGCAAAUUAGCAAUCAUUGGCAAAUCAGCAAUCUUAUAGCGGCAGCAGCUCCCAUCAAUCAGGUAACUCAUCUUCCAAAAAUCAGAGACAAUAAGCAACCAUACACAUCAUGCACAUAUGAUAUUAACAUAAUUACAUAUGUGAUUUCUGUGUUGAAUUUCGUACAACAUUACCAUGAAGAGAAGCGCAUCCACAUGGCAAGUAAUUUCCAAAAGCCGCCAAAAAGGUGAAAAGCAAUCAAAUAUGCAAUCCAACAAGUUAAUUAUUAAGCUAUAGACCAUGCAUGUUUCAGUGGUGCAUACAAGAUCAGUAGAACAAAUUCCUAGCCGUUACGACAUUCAUCAGGGAGGCGAGGACUAUGAAGCGACGGGUUGCGAGCUGGAGGGAAUGGCGGCGCACCCCGUGUCUCAGCCGAGAGAGGAGAGGCCGGGGAUAGAAUUAAGAGAGACACGAGUGAUGUCAGAUGAUAGGCUAGGGAUCGUUGGGCGUUCUCACAUAUUGCGUGGAGGAGGUUAGCUAAAUGGGCCAGCACAAAGGCCCAGUCAACCGCAGGUGGCAGAGUUUUCUCCCAGUGCAGCAGCCCUUUAGGACAGUUGAGCCAAGAAAUAUAGUUACAAAAUUAGGAAUUCAUCCAACAGUCAGAAAUGAUCUAUACAAGUGAUCUGAUAGUUACAAAUGUUGAAUGCUUGAGAGAGCUGGGAUAAGGCUAAGUUUUACUGUCCUAAAUGUAUUAGAUAUGUAGAAUCUGACAGUUAUUAAAGUUUAAUUGUCCUUCAGAAAAAACUAUGGCUAAUCACCACUACGCUAAUUACUUUUUACAAUUGUUGUACAUGAAUGGGGGUUAGGCAAGCGUAACACUGCUGAUGAGGGUCCCAAACCCGAUAAAGGUGGAGGGUGCAUAAUCAAAUUAACAUCUAACACUAACAUGCAAUACCUUUUAAGUUCAUAUAUUGAUUCAAUCGCAAAAGGGAAAAAUGAAACAAAAGUAGGCAGCGGGACCUGGAAGUCAACAGAGGAAACAGAAGGGUAUGCUCAUCGUGUGGAAUCGUUUGUGGGGGGCGAGCUGAGUAAACAGAGGAAGGUGAUCGAACGACGUCUCAGGUUUAUUUGUUUACUGAACAGACAGACAUGUGUAAGUUUUUUUUCCCUUUGAGGGGAAAGACGUGUGUAACUAGGGAGGGAUGAUUUUGCACGUUCUGUAUUUUUUUCCACCAGAAAACAGAUACUACUUUAACAAAUAAAUCCUACACUAAAUAUUUUAUAUGCUGCAAAUUAUAGGCCACAUACGCAUGAGCCUAAAUUAUAGGCGACUAUUUCAUAGGGUGAAAGUAAACAAAAUAGAAAAUCUUAUAGGCGACAUGAGCAUGAACCUAAAUUAUAUAUUUUAUAUGCUGCAAAUUAUUUUAAAAACAUGUGAAAAUAUAGUGCAUGAUCAUCAGACCAAAAACUCUAGCCUGUACAAAACACUCAUAUUUAGACGUAUAUUUCAUAUGGAGCUGCCAAUUCAUAUCAAUCCGGCACUACAACAGUAACACUAUCGUGCAGCCGCUUAAGUCAAAUCUAAAGUUAAAGCUAAUCAACACAAAAUAUCCAAUGUAAAAGGAAUUACUUAUACUAAAAAUAUAAAAUAUACCUAAGAGUGCGAAAGAUGACGAAUAUUUACUAUAAGAGUGCUAGCCCUCGCAUUUGCGAGGGCCACCUUGCUAGUUGAUAAAAAACAAAUAAUUAUGAUGGAUUCAUGGCAAUGAUCAUGUAUAUAGGCAUCACGUUCGAGACAAGUAGACCGACUCCCGUCUGCAUCUACUACUAUUACUCCACCCAUCGACCGCUAUCCAGCAUGCAUCCAGAGUAUUAGGUAUAAAACAGAGUGACGCCUUAAGUACGAUGACAUGAUAUAGAUAAAGUAAAUUCAAGAAAUAUGAUUAAACCCCAUCUUUUUAUCCUUAAUUGUCAGCCCAUUGGCUGUUAUUUUCCCCGAUCUGACCAUCCGUGACGCUCCUGUUGUUCGCAACGCUACCGCUACGACUGCGGGAGCAUGUCAUUUUCGUUAUACAUGUAACCCAAAAAUAUCUCUAACAUUAAUGACAACAAUACAAAUACGUGUUAUGUCCCUUUUUGUCACUGGGAUUGAGCAAUGCAAGAUUGAAUCCAUCACAAAGCACCUCUCCCCAUUGCAAGAUAAACCAAUCUAGUUGGCCAAACCAAAUCGAUAGAUCAGGGAGAAAUAUAAAGCUAAAAUAAUCACGCAUAAAAGAGCUCAGAGAAGACUCAAAUAUUUCUCAUGAAUCAUAUGAUCAUAAACUCACGAUUCAUUGGAUCCCAACAAACACACCGGAAAAGAAGAUUACAUCGGAUAGAAAUCCAAGAACAUCGGGGAUAACUUUGUAUUGAAUAUCAAAGAGAGAGAAGAAGCCAUUUAGCUACUGGCUAUGGACCCAUAGGUGUGUGGUAAAAUACUCACACAUCAUCGGAAGGGCAGCAUGGUUUAUGUGGAAGCCCUUCGUGAUCGAUUCCCCCUCCGGCAGAGUACUGGAAAAGGCCUCCCGACGGGAUCGCGGAAAAACAGAGGCUUGCGGCGGAGAAAAAGUUUUCUCAUCUAUCUCUCUGGUGGUUAUGGAAUAUUUGUGAUUUAUAGUGGAAGAAUUAGGUCAGGAGGUGCCACGAGGGGGCCAUAAGCCUAGGGGCGCGGUGAUACGUCCAUUUUGCAUCAUGUUUUAUUACAGUUAUUUAUUAAGUUUUGAGCUAAUAUAACACUUCAUGGAGUAUUUCUAAUGCAUUUUCUCUCUUAAUAUGCAAGGUUUACACAAAGAGGGAGAAUACCGGCAGCUGGAUUUCAGGGCCUGAAAAAGCUACAUCAGAGAUCCCUAUUCUGCACAUCUCCAAAUGGGCUGAAAAUUCACGAAGAUUUAUUUUAGAAUAUAAAAAAAUACUGGGCCAAAGAUCCACGGGAGGAGGCCACCCAGGUGCCCACACAGCAAUAGGGCGCGCCCCACCCCUAGGGCGCGCCCUGAUGCUGUAUGAGGCCCCUGGCCCAAUUCAGGCCCCCUCCUUCUGGUAUAUAAGUCAUUUUACCAUAAAAUAUUUAUGGGGAGACUUUCAGGACGAGGCGCCGCUGCCACGAGGCGGAACUAGAGCAGGAGAAAUUUGGCUCUCCGGCGUGCAGAUUCCGCCGGGGAUACUUCCCUCCGGGUGGUGGAAAUCGAAGCUUACGUCAUCACUAACAACCCUCUCAUCGUGGGAGGACCAAUCUUCAUCAUCAUAAACCACAACACCAUCUCAUCUCUAUCCCUAGUUCAUAUCUUGUAUUCGAUCUCUGUGUCAAAACAUUAGAUUGGUACUUGUGUUUGACUAGUAGUGUUGAUUACUUAUCGUAGUUGAUGCUAGUGGAUUUGUUUGGUGAAUUACCAAAUGUUCUGAUCGUGCAUCCAAAUUAUAUUCUCUCUGAUCAUGAACAUGAUGAUGAUGUGUGAGUAGUUACUUUUAUUCUUGAGGACAUGGGAGAAGUCUUGUCAUUAGUAAUCAUGUGAUUCCGGUAUUCGUUCAAUAUUUUGAUGAUAUGUAUGUUGUGAUUCUCUUAGUGGUGUCAUAUGAACGUCGACUACAUGACACUUCACCAUUGAUGGGCCUAAGGGAACUCAUUGUGGAGUAGUAAUUAGAUGAUGGGUUGCUAGAGUGACAGAAGCUUAAACCCCAGUUUAUGCACUAUUCCGUAAGGGGCUGAUUUGGAUCCACUAGUUUAAUGCUAUGGUUAGACUUUGUCUUAAUUCUUUUUUCUUAGUUGCGGAUGUCGGUGUCAAAACCGACAGAUCUCGGGUAGGGGGUCCCAAGCUGUGGGUCUAGGAUCAAUAGGUAACAGUGACGAUGAACACGGUGUUUUACCCAGGUUCGGGCCCUCUGGAUGGAGGUAAAACCCUAUGUCCUGCUCUUGUUUGUAUUGAUGAAGUAUCAAGGUACAGAGUUGAUCUACCUCGAGAUCAUAUGUUCUGGUCUAAACCCUAGGGGUAUGAUCAGUAAUGUCAUAAUGAUGAUAAUAAUCUAUCGACUAGCCUGGCCUCGGCUUAUAUAAUGUACCAGAGGCCUAGGAUAACAAGACACCUAGUUAGCUAUGUUGGUGGAGAGGAGUCCUUGUCUUGGUCACCAAGUCUUGUGGAAUCUUUCCUGUAUAUGUCAUCGGUUGUCCGAACUGGCCCAUUAGUGAGGUCCUCGGUCCGACCCACUGGUCGGGAGACAACGUGGUGAGUACCCCCUAGUCCAGGACACCGUCAGCGGAUGCUUGCGAGAGGGGGUAAUCAUAAGUGGGAGGCUUGUUCAAGUAAGAACAGCACCCAAGCACCGGUCCACCCACAUAUCAAAUCAUCAAAGUAGCGAAAGCGAAUCGAAUGAACAUGAUGAAAGUGACUAGAUGAAAUUCCCGUGUGUCCUCAAGAACGCUUUUCUCAUUAUAAGUACUAGUUCUGGCCUGUCCUUUGCACUAAAAAGGAUUGGGAUAUCUUGCUGCACUUUAUUUACAUUUGUCACUUGCUACUCGUUACCAAUUAUCUUGCUAUCAGACUACUCGCUACCGCUUGUUUCAGUGUUUGCAAAAAUAUCGUUAUUGAAAACCGCAAGUCAUUUCCUUUUUCUUCUCGUUGGGUUCGACACUCUUACUUAUCGAAAGGACUAUGAUUGAUCCCCUAUACUUGUGGGUCAUCACGCGGCCACCCACCUGGGGCGCUCCGUCCCUAGCUUAUCACUCCCUCGAGACUCCUCGGGUCUUCCCCGAAGCUUCCAGGGUCUCUUUUGGUCCAGAAAACUUAAUCCAAUGUUUUUCUGUGUUUGUACCUUUUUUAUAAUGAUAUUAUAAAAUGAUAAAAACAAGCAAAAAAUAACAACUGGCACUAGGCACUACGUUAAUAGGUUAGUCCCAAAAAAUGAUACAAAAAUAGCAAAAAGUUGCAUAUAAAACAUCCAAGAAUGAUAAUAUAAUGGCACGAAACAAUAAAACAUUACAGAUAGGAGGCGUAUCAAGCAUCCCCAAGCUUAUUUCUUGCUCGUCCUCGAGUAGGUAAAUGAUAAAAACAAAAUUUUUGAUGUGGAAUGCUACCUAACAUGUUUCAUCAUGUAAUCUCUCUUACGGUAUGAAUAAUAAGAUCCGAAUGAUUCAAAGCAAUAGUCUAUAAUUUGAUAUAAAGACAUCAAUACUCAGGCAUACUAACAAACAAUCAUGCCUUUCAAAAUAACGAUGCUAACCCAAGUUAUCCCUACAAAAUCAUAUAAUCCUAUCAUGCUCCAUCUUCUUAACACAAAGUAUUUAUGAUGCACUACCCCAAUGACAAUCCAGGCAAUUGGUUCAUACUUCUUAACGUGCUUCAGCUUCAACCCCCGCGCAAUACAUGAUGGCAAGCCAAGGACAUAACACUAUGGAUGGAAUAGAACAUGAUGAUAGAGAUCAAUAAGGGGAAAUCCAAAAUAAGAAGAUAGUCUCACAUCAAUGCGGCUAACAAACGGGCUAUAGAGAUGCCCAAAAAUUGAUGUCAAUGCAAGGAGUAGGGAUUCCCAUGCAACGGAUGCACUAAGAAGGCACCCAAGGUAAUAUCCAAGGAGACUCCAGCGUCGAAGCUUGGGGAUGCCCCGGAAGGCAUCCCCUCUUAAUUCUAAUGACUAUCAGUAACGCACUUGAGGCAACAUUUUUACUCAUCACAUGAUAUGAGUUUUUCUUGGAGCGUCUUGUAUGAUAUGAGUCUUUGCUUUGUUUAUUUUUAGUUUAUCACAAUCAUCACCUCUGAACGCAUUUGCUUGAGAUAGCUUCACGUCAUCAUGAUUUACUUGAAUUGCCCUUUGUGCUUCACUUAAAUUUGUUGAGCUAGGUGGUUGCUCUAGUGCUUCAUUUAUAUCUUUUUUAACACGGUGGUGCUUUUGUUUUGAAGAAACUUGUUCUCAUGCUUCACUUAUAUCUUUUUGAGAAUGCUAGAAAUUUUAUAAAAAUAUUAGUCUCAUGCUUCACUUAUAUCUUUUUGAGAGUUCGAAAUUAGUUAUGGUAAAAUGUACAAGCUAUAAGCUUGGUCUCCAUAUGAUGAAUAUUCAAGAAGGAUAAUGAUAACUAGUAUAAAAAAUUUAUGGGACAUGAAUAACUUGAUUCUUUGCAACAAUUUUGAGAUAUGUAGAUGAUAAUACGUGAGUUAUGUUCAUGAAUAAUUAUACUCUAGUAUGAAUAUUGAUGUUAAGGUUUAUGAUUCCCUAUGCAAGCACGUAAAGUCAAUAGUUAUGCAAUGAAGUUACAUCCUACUUGUGGUGCAUUAUUCGGUGUUGGUUAUGUUUUAUGUAUGCAUGUGCAUCAUUACAGUUUCUUAGUUGGUCGCUUCUCAACCAUUUUGCUAGCCUCCAUUCGUACUAAGCGGGAAUACUGCUUGUGCAUCCAUUACCUUAAACUUGUUUUGCCAAUUGUGUCCAUCAUACCUACAUAUAUACGGUAUUUCAUUGCCGUCCCAAGUAAAUUUGCAUGUGCCAUCUCUAAUAAUUUUCAAAAUAAACUUCUCUUUUGUGUGCCUGUGUUGCUCAUGAAGUGAUAAGGGGUGGACGAUGAAUUUCGUGUUGUAUAUGUCAUUUUCAUGAUGAGUGUUUAUUCACUUGUCAUUGCACGAGAGUGUGGCGGUAAUAAAAGGGAUGCCCAGUCCCAAAAAUAAAUUGAAUUUCCUGGAAUGUGUUGUUAUGGAGGGCACCCGUGAAUACGGCUAGACAUGGAUUGUGAAAGGAAAGGUGGAAAAACUAACUCCUUCGGAUGUGAAUGGAAAAAAGGGACAAAAGUCUCAAAACCAUGGAACGAUGACAGGGAGCAAACAAUUUCUUUUCAGUUUGGGAGCCGCCUUUGAUGUAUAUAACUUGGAUGGUAUCGAAAGCCUUGAGUCGUUGUCGUUGACGAGAAAAGCAGGCCUCCCAAAAUAAUUUUUUAUCUCUUUUUAAAACUUGAGGUCUGGCACCACUGUAAAUCAAUGCUUCCCUCUGCGAAGGUCGUUCUAUUUAUUUUUAUGUUGAGUCUCAUCCUUCUCAUUAAAAAACCAACUAGGGGGUCAUGUGAUCAUGUGUGCGCAUGGAGUAUGAUUGACAUUCGACUGUGUUUCAUAAAUGGAUCAAUGGUUGAGCAUAAUGGGCUAGGGAUAAUUUUCUUUAGCAUUGUUAUUUUGAAAGGCAUGGUUGCGUGUUAGCAUUGGAGGGGGUAUAUAUAGCCACCUCAUCGGUCCCGGUUUGUGGCUGGAACCGGGACUAAAGGCCACCCUUCUGUCCUGGUUCUAGGCACGAACCGGGACCAAUGGCUGUGGGCUAGGAACGAGGACCAUUGGUCCCAUUCGUGCCUAGAACCGGGACAAAUGGGUACACACGAACCGGGACAAAUGCCUGCCGAGGACCGGCCGGCCCCCUGGGCGCACGAACCGGGACGUAUGACCCCCAUGGGUCCCGGUUCGUGACUGAACCGGGACUAAUGGGCUGGCCAGGCCCCAACCAAAGCCCUGUUUUCUACUAGUGAGGGGCGACGCUCUGCGGAGUUCUCCCUCUUGGGGGCGUUGUCGUGGAGCUUAGGUGUGCUAGGUCGUAGCGUGAGCAUGUUUUGUUCUUCUGGUACUUGUUGCUGGUAGCAUAGAAGCAUGCGUUUUGCAUGUGCCGGAUAUCUCAGGAUCGACUUUGUAAGGGCUACCAAACCAUAUUGUAUCGUUUGACCAUGUACAGCUUUGGAUGUUGCUUUGUUUAUAAAGCAGGGCAAAAUCCUAUUUCGAGAAUAAAGAAAACAACAGCAACAGCAAACAGGUCAACAACUUCAGAAUAGUUUUUCUUUUAAAAUUUCACUUGCUUAAUUAACUACAUGCAUAGGACUUUCUACAGUGUUUUAGAGAAGGACAACUAUGAUUUGCUAGCUAGUUAGGUAUUUCAACAGAACAUUAACAGCAAGGAGAAGGAGAAGAACUGUUAACAACCAGGCAGGCAGGUGGAGAGUGAGUGUGUGAGAGUGAGGUCUCUCUGGCUUUUUCCUGUAUGGCUACUCCUACUUCCUUCGCUGACAAAGACCUGUUCUGAAUCCGUAAUACUGAUUCAUAGUAAUGAUGGUGGAUCGACUAUACCUUGACUUAUCCAUGUACAACAAAAAUUACUACGUACAUGAUUAAAAAUCCAAGGGUCAAAUCCUGAUCAAUUGAUCCAGCAAAUUCUUCAUGAAUCUAGCAUGACAUCAAGUGUGAUUAAUAGGAGUUUCAAUUAUAAUUAGCCUCCGAGAAGCUACAUGGAGGAGGAUGUAGUCGUGUUUUGUGGCCUUGUCAGAAACUUCGCUUUCCAUCAAUCUGAAAACAAGUGGUAGAGGGCAAAAGAAUGAAAAAAAACAUGUGUAGAGGAUACGCAACACAUAAAGGCCACACACACAAAAACAGCGGUAUGGUAGCUGGUCCAUGACAUUGACAAGUCAAUUGAUUUGCUGCAACCAUAUAUAUGUACGAAUAAUAUCGCCAAGGAUAAGAGAAGGAAAAAAUAUAAAUAUACCGAUAGGCUCUUAUUUAGUUCCUGGAUGCAUGUUGCAUGAGCCAAGUGUAUCGGCAGUAUGGCUUGUGUUUGCUGCAUGAUGGCGGCAGGUUCCCAUUCAGUUAGGCAUGCUAAGUCCUAAAUUCAUUUAUUCACGUAUCGGGUAGAAGGAGAACAAAUUUCAUUUCUUUUCUGUAGGUUCCUUGCUUAAAAGAAAAUAGAAAAUAUACACUUAUAUAAUUACGAGAAAAAAUCAACUGUAUGUCGCUCAGUCUUCCCUUUUUGUUCCGUAUCAGUAUCAACAAUCAUAGUACUAAUAGCUUUCUAUACUGGCGCUAGUAAAUUCAAUAAAAGAAACAUGGAGACUAUCUGAACAAUUUGAAACAAUAUAGACAAACUGAGAUCAACUAACAACAGAAAUCCAAAAGAAAUGUUCAUGUCUACGUGGAGUGAAUCGAUCAAGCCGUGCAAAGCCCUAACAAUUUGUUUUGUAUUAAUAACUCAUAUGAUAAUACAACUCCUCCAUAUGAAAAGGUAAUAUGAUGAUUCAUGAAUGCUUAUCCAUCUUAUAAAUAUAUUGUGCACAAAAUAUCGAGUUAGUUCAGAGAAAACGGUGUCUAGAACAAUCUUCACAUUAAUAGUGUGAUCUAUCUCAAUGACUCACACAAGAUUACAAAGUUUGUUCCCUUAAGUAUGCCAAUCUGGAUACGCCUAACAAUAUGUAGAACAUGACAAACUAAAUCAGAACAAGGGACAAAAUCUAGAUCAAUGUUUGAAGUGUAAAGUGAAUACGAUGAGUCAUUUGUCGUUAUCAAGCAUUCCAUACACCUAGAUGAUAUGUGCAAGAACAAUCAACUAUGACGAACAAUCCAAAAUCACGAUAGUAAGUAGUACCAUAAUACACAACAUACCAAAUUAUUGUAAAUGAUAAGCUUAAGAGCACUUUUUCAAGAAGCAAGUGUGAAGAUUACAAACUUAGUUCCCUUAAGUUAUGCCAAUCUGGAUACACCUAACAACAUGUAGAACAUCACAAACUAAAUCGAAAGACGGACAAAAUCUAGAUCAAUGUUUGAAGUGUAAAGUGAAUACGAUGAGUCAUUAGUCGUGAUCAAGCAUUCGAUACAGCCAGAUGAUAUUUGCAAGAACACAACAUACCAAAUUAUUAGGUCGAUAAUCUUAAGUGCACUUUUUCAAGAAAAGAGUGGGAAGAUGAAAACAAAAUAUGUCAUGCCUGCUAUAAAUACGACUACACCAUGUGGGUCUCUUCCAUCAUCUAACCUUCAAGCACCUAGAGUAAAAACACCAAAGCCAAGUGAGCAAUAGUAAACACAAAUCAAACAUGAAGACCUUCAUCAUAUUUGUCCUCCUUGCUAUGGUGAUGAGCAUCGCCAGUGCCACUAGGCAACUAAGCCCUAGAGGCAAGGAGUUGCAAACACCACAAGAACAAUUCCCCCAACAGCAAUUCCCUCAACCACAACAAAUCCUCCAACAACAAUUCCCCCAACGACAACAAAUCCCCCAGCAACCGCAACAAUUCCCCCAACAGCAAUUCCCGCAACAGCAAAUCCCACAACAGCAAAUCCCGCAACAACAAUUCCCCCAACCACANNNNNNNNNNNNNNNNNNNNNNNNNNNNNNNNNNNNNNNNNNNNNNNNNNNNNNNNNNNNNNNNNNNNNNNNNNNNNNNNNNNNNNNNNNNNNNNNNNNNNNNNNNNNNNNNNNNNNNNNNNNNNNNNNNNNNNNNNNNNNNNNNNNNNNNNNNNNNNNNNNNNNNNNNNNNNNNNNNNNNNNNNNNNNNNNNNNNNNNNNNNNNNNNNNNNNNNNNNNNNNNNNNNNNNNNNNNNNNNNNNNNNNNNNNNNNNNNNNNNNNNNNNNNNNNNNNNNNNNNNNNNNNNNNNNNNNNNNNNNNNNNNNNNNNNNNNNNNNNNNNNNNNNNNNNNNNNNNNNNNNNNNNNNNNNNNNNNNNNNNNNNNNNNNNNNNNNNNNNNNNNNNNNNNNNNNNNNNNNNNNNNNNNNNNNNNNNNNNNNNNNNNNNNNNNNNNNNNNNNNNNNNNNNNNNNNNNNNNNNNNNNNNNNNNNNNNNNNNNNNNUUCCCCCAACAACAACAAUUCCCGCAACAACAAUUCCCCCAGCAACCACAACAACAAUUCCCAAAACAACAAUUUCCCAUACCAUACCCACCCCAACAACAAUCGCAAGAAGCUUCCCCAUACCAACAAUACCACAACAACAACUAUCUGGGAGCGACAUUAUAAGUAUCAGUGGCCGAUGAAAUGAAGAGAUGUAAUACUAGACAGGUGAAUCAUCGUUGUUAGUCAAUGGAGCAUAAUGUAACGGGUAUAAAUAAAAUGAUGUGCACCAUCAUGUGUAACCCAGACCUGUACUAGUUCAAACAUGGGAAUAAAAGACAAAUAAAUUCUUUU